rnacentral:lncRNA from 1 species
UUUUUUUUUUUUUUUUUUCUAUCAUUGCAUUCAUAAACUCGUUCUUAAACUUUGUGCCGCAUAAACAAAUAUACAAAUAAUAAAAGGAGUAUACGAACAAUUUGCUUUUUUCUUUUCUAUAUUUUUGUAUUUGUAUUCUAUAAUCAUAAAGCAUGAAGGUGUGAUGUUGAUGCAACAAUUUGAAGAACAAAACAUACCUAGGCCCUAAUUGUAAAAGUUGAUAAUUCUUAGCUCGACACAAACAAACCAAAAAAAUAGAAAUUAUAUUAAAUUUAUUGACAAAACAUUUGUGAUUCAAAUAUAUGUUUUUUAAUUAGUACUUAUUAUAAAGUAUUUUUAUCGAGAUAACCUGUCGGGCCUUAGGGCAUUAAACAAAACUCAAAAUAAUAAAACAGUGAAUUGAUAAGGGGUAUUUGGGUUUAUGUUAAGAUGUUUUUGAGAGGAUUGCUUAUGUCACGUGUUUGGCGGUGAGUGGUUAACUAUAAGAUUAUAAUUAAUUAUGAUGAUUGAGAAAGUAAAGCCUGCAAAUGUUUACCUAUAGGAUUGUAGUUAAUAUGAUUUUCAUGGUGGUAGGCUUUUGAUGAGGCAAUCUCUGAAUUAGAUACAAUGGGAGAGGAAUCAUACACUCUUCAUUGUUGGCAAUCUUUUAGUGAUUGCAACAAGCAACUAAGAUUAUGUUGAUAACACUUGUGUCUUAUCUUAUUACUUCCAGGACGAAGCUGGUGAUGACAUCAACGAAACCCCAAAAGAGGUGCAGAAAGGGGAGGAACAAGUCCAGCCACAACCAUCGCAGUGAUGAAAUCAAGUCCAUGGAAUGAUUUGCAAAAAAAUAAAUUGUAUGGCUUGGUUCUGUGUUAUUAAACAGAACAAAGAAAACCUCUUAGUUUGCUAAAUCAUGCGUUUGUAGUAGUAGUCUUAGUAGCUGCAGGAUUUGAUUCUAUCUAUCCAUGGAGUAAAACUUUGUGUGCUUCUCAUAUAUCUAUGUUGUUGUUGCCACUUGAUUAUCUUCUCUGAUUGGAGAUUAGUUGUCGUUUGGUUUAUGCUUAUCUUGGUGAAUGUUCCCUUAAGGGAAUUGGUUAAGAGUUUUGUUCAAUUAAACGAAAUAUAAAUGUUCAUCACACAACUAUUGUCUGUCGCCACGAUCUUAAAAUUGUUUUACAUUAUUAAAUUAUUAUUUUUUUAAGAUUCUAGAGGUUCAACCAAUAAUCAACUCUAUAACUUUGGUUUUUAACUUAACAUCUUACAUUAUUAUAAUAAUUAAAAAUUCCUAAGCUACAUCCUCUCACUUCCCCUUAAAAAUGCUUUUAGGAUCAAUUCUAAUAUGAUGGAUUAAGUCUGGUUUACUAUUAGUUUAAUGUUUGUUGGUUUAUUGUUGAGAUUAUGUCUUUGUAUAUAAAGUCAAAAUACACUUUAGAAUUAGUUAAGCUUUGUAACAACAUUUUUAGCUCAUAAAUAAAGUUAUUGAGUCCGUUCGUCUUUCCUCUGUCAUCUCGCUAUUUUCUAGUUAACCGGAGUUUGAAUAAUACUAUCUAAUUUUAUCUUGCUUUUAUCUAUAUUUAUCAACUGUAACUAUUAUCAUUCAGUUAUAAAAAUAAUUAGUAUUUAUCAAAAUUAUUUUUGAAAAUUAAUAAUAUAAUAUUAAAAUAUGUUUUUAAGUGUAAAAUCUAGUAUUUGUGGUUUGAGAUGAAAAAAAUAAACAAAUGAGACAUUUAGUGUUGUGAUUGGAGUUGAUCUUGAUUUGGAAGUUGGAAGAGGGUACAUAUAUAUAUAUAUAUAUAUAUAUAUAUAUAUAUAUAUAUAUAUAUAUAUAUAUAUAUAAUAUUUCAAUUGUUGCAUGCUUCUAGCAUAUAAUUCUUUUAUUAACCUCAAUGUUAAUAUACCACUAGUUUUAUUUAUUUUGAUAUUCCUGUUAAUCGUUUUUUUGAAGGGUCUAUUUUACCUUAUUUAUUUUGAUAUACAUCUUUGCAAAACUAUGAAGAACACAACAAUCACUUUCCUCCAAAUAAAAAGACAAAAAAAAAAAACUUCCCUCUUUGUUAACAUGAAAUUUUUAAUGAAGUGAAGGCCCAAUUAGACGAUUAGAUUAUAAUGGGCUGAGUUGAUACUAAAAAGGCCCAAACAAAGCCUCUGACUGAAUCAGAAACAACGAAAGAGAAUUAAAAAAAAAUGAAAAUGAAAUAAGAAAAACGUAUAUUUUCUCGUCCUUCUCGGGAUUGUUUUUCCUUUUUUUUUUUUUUUUUCAGUCAUCGCAUAAACUCUUAAAGAAGAAGAAAGAUCUGAGAGGUCGAAUGAUCCAAGAGAAGAAGAAGAACCUCUCUUAGAUCGUUUGAUCUGAUCCGAACGAAGAAGACGAAGAAGAAGAAGAAGAAGAAGAAGAAGAAGAUGGGAAUCCUAUUCACGCGGAUGUUCUCUUCCGUGUUUGGUAACAAAGAAGCUCGUAUCCUCGUCCUCGGUCUCGACAAUGCUGGAAAAACCACAAUCCUCUGUAAAAAUCACUGCCUUUAAUCUUUCGCAUUUCGUAUCUCUAUAGCUACAUUUACUGACUAGGGUUUUUGAAUUUUGAUUCGAUCGUUUUUUCUGAGUUGUGUUGAUUUUGAUUUUGAAUCUAUGUGAUUCCAGAUCGGCUUCAGAUGGGGGAAGUUGUCUCUACGAUUCCGAGUAUGUAUUUAUCACUCUUAAUGUUGUUUAAAUUGUGGAUCUAGUUGAUGUGGUUUCGGAUUUUGAUUUUUUGUGGUUUUGUGAUCUGAUCUUGCAGCUAUUGGAUUUAACGUUGAGACUGUUCAGUACAACAAUAUCAAGUUUCAGGUCUGGGAUUUAGGUAUGUUUCUUAGAAUUUUUUUGAAUCCGUUAAUUUCCUUGAUGCGUUAAACUUCGAAUUUUGAGGUUCUAGGUAGGAUUUUAGUGUGAGAUGAGAUCCAACCAUUUACCUGAUGAACUCAGUGUGAGAUUGUCUGAGUUACUUAGUGUUCUUUCUAAGUUGACUAGCUCCAUGUUACCAGAUCCUUAGUGAUGCAUUUGAAUAAUUGGAAUGUUUCUCUUUGAGUUAAUUAUCAGAACCUAUGAUCAGAAAUUUACUUGGUUUGGAGUCCCUAGGUUAUAUAUCUUUCAUAGUGAUAAGUAGUUUUGGUAGAUUGAACUAGUAUUGUUAAUGUUAUGACUCCUUUUCUUGAGUGAUCUUGAAGAGGCAGACAAAGUGUUCUGUAUUAUAUAAAAAGGUGAUGGCUUGAUGAUAAGUAACACAUUUCUUGGUAUGUACUAUGUAGUGUGUUGAUUGUUUUGCAUAAAAUGUAUGUUUGUCUUGCUGUUUAAUUACUUACAUAUGGUAUGGUUGCUAUUUACAACUAAAUUGAUUUGGCUAAACAAUGUAUUCCUGUGGCAGGUGGACAAACAAGCAUAAGGUAGAUAAGUGAUCUCUUUUCUCAAUUUCAUUGCAUGUACUGUGUGAAGUCACAAAGAACAGAAAUGGUUACAUCAAGAUUAUACUCUUUGUGUUUUUGAAUAAAAUACUAUUGGAUAUUUUGACAGGCCAUACUGGCGAUGCUAUUUUCCGAAUACGCAAGCAGUGAUCUAUGUUGUUGACUCGAGUGAUACGGAUAGAAUCGGGGUUGCGAAAGAGGAGUUUCAUGCAAUUUUGGAGGUAAACCACUUCUGAGUCUUCCUCUUCAUACACUGCUGUAUUAUUUUCAUGAUAGACUUCUUCCAUCCAUAAUUAAUAUAGGAUAACCUUUUCCUGAUGUACUUCUCGCAACGUAUAUUGGUAGCUAUUAAGAAAUACAGUAUUUGUUCAAUUUUGUGUAUCAAGUAUUUGUAAAUUGUCAAACAGGAUUCUAAUAGGUGACUCAAAAAUUGAAGUAUCUAGGUUCGUACUGGGUGGAAAGAACAAGUUAUCAUGUCGCUUUAUAGAUCUUAUUAUCUAUCCUUAAACUGUUCAUUAUUCAACAAAGUGUACCUCUGCCACUGUCAGCAUUUGAAUCUUACUCUCUUUCAAUUGAUUUUUAUAGGAAGAGGAAUUGAAAGGUGCGGUGGUUCUGAUAUUUGCAAACAAGCAGGUUAGUAGUAUCUAAAUGUUUAGCGCUUCUAAUAAACUUUGACUGUUUGCAUUGGUUUUCUAUAGCUAUAAAAGCUUACGUUUUUUUGCAUGUGUUAAACAUGUCUACUGAAACAAAUCUAUAAAUAAUCUGGUCUGGUUUUUCUUAAAACGACUAAACAGGAUCUUCCUGGUGCACUCGAUGAUGCGGCUGUUACAGAAGCUCUGGAGUUACAUAAGAUAAAGAGUCGUCAAUGGGCAAUCUUCAAAACUUGUGCUGUGAAAGGCGAGGGACUUUUCGAGGGAUUGGACUGGUAAGCACAUUCUGAAACCGAACCAAAUCAUAGAUUGGUCCUAUCUACUGAAACCAAACCCAUUUCUUUGUGCGUUUGUUCUCAAAUAUUAGACUUUCUCCAUCUUGAUCUUCAGGUUGAGUAAUACAUUGAAGUCGGGCAGUGGCUAAAAGCAUCUUCCAUAUACCAAUUGGUCAUCCCCUCAAAGAGUGUAUCUUCGAAUCAUUUAUACUUAUUGGUUUGUUUAGUAUGGUUUAUCUUAGUUCUUCAUCUUAUGAGUUAAUAUCAAUGACAUGUUCACUUAAUAUUGUCUCCUUUCUUUUUGUUGUUGUUUUGUUUCCUUUUGAAAAAAAAAAAAAUAUACGAUUUUUAAUUGAGAUCCGUAAGGGAUAUAUCACCUUUUAACAAGCAAUUGAAUUGAUUCCAGACUAAACACUGAUAAUGGUCCGAGUGGUGUGUUUCGUCGACUUGGAUCAGUAAGUAUAGCUCAACCGUUUUUGUUUUAAAAAUCCGGAUUUUUUUUAUUUGUCUGCUCCGACGACUUCUCUUUUUACAUUAUUUGCUUAUGUUUGUAUGAAAUUUCGAAUGAUAAAAUUGUCAAUUGUAAACUUUAGUUGAUUUUGUCUAAUAAAACAUAUAUCUCUAGUUAUAUUGUUUAAAUAUUGGUUCGGUUAGUAGGUGCAUCAUUAUUUUUUUUGGUAACAACCCUAUAAGUUUAUAACAUUUUCGAAGUUGCGACAACGGUUAUAGAGGAAAAAAAAUAAUAAUAAUAAGAAAUACCAAAAUCUAUGAAUACAUGAGAAAUACCCGUACAAAUCUUUCAGUUUGGUUGUCUUUUUAAAAGAAAAAUUAAUAUAAUCUAAGUAACUUUGAAAAGUACAAAAUUGAACCUAUUUAUCAACAAAUGUCAUGCGGAUGAGCUGAUCUAUUCAUCCUUACUAGAACUGACACCCCAUAGCCAAAAGCCCAAAACUGACCAAAAACCGGUUUAAUUCGAAAAUUUUGGUUCGGUAACAGUAAAAGACACAAACGUUUAAAUCCGAAUUCACUUGCCGACAAAAAAAGAAGUAAGAAAAAAAUUCCGAAAAAAAUUAUGAAAGUCCCAAGAAAAUCACUUCACAUCACAUUACUAGGAGUCUAGGUCCACCUCUCCGCAAUGUCUCACUAUUCGGCUAAGGUUCACUAACACGUGUCAUCUCUUUAUUCGUUACUCUCAGAUCUCCAUGACCCAUCUCAGCGCGUCCAAUCCAAUCGCCAUUUCCACAGCACCACCAAGAGUCAAUUUCUAGAAAAAAAAAGCGGACUCAAAAUUCAAUUAUUAAAAUAAUCAAAAAAACAGUAGAAGAGAGAAAAAGAAAAAAAAAAACUCAAAUGGCGUCGUCGAGACUAUGCGACUCGUGCAAAUCAACGGCAGCGACACUAUUCUGCCGAGCAGACGCAGCGUUUCUCUGCGGACCAUGCGAUUCCAAGAUCCACACAGCUAACAAACUCGCUUCUCGUCACGAACGUGUCUACCUAUGCGAAGUCUGCGAACAAGCUCCUGCUCACGUCACGUGCAAAGCCGACGCCGCAGCUCUCUGCGUCACGUGCGACCGUGAUAUCCACUCAGCGAAUCCUCUCUCUAGCCGCCAUGAACGUAUCCCGAUCACUCCUUUUCACGACUCCGUUUCUGGAUCUGUUAAAUCAGCUUCCUCCUUCGUCAACGACGACGAUGAUGAUGACGGUGAAGCUGCUUCUUGGCUUUUACCUAAAGAAGGAGGAGAAACUGAGAUCUCUAAUUUUUUUACCGAUCUUGAGUAUCCGAAGAUUGAGGUUACUUCGGAGGAGAAUAGCUCCGGUAACGAUGGAGUCGUUCCUAUUAACAACAAAUUAGUGUUUCUCAAUAACGAUUACUUCAAUAUCGACAUCUCUGCUUCUAAAGGAUUCAGUUUCAUCAAUCAAUCUGUACGAAUCAUCUCUGUAUCUCUUGAAAUUUUUCAGAUCUGGAAAAAUGAAUUUUAGAUCUGAGUUGAGUUUUUUUUUUUUUUUUAGGAUUUGUCGAGAUCUUUAGAUGUAGCGUUGGUUCCUGAAAGUGGAGGAGGAGCUACGACGGCGACGGCUACGGCGACGGUGACGAUGCCAGUAGUGCAGUUAUCACCGGCGGAGAGGGAAGCGAGGGUUUUGAGGUAUAGAGAGAAGAGGAAGAAUAGGAAGUUUGAGAAGACGAUUAGGUAUGCGUCGCGUAAAGCUUACGCUGAGAUGAGGCCGAGGAUUAAAGGACGUUUUGCUAAGCGUACUGAGUCGAGAGGUGACGAUGGUGGUGGAGACGGCGGAGUUUAUGGCGGUUUCGGCGUUGUUCCGAGUUUCUGAAGUUUCCGGUUAAGGAAACGUGGUAGUAACGUAACGGUUAAUAGAAAGAUUAUAAAGUUAUAAUGUUACCCUUAUUUAAUCAGGGGGCUAAGUUAAUUACAAUAUUGUUGUUGUUAAAAACAAUUAAUUUUCAUAAUAUUACAGUAGUUUAUUUCAAGUUGAACUAAUAAAUUUUGAUUUACCAUCUCUAUAAGUAAACGAUUUUUGUUAAAAUGUUUUUGUACUUUAUCAGUAUUUCUUUUUUUUGUCAUCUUCAAACUAAAAGAUCGACUCAAAUGAGCCAAUCACACGGAACAUUGUUUACAAAUUUAACGAACUUUAUCAGUAUUUCAUAAUCGUUAAAUUUAAAUUACGAUAUAACUAAACUUGAUUUUAUCGUAUAACUAAACUUGAAUGAGUUAAAAGUUGAGUUUUGAUUGUUAAAAUAUGGGUUGUAUGAAGGACAAUACUAGGGUUCACUUCUAUGUAUUUACCGCUUCCUUUGGGUUUAACCAAUAAAAUUAGAGUAUUAUAUUAUGUCAUAUUAUAUUUUAUUAAAAAUAAAAAUACAAAAAUUAUUGAACAAAAUUUGUAUACAUAUAAGCAUUUUUUUAUAUACCGACACCGAUAUAUAAUUUUGUUUAAUUGUAAAAUUUCAAUCCUAACCACUCUUUAAUAAACACAAACCAAUAUAUAUAAUUUUGUUUUAAUUGUAAAAUUUAAUCUCUAAUCCUCUUUUAUAAACCCAAUCAACAUAUAAUUUGUUUAAUUGUAAAAUCUAAACUCUAAUUCUCUUUUAUAAACUCAACCGAUAAAUAAAAUUUCUUAAAUUGUAAAAUUUAAACCCUAAUGUUUAUUUAUAAACCCAAACUGAAAUAGAAUUACAUUUAUUUAUAUAUAAAUAUUAAACCUUAAUCUUCCUCUUUUUUUUGCCUAACCUUAAUCUUCCUUUAUAAAUACAAACCGACAUAUAAUUUCUUUAAUUAUAAAAUAUAAAUCUAAUGAAUUUUAAAUAAAAAGUCUACAAAUAUUGUUUCCUUAAUUUGUUUUAUUUUACUGAUUUUAGUGUAAUUUAGAAUUUUUUAAAAAAAAUUUAGUGUAUUUUUAAAACUUUAUUUAUUUAGUAGUAUUUUAUUUUAAGAAUAUGAAGAUAUAUUUCGCAAGUGUCAUUCAUGUCAGCAAAAUUUAAUAGUGUUUUUUUUUUUUGCAAUAGUGGUACUUUGUACAAAAUUUGAAACUUUAGGUUGUAAUUUUAAUUGUUGUUUUGUGAGAGUACGAAUUGGUAUAAUCAAACAUAUCUUAGAAAAUAUAAAACAAAUCAUUCCCAAGUAGUCCUAGAUUAUAAAGGAAGAAUUUUUCAGUGCACAAAAAUAAUACUGACAUGAAACCUAGCAUUCUUAGGGUAUUUAUCACAUGGUUGAUUGAACAGUUUGGAUCCCCUAUCUCCGUAUAAAAUGACAAUCAUGAAAUUUCCUCCAAAUGGUGUGAGUAGUGGAAGAUAACGUCUAAUGUUGUCAAAGUGCUAGGUCCUUCUAUUUGUUUACGUAUGAAUAAUGAAACCAAUUUAAUUCAAGUAGUAUGGAAUUUGGUCUUCAAAGAUAGGUGAAGCAACUUGAAGCUGUUGAUGAAUUUACCAUUGAGGUACCAUCACUAUACAAGAGAUGUCUUUCUUUUCAUAGCCAUAAAGGAAACCAACAAUCAGAGUGCUAUAAUAAAAAAUGUCUUAGAGCUUUUCAACCAUUUCGACUGAAAAUGGUGUAGCUUUCUUCUUCAGUCGCAGGGUGUGCCACAUGGCGGAUGAUCCCACAUGGCGGAUGAUCCCACAUGACGGGUUGUUACAACUAGUUCCUACAAAAGAUGAUAAUAUAUUAAAAUACAAAAAAUUUCAUCAUUCUUAAGUCAUCCAUUGCUUAAUAUUCAUGAUUCUUAAGUUAAAUAAACUCUCUGUCUGAAAAUAUUUUAUCUAGAAAAUACCAUUAUCAUAUGCAUGUUCUAAAGACGCAUAUAACAUAUGAAUAUAUUAUAACUUAUACUACAUUUUAAUCCGAUGUACACAGCGGGGCAAACCUUUAUUUAUUUACUUUUAAAGUUUUAUUUCCUUUUGAAUUUUAUUGAAUCUAUUGUAGUUUAUUUAAUAACUAUUAAGAUUACAACUAAAUUAGUUUAUUUGACAUAUUUUAUAUUGGCAUUGUUAAGAAUAGUAAAAUAAGGAUUUAACUCGUGAGAGUAUCAGAUUAAUGAUAUUUUAAGUUUUAAUAAAACUGAUUUGAAUCCGUCUCAUCAUACAACCCGUCAUGCAAUAUAAGCCAUCAAUAUUAAUUUUUUCUAUUUAAAUAUUAAUAAUUUUAAACUUUUUUUAAGUUUAGAUACAUCAGUUAUAAUAUUAAUACAAAAUGUUACAUAAAUAUCAUUUCAAAUUAUAUGCAAAAUACUUUAUUUUUACCGGUUUUAAAGAACAUAACUAGAUCAAAUUUUUACAAUGGUACAUACAAAGGGUUAUUAACAAAAUAUACUAUUCAUAUAUUGAUUAAAUCACAACUAAUUCACAGGUUAUUUUGUUAAACUCACAAUUAUAUGGUAAAGGGCAUAAUGAAUAAUAAUUUUACGAAUGUAAUCUCUUACGAGUUGGUCCUUCAAAACAUAUAUUGUGAGUAUGUAAUUUUUAUGAAUGCAAAUCUUUUAUAACUUUUACGUAUAUUUCUCUUUCUAUUACAAGAAUGGUCAAGCUGAAUUAUUUGUUGAUAAAUAUUCCAUCGUGUUUUUUAAAUUUUCUCUGUCUUUUUUUUUCUUCUACUGUAUCAAAUCUCAUUAUGUAACCACUUACUCGCUUUUUCUACUAUUUUAUUCAAACUCAUUACACAAAUUAUAUGAUUCAUUGUAAUUGACUGAACUGCAAUGAAAAAAAAUAUAUAACAUAUUCUAAUCCAUUAAAAAUUGUACGUACAUGUAAAAUAUUACUAGUAUAAAUAACAUAUUCUAGUAUAUAUAUAUUACUAGAUUUUAACCCAAAAUACAUCACGGAAAAACAUUUUUUAAAUUCAUGUUUUUUUUUUGAAUUUACAGAUUUUGUUGGAAUUGGUUUUAUAAUUAUUAAUAUUUUAUAAUACAAAUUUUAACUAAAUUAGUUUGAUUCUAUAUGUCUUAUAUUGAUAUUGUUAAAAAAUAGUGAAAUGAAGAUUUAACCCGUAUCAAAAUAUCAGAUUAUUGUCGAUUUAGUUAGUAUUGAUUUAAACCCGUCUUAUAACAUAUUUUAUAUGUGUUAUUUUAUACUUUUUUUUAUUUAAACUAAAUAUAUAAUUUAUAAUAUUUUAAUUUUAUUUUAUUUUUUUAAAUUGACUAUAAACGAUAAAACGAUACAAUUCAUCUAAUAUCAAAGUAAAUAAUAUACAAACUUAAAGUUCAUAUAUCUAUUAAGUUAAAAUUUCUGCCUCUCGGAUUAAAAUUGAUUUUGAUCUUAUGUAUAAUAUGACUCUAAAUCAUUCUCUUAAAGUUUUAUGAAUUUUCAAAUUCAUUUUGAUCUUAUUUAUAAUUUGACUAUGAAUCAUUCUCUUUACAUUUUUAGCGGAUUUGAGAUGUUAAACAUAUAAUUUUUAUAUUAAUUGAGUGAUAUAUGUCCUAUUUAAAUUUUUGAAUCAAAAAAUAUGCAGAAAAAUAUAUUUUAUUAAUUUUAUGUGUUAUAUUAUGAUGCAAAAUAAUUAAAAAAAAGAUAUAUCAAACAAAUAUGCUAGGGGAACUAUAAUUUCAAAUCUUCUAAAUAUCUAUGUAUUUCCAUUUUUAUCUUUCCAAUUAUUUUCUAUUUCUUUUAACAGUAUUUUAUUAAAUACAGUGGCAUAUUUUGUAAAAAAAUUGGAAGUCCACCAUUUAUUUCUGAAAUACGUACAAACUAUAGUUAACAUUUAUUUCCAAACUACUCAUAUCGUUAAAAACAAAUUAUUUCCAUAAUUACUCUCCAUUCAUAAAAUAUAAAUAUUGUUACUUCAAACACUGCCAAGGUAUUCAUGGUCGAUUAUAAUACAAAUUUUCGUUUAGAAAAAUCGUUAUUUUCUAUAUUGCAUGUCAAAUUGUGUAAAUACAAGUUAAUCUUUGAUCAUCUAUAAAUUAACUAUUUUUAACAACAAAUUUUCAGUUCAACAGUUAAAAUUUACUUUAAUUGUGCAGUGCAACUCUUUGGUACUUAAUUUUAAAGCUUGUAAAUUCGUAUAUAUGUCUACAUUUGAGCUGAAAAUAAAUAAAUAAAUAAAAUUAUUACACUAUUUUCCAGUUUUGCACUUCUAAUGAGAAGACCACAUGAUCGGUCUAGUCUCUGUUUAAUUAACAGCAGAACAAGAGCGUCUGAUCUCACCUUCCUCACCAACUCUCACACCCAUCACACUCAUCUUCAUAAACGACUCAGUCCAUCUCUCAAAGAAACUCUCCUGAUCAUUCGCAAGAAUCUCAACAAUCUUCCUCGUCCGAUCAUCUUCCAUGAGAGCUGAAUCCGUCUGAAACAAACCCUUGUGAGCUAUCAGAUUCUUGUAGUACUGGUUAUCGAACGUGGACGAUGUCUCUGGAUCGUUAUCCACGACCGUGGUUGUAGGAUCCAACGAAGAUGAACACUUGUUCAAAAGUGUUUGCGCAUAGGAGUUAUCAAGAGAUGAGUCUAUGAGCUCUAAGUUGCCUUUGGGACCAAGCUUAAACCUGCUGUUGAAUGUGUUACAAUGCGCAGCUCCAAUCGUGUGCGCUCCUGAGACCGUAACAUAAUCCAAAAUUGUUUUAGAAAGAAAAAGAAACUCUUCUCUAUAGAAUAUCAAGAAACAGAAGGUACCAGAGAGAACGACUAGAUCUUGAAUAGAUAAGCCUUUAGAGGAAAAGAUAUUGAUCAUCUUGUCAACUGUGAAAUCGGUAUCGAUGAUGUUUGGUCUCACAUUUGCUGCCAUUGAGACCGUCCCGUCUCUUCUCCCUGUCGGUAUUGGAACUACUGGUCCUCCAAGCUGUCCGGAAAAUAGUAUUGACAACAACAAGAAACAGAGUUUUUAAAAAUCAAGAAACAGAGCUUUCAACAAGAAACAGAGUUUUUAAAACAUCAAGAAACAGAGCUUUCAACAAGAAACAGAGUUUUUAAAAUUCAAGAAACAGAGCUUCUUACUGCUUCUACUGCAUCUCUAGCAGCAAGAACAAGGAGAUCAGCGCAAGAAACUGUGCCCGGACAAAAGAUUUCGAGAACAUUUUUAACGUUUUCAAUAACAGCGAAUCCUCCUAAAGACGCGUUUCCAGGGUCGCUUCGCUCUGUACCGUUCCCUCGAAUCAACACUGAGCCAUCACAACCCUAAGACAGCAGCAACGACAGACAAAAAUUAAGUGGGAAAAGCCUUGUCACGCAAGAAAGAGGUGGUUCUUGAAGCAAUGUAAUAUAAUAUACCUGAACGAAGCAAUCAUGGAAGAUGAGACGUAAAAGCUUCCCAAGAACUGAUGGAUCAGAGGAAGCAGCAGAUCUAACAGUGUUCCUCACGAUUAACUCAGCUCCAGGACAAGAACCAGCAUAGAAGUUGAAAGAGAGGUCAGCUAAUGAGGAAGAAACAAGCAAAAGUAGAGGAAGACAAAGAAGAAUAAAGAACAAGGUAGGUUUUGGUCUGCAUGAAGAAAAUUGCAACGCCAUUUUUUAAAAAUGUGUCAAUCUCAAGAGAGGUAAGUGAAGUUGCUUAAGAGAGAAAGAGAGAGAGAAGUGGUAGUUGUUGUGAUAAAUGAUAACUGUAAUUGCAUGUGUGUUCGUGUCAGAGGGAGAAAGAGAGAACUGAGUAAGUGAUGUGGUUGAGUCAGGAGAAUUUAAUGACAGUCUCAUCUUUUAACUCUCUAAAUGCAUCAUGCAUCCAUUGGAGUCAUCAUCAAUAUGCAAAAACAAGGUUUGUGUUUUUUGGUGUUAUUGCCAGAAGUUGAAAGCAGGAGAAUUUACAGGAAUAUGAACCUAAAAUAGUACUAUAUGAUUUGUUUUGUGACAAAAACAGGCUAGUUUUGUUUUUUUGUACCUUUCAGAUAUUUCUUUUUUUGAACUCAUGCUAAUCAUUUAAGGGAAUUCACUGUACUUACCAUGUACAAAAUCAAAGAUCAGCUAAGUUCCAAAGAACAAUUUUUUUUUUGUAGGUAUAUAGUCAUAAUUGCUUGCUCAAGAUUAUUAUUUAUCUGUGAAAAUAAAACUAGCAAAAAUAUUUACAUUGUUAGGUUUAGAGCUUGUGCAAUAGUAUAUAAAAUGUAUAUUUACCUAUAUACAAAACAUUCAAGCUUAUCUACUCACUAACUUUGUAAUUACUAAAUGUAAAUAUAUAUUAACAUGUUAGGUUAUGAAACCAUUUUUUCCGUGAGAUGUAAUGUGGUUUCCAUCAGAAUCUUGGAGACGUUAAAGCUCUAUUGCUAGAGAUCUCGUCUCCAUUUCGAAAAUACUAAAAAAAAUAAAAUGCAAAAGCUGUUUUUUUUCUCUAAAUACAUUACAUAUAAAGAAGCAUGAUCAAUACUACUUGAUAAACCCCAUAGCCUAGAAUGUAGAUGAUUCAUAUAUACGCAACAAAGGAGAAAAUUAAAAUAAGUAGUAUAUAGAAAUAAAGUGUAUAUGAUGAUGAUCAUCAUUAUGCAUGUCAAUUGGAAUGAUAAGAUGUUGACAUGUGUUCAUUCUCACUGAUUUUACAUAUUUUACAUAAUUAUAAGAUUACAUAUUUUACAUAAUUAUAAGAAUUAAAAAAAAUGAAUAAAAUACUCCGUUAAAAGAAAAAUCGAUAUAAUAUAUAUAAGUGAUCAACAUUUUUCUAAAAUAUGGGGUAAAAUAUACAUAUAUAUACUAUUAAAGCUGAAGUACACAUUAGAAAAUAACCAAAGUUUUUAACUAAAAUAAAUUGAUACUUCAAUUUUUGAUAUUUAAUUGGAUAUAGAUAAUAAAUCGGAUAUUUUUACAGCAUAUUAUAUCAUUUCCAUUUGUAAUGUUGAUCUCCCUAAUAAAUCUCAACCUAAUUUAAUCUAACAUAUUAACAAAAUUUAUUAUUCUCAUUUCACCUUUAUAUGAUCUUAUUUAUAUUUUGUUACAUAAAACAUAUAUAUAAAAAAUAGAUUUUUUGCCGCAUAUUUUACAAUUUGAACUUUUUGUAAACAGAUGUAUAUUGCUAAUUUUAAAAAGAAAAAGGUGAAUAUACAUCGUCCCACAUUAUAUAGAAAAUUUUAGAGAAUUGUUCAAAACCCUUAUAAACAAGAGCAAUUGAUACCAAUAACCUUUUUAUGAUACCCUCUUUUAAAAAUACCUUUUUUUGCCAUUUUCAUUUUUGCCCUCUCUUAAAUUUUAAUGGUCAUUUUACCCUUAUUUGAAAGAAUAUUCUUUCCCAAAGGAAGGAAUAUUUCUUCCAAAAAAUUUCCCGCCAAAAACCUUCCCGCCAAAAAAAAUUCCGAGAAAAUUUUCCCUCCAAAAAUUUUUCCGAAAAAAUUUUCCCGCAAAAAAAAAAUUACAAAAUUUUCCUGCCAAAUUUUUUAAAGGGUUAACAAGAUUUUUUAAAGGGUUUACAAGGGUAUUUAAAGGGAUUUACAAGAGUUUUUAAAUGGUUUUAAAAAGAUUUGUAAUGGUUUUAAAAGGGGUUUAGAAGCCUACAAAGGUUUUUAAAUGGUUUUUAAAUGAUUUAAAAUGGUUUUUAAAUGUUUUUCUAAGUUUAUAACAGUUUUAAAAGGAUUUACAAGGAUUUUUAAGGGAUUAUAAAAAUUUACAAGGAUUUUUAAAGGUUUUAAAAAAGGAUUUACAAGGGGGUUUAAAGGGUUUUAGAAGUUUAUAAAGGUUUUUAAAGGGUUUACAAAAGUUUUAAAUGUAUUACAAGUUCUUUAAGAUGGUUUUCAAGGAUUUACAAGGGUUUUUAAAGGGUUUUAGAUGUUUAUAAAAGUUUUUUAAUAAAUGAUUUAUCACGGUUAUAAGAGGUUUAAAGAGAUUUACAAGUGUUUAUAAAUGUCAUAAAAUGAUUAACAAUGAUUUUAAAAGGUUAACUCAAGUUUUGAAAGGUUGUGGAUGACAUUUAAAAGAUUUACAAGGGUUUUUAAAGGAUUUUUAAGGGAUUUUAAAAAUAUUUACAAGGUUUUUAAAAAGAUUUUUUAAGGAAUUGCGGAAAAAAUUUGGGGGAAAUUUUUUUUGGCGGGAAAUUUUUUUGCGGAAAUUUUUUGGCGGGAAAUUUUUCGGAAGGAAUAUUCUUUUUGUUGGAAAGAAUAUUCCUUUCUUCAUCAUGGGUUAUAAUAAAGGAGGGUAAUUUUAGUCUUUUGUAUAUUAAAGACGGUGUUUUUGAAAAUGGAUAGAGAGGGUACUUGUAGAAAAAGGGAUUGAUGACCUAUUUCCCUCCGAUAACUAUUACAUCGUAUUAGAACUACACAGAACUUCUCAUCCUACAUUUCCAAAAAUCUGGGUUUAUAUGGUUAACAAUUGGUUUACUGUUGGUUUAAUAUUUUCUUAACCAAUUAACAAAUCUUAUUAACCAAAUUAAAUUUUAUCUCAACCCGGUUUCAAUUUUAAUUUAGUCAAACAUGAUUAAACCUUUUAUUUAAUGUUAAAGAAAAACCUAAAAAUUAAAACAAAGAAGAUCACUUCCUUCCUCCUUCUUCUUCUCCAUUUAGUGACUCCCAGACGAAAAAAAAAAGAAGAAAAAACUCGAUCUUCAUCCUUCAAUUACAACUUCUUCUUCUCCAUUUAGUGACUCCCAGGCGAUUGAAGCAUGUGGUAUUUCCUAAUUCUUAUAGGAAGGAUCCUGGGAAAGUGCUUAAAGAUUGGGAUCUAUGGGGCGCCGUGUUCAAUCUCACCAUCAUCUCCACCACCACUAAUCAACGAUAAAGAAGGAGAAUGACAAAGCUGAAGAAGAAGAAACAGAUGGUGAGAGUUUAACGGUCCCAAAGCUUGAUCAUGAGACAAAAGAUGAUGGAGAAAGGAGUAGCGGCCGUCGAAGCUUUUCGGAGAUGAGAGAUGAAUAAUCGUCGGAGAUGUGAGAGAAGAAGUUUGCUCCAUUUUGUUCUUCAUCUCUUUCCCUUUUUUCUCCAAUCCUUAUCUCUCUCUCAAUGGAUUUGAUUGAUUUGGAUAACGUGAAAGCAGAGAAAGCUGCCGCUAAAUCGAGUCCUAUGUUAUUCUUCUUCUUUGACAACAACUUCACAAUCGAUCUUAUCGAAGCUGGUCUUAAAUCGAAUUAAAUCAAAUUUUGAUUAUGUAGAAGUUGGAUUUGCUGCUUGAAGAACCGGGUGAAGAAGACAAUAUUGGAUCGGAUAAAGGGUCGAGUCGGGUUUAAAAUUUGGUUUUAUACCAGGAUUACGUUGGUUUUAAUUGGGUUUGGUUCGUAACCCGUUCAAACCCAGAAAAUUGGAAAAUUAGAUGAGAACUAUCGAUUUGGGGAGAAAUAGGAAUAGAACUAUCGAUUCGGGUAGCUUGAAGACGAGAUUAAAGUUUUGUGUAGUUCUAAUACGAUGUGAUAGUUAUCGGGGGGAAAUAGGUCGUCGAUCCGUAGAAAAGAGUAUCAUAAAAAGGUUAGUUGUGCAAAUCCCCCUAUAAACAAGACCCAUGUGUCCAACUAUAUGAAUAAGCAGGAAGUUUGAUUCUCAAGCACCCAAAAUUUAAAAGUUUUAUUCGGUUUAAUCUCAUUCUUUAUUUGAGCAAAUUAAACUUUUUAAAAAGUUUCAAACUAUUAUAAUUUUUAAAUUUUUAAAUUCUGAAAAUAUUAUAAAUAAUGAAUCUUUUCAAAAAUUUAGCUUUUAAAAAGUUUUAAAUAUUAUAAAAACUAAAAAUUCAAAAAUAUCAAAAAACGUUACAGUUAUUAUAAAUCAAAAAUCUUAACAAUUGCUCAGAACCUUUUUGCAAUUAUAUUUUCAACUAUUAAAGAUCUUUCUAAACACAUUUGUUUAAAAUAUAUAUAUAUAUAUAUAUAUAUAUAUAUACUCAAUUACACAAAAACAUACGAACAAAAUAUACAUGUCAAAUUCAAAAUUGUAUGUAAUGUUUUGUAAACUCAAACAAGAUUGUGAAUCAGAUUACCUUGCAGGUCAUUAGAUCACUAGGUUAAAUUGGUUCAACAAAGUCUUAUAUGAAUUUAUAUAAAUUAUGCUGUUUUAUAAAAUUAAAAAUGAAAUGUCAUCCGUGCGAUACCACAAGUUAUCCCCUAAUGAAAGAUUAAAAUCAAUGCUAUUAUUUCAAAGUGUAAAUUUUUAUCACACAUAUUCCACCCAAAACGACGCCGGUUUGCGUAUUUUUGUUUUUCAAUAUGUAUUAUGUAAUAUUCAAAGUUUGUAACUUUGCAUAUGCAAAUGAAUUGUUGAUACUCCAAAUAAUUUCUCAAUUUUAAAGAAAAAAUCUGAAUUUCAUAUCCAUGAAUAUUUAAAACACGCAAAGCGACAUCGUUUUGUCUAAAAACACACGAACCGACAUCGUUUUUGUCUAAAUUGUCUACUUCUCGUAUAUGUGGUGGAACGAGGUCCAACGGUUGUACAAGCAAACCUUAUUACGAUCUAUUUAGCAGAGAAGUCAUCGAUUACUUUAACAAAGACUCCGCCAUGGCUGUUCCUUUCCUAAGCUCUUCUCUUCAACUCACAGCUACUUCUCCUAUCCUCUUCACUAAAUUAACAACACCCAUAAUCCACAACCAGAGAACAACAACAUGCACCGCCCCAACGAAACCCCGAUUCCAUCUCCUCCGCCGUUCCGCCGCCCCCGGAACUGCCGUAGCUGAUCAGACAGAAGGAGGAGGAGGAGGAGGAGAGGUUCUUUUAAACCCUGAAGAAGAGAAACGUGUUGAGGUGGUUGAUUAUGAUUGGACAGAGGAGUGGUACCCUUUGUAUCUCACCAAGAAUGUUCCCGACGAUGCGCCGCUUGGCCUCACCGUGUAUGAUCGUCAAAUAGUUUUGUAUAAAGACGGUGAAGGAACACUUCGUUGUUACGAGGAUCGUUGUCCUCAUCGGUAAGAGAUUGAUUUAGCAAAACCACAACCACAUGUUUUGUCUGAUCUCUACAGAAUGAAUCUUUAGUUACUUGUUGGAAAUGUAGAAAAAGACAAAAGUUUUUUUUUUUUUCACUUGUGUGAGUUUUUUUUUGUCGUUUUAGGUUGGCUAAGUUGUCUGAAGGACAAUUAAUUGAUGGGAGAUUGGAAUGUCUGUAUCAUGGUUGGCAAUUUGAAGGAGAUGGCAAAUGUGUCAAGAUUCCUCAGGUGCACUGAUUUUGCUAUUAAAAAGACUUUGGAGGUUUUGUGUUUUUACUUAGUGGUUUUUUUUUUUUUUUAUGACAGCUUCCUGCGAGUGCCAAGAUUCCAAAGGUGGCUUGUGUGAAGACGUAUGAGGUGAAGGAUUCACAAGGAGUUGUAUGGGUGUGGAUGUCAACAAAGACACCUCCAAACCCUGAAAAGCUUCCUUGGUUUGAGCAUUUUGCUAGACCGGGUUUUUUCGACAUAUCGACGACUCAUGAGCUUCCUUAUGACCAUUCCAUUCUUCUAGAGAAUCUGAUGGAUCCGGCUCAUGUCCCUAUUUCUCAUGAUAGAACUGACUUCACUGCUAAAAGAGAAGAUGCUCAGCCUCUGGUUUUUGAGGUCACUGAGCGGACUAACCGGGGUUUCGCAGGGACUUGGGGACGGGAGAAAGAAGGCGGUAAAGGGAGUAAUUUACUUCGGUUUGAUGCUCCAUGUGUUCUGCAGAACAAUCGAGAAUUUGAAGGGAAGGACGGUGUGAAGAAUUACUUUUCAGGGCUGUUUCUUUGUAGACCUACAGGGCAAGGGAAGUCUAUGCUUAUUGUUAGGUUUGGGGUCACGAAAAGAUCACCUUUGGUUUCAGUGUUACCUCAAUGGUUUUGGCAUCAGAACGCCUGCAAGGUAUUUGAACAAGACAUGGGGUUCCUAUCGUCUCAAAACGAGGUUCUGAUGAAGGAGAAAGUACCAACUAAGGAUUUGUAUUUAAAUCUUAAGUCAUCUGAUACAUGGGUUGCUGAGUAUAGAAAAUGGAUGGACAAAGUUGGUCAUGGGAUGCCUUAUCAUUUCGGGCAUAGGACCAUAUCUCUCCCCAAGGUUCCUCCAGUAGUGGAACACGCCCCAGCAGGGCUCAUUGCAGCUCUUUCGGCUUCUUACCCUGCAAAAGGAGGAAUAGGAACUAUGCACGCUCCCAAUUUGGCUAACCGGUACUUCAGACAUAUUAUCCAUUGUAGAAGCUGCAGCAAAGUAAUCAAAUCUUUUGAGCUCUGGAAAAAUAUCCUCUCUGCCACGGCACUGGUUUUGACGACUUUGGCCAUUCUUGUGGUUAGUAGACAGUGGAAGGCUGUCCUGUUAGGUUCAGCAGCGUUGUGUUCAGCCGUGGCUUAUGCUUGCUUAAGAGCUAUAGAACUAAACACCAAUAACUUCAUUAGAACACACAGAAGAUUAUGAAAAUGCAUAUUGUGAUGUCUCCUCUUCUUCCAACAUCAUGUAUUCCAUGGAAUACCAUUUUGCUUGUAAACGCAAUUAUAAUUCAAAGGUUCCUGUGUUUGUCAUAAAUGAUACAGUUUAACCAUGAAAUUUCUGUUAAACUGAUACAAGGUUCUAUGUUCUAAAACUUGAGCCAUCUCUUCUCUUUUUCUUUGCUUUCUACUGCAAUGGAGGCAGCUGCUUGAGCUGCUAAUGUACUUGCCAAUGCCUUUCGGAUUUCUUUCAAUCUUCUCGUUGCAGCUUCUGAAACUACUUUAUCUUUCUUGUUUCUGUUCACCAUCUGUUCUAGUUUCCAUAGCUCCGACUUCAAGUCCUUGACUUCGUCUUCGUAUGCAACCAGAUCUUUCCUGUCUAUUGGACCAUUGUUUUGUUUCAUUUUUCCAGACUCUAUGCUCUUUACUUUCUCCUGGCGUGUAUAAUUCAUUCGUUCGUUGAUUAAGCUAAACAUAUCUGGCUUCGAUUCCUCUUCUUGUUUUGCUGCUCUCGCUGCUUCUGCAAACUUUUUCCCACGCUUCCUUUUCCCACCUCUGCUCCUUUUCUUCUUCUGUUUCUCGCAUUUACCUUCUCCGUUUUUGAUAUGUUCAAGAGCAUAAUCCAGCGACCGCUUUGCUGGGAGUACUUUUACUAAGACAGGAUUUAAUAUCCCUUGGCCAGAGGCACCAAGACCCAUCCCUUCACGGUAGCCCAUACUUGCCAUCAUCUUCGAAGCUAUUCCCCUUGUGUGAUUCUCCCACUUAGCAAAUAAGGCGGUGUCAGUUUGGAUGCCUCUUGGUUGAUUUGGGUUUUCUAGAAAGCCUAUGCCUUGUGGAGACUCUUCAUCACAAUCACUUGAAACAGAUUCUUCAGAAUCUGAAGCACUCCCUUCUUCGUCCUCCUCCUCCUCUUCCCCGUCAUCAUCAGUCAUCUGAGCGUACUCUGACAAUGCCAUAGAAUUAGAUCCUAGCUUUGCGGAGCUUCCAUCAUCUCUGAAAACAACUCUGCCAACUUGUAACUCAUCAUCCCAUGAUUCAAGUUCAGCCUUCCUCCAUAUGUUGUAUUUACUACCAGAAACCGCCCAAAUCGUAGAGCCUACAAUCGAUUCUUUCCACUCAGUCUGUUCGUAGUUCUUCAGAGAAGAUAACGGCACAUCUAGUCCUGCAUUGAUAUCUUGCAGUUAGUCACCAGAAUGACAAAUUGGCUACAUUCCCGACUUCGGCAAAUUUAAUGUAGGGACACUAUGAACAUACAACACAUAAACAACAGCGACAAAUAUUAUUAUCAUCUAAUUAUACUUGAAAGUUGAAACAUACCAUGUGAUGAACGACACGAACUGCCAAACCGGCACCUCUGUUCCAUGAAAAACUUGCACAUCUGCAAUCGACCGGUGCAGCGUUAGUAUCUCAGACACAAAACAGCAAUUGAACCAAAUGCCAACAGUAACAAUCUCAAAACUAGUCUUUCACAUCCAUUAUUAAAUGCCUGCAGUAAAACCUAUUUAAGCUACAUAGACAAGCACAACUUAGGAUUUUAGUAAACUCUAGCCACCCUAGCUUUCCGAAACCCGAUUCCUAUGACUAUUGUAACACAAACACAAACUACCAUGUUCUUAAUAAGAAUUCUUGUAAUUAAAAACUAACCAAUUGAUCAUGUGGAUAACAUAGUUUUGUAAAAGGAUUUGUCAACAAAACAUAAGAAAUCAGAGUAAAGACUACAAAUUUCUCACCGUCAUACUCUCAGAUGUAGGUGUAAGGAAAGAGAUCUUGGCAGUAUCAGAGCCUUCAAACCCAAUAAUCCGACCAUUAUACCAACGACCAUCAGUAUGUCGAAACCUACAUUUCGAUCCAUCCAAAUCCUUCUUCUCUUCAAUUUUCUCUGGUUCCAUUUCAGUUUUAUCCUCAGCUUCAACUCCACCAGCAUCAUGAAUCAGACCAUUUAGCACUAUAUCAGCUUCCUGCAAUAACCUAGCACGUUUUAACUGAAAAAGCCCUUCCUCUGCCUCCUUGAUUGCUUCGAGAAGCUCUUCAUGGACCUUAAGAAACACAAAACCACACACAUGAAAGUAAGUAUCCAACUCAUUCUUUCACCUUUAACUACUCUGGAACAAACAGCAUUGGACUAAUUGAUACCAUAAUCUAUAAUUUCUAGACAAAGAACAAUCCAAAUUUUUGAUUUUUUGGGGAGUAUUGGUACUGAAUCGUAGUAAUCUUAGUUCUCCAGAUAUCUAGGGAUUUGAUUUUCAGAGAAGAGAUUUUACCGAGAGGAGUUCUGGAUUAGAUGGGUCAGAAGCUAGGGCUUCGUUAAUGGCGAAAAGAGAUUCCUUUUGUUCCUUUAUCUGAAUGUCAAGAAGGUCUUCAAGGGCUUUGUCUUCUUCGUUCGCCAUUGGAAGAUGAUUCUUUCGAGAAAGCGAGAGAGGAAGAAGAAGAAGAAGAGGAAAAAUUCUUGGGUUAUGUAUGUUACCGUCAGUAACUAACCGACUCGGAAAUUGAACCGGACAAUUACGAUUUAUUUUUCGGUUUAUCUUUGGGGUCGGUUUGAGUUCGGUAUUCGUAUUCGGUUUGUGUUUGGUUUAGUUUCGUUUGUUUCAAUAAUAUACAAUAUAUUUUUUGAAGGUCCAACCCGUAACCUACAUAUGUUAUGUAGCAUUCAGUGAUUUCUACAUACUAGUUAAAAUCAUGUACUAUUUGUUUAACAAUUUCAAAAUUCACAAUAGAUAAUUCACAAUAGAUCUCAAAUGAAUUUGAGAAGAAAUAUUAAGAGGUUUGUAUCCGUGAGUAAAAUAUGUUAUUUCAUAAUUCAUAUGUUUUAAUUUCAAAAUCAGUAAGAACUUUUAUAUCCUAUAUGCAUUUACAAAUCAAUGAACCAUUAAAUGUUCCAAUAUAUAUGCGACUGCAAGUUUUUGUGUUUUUCUCUUCUCUUCUGAAACCACUAGGUUCGGACCCGCGCUACAGCGCGGGGGAAAUAAUUACAUAUAUAUAACUUUUAACGGAUUACAAUAUGUUAUAUUUUAAUUUUGUUACAGUGCAGUCGAUUAUGAUAAAUCAUAUAUUUGUAUAAUAAGUUUAAAUAAAAUAAUAAAGAAAAAGCGAGUAAAUAAUCAUAUACUGAGUUUUGAUACAAUUAAAAACACGGUGAAAAUUUAACAGUAUGAAAAUAAUAUUUGUCGAUAAAUUAUUCAUUUUGACCAUUUUUGUAGUAAAAGUAGGAAUAUACGUAAAAAUUACAUAUACAAUAUAUUUUUUGAAGGUCCAACCCGUAACCUAAUUCAUUUCGUAAAAAAACAUUAUUCGUAACUCGCUUUAUCAUUAUAAUUGUGAUUUUAACAAACGACCCGUGAACUAUCUAAAAUUUACAUAGUUUGAUAUAUAAUAUAUUUUAUCAAUAAAAAUUAUGUCUCCAAAAUUACAUUUAUGUCUUCAAAAAAAUAUUUCAAUAUUUUAAAUUUUUAAAUUUUUAUAUAUUUGAACCUUUUACUUAUGAUAUUUUGAAACUAUUUGAAAUUUUAAAUAUGCUCAUGUAACAAUGGUUUUAAUAUUGGUCAUACUUAUAAUGAUUUUAAACCAUUGUCCAAAAUAUUUAACCGAGUGUAGUUGAGUAUUACAUGCCCGUUUUGAAAAAUUCAAAUUGCAACAUAUGCAAAAAAAGUUAAAUUUUUUUAAAUUUUUAUAUUAUAUAGUAUAAUAUCAAAAAAUUAAAAAUAAUAUUAAAUAAAAGUGAAAGAAGAAUAAGAUUUUUUAAAUAGAUUUUAUUAAAUUAAUUAGAGAAAUAUUAGUAAAUCCUAUAAUUAGUUAUGGAAAUAAUACAAUCCUAAAAUUAGAUUUAGAAAGUAUCCGAUGUAUGUAUCCAAACCCAUUAAUUUAUCCAACUUUAAAAGAUCCAAUUAUAAAUUUCGGGUAAUUUUCUUAAAUUGACCCGACCCGGAAGCAUUUUUUGUACUUCUCUUUUACUAAUAUAGGGAUUGUUCAUAUUAUCUUCAUCAUAUAUAUCUCUACAAAAACAGUAGAUUAAAGACAAGAUCGAUUCGUUUGCCCCCCAAAAAAAUAAACACAAGAUAGAUUCAAGCUGUUAAAAAUUUAUGGUAAGCUAGAUUAGUUAGGCAAGGAGAAAAUAUAGAUAAUAAAAGGCUAAUAGGCCACCUAAGAUUUAUUAGAUGAAAAAAUGGAAUAAGAAAAUAAGUUAUAGAAAGUUUAAAUGAUUCUUAGAUUAAGUUUGUAAAUAGAAAAAUAAAAUGAAAAAUAGCUUAGAGUGACAACUAUCUAAGUUAUAGUUUAUAACUUAUAUAACUAAUUUAAUAGGUGAUAGUCAUUAUUUUCUCAGAUGGCAUAAUCUCAUAGGUCAUAAUUUUUGUGUUUUCUACAAAUGAACCAUGUAAAACUUUAUCAACCAAACCCAAAAUUACGUAAUACAACUCGUUUUUGCUACUGUCAUAUUUGGGGUUGUUUAUGACUUUAGGUGUUAUCUAUUUCUAAAAGUCAGAAUAAUUUCUAAUAGUGUGAGGCAAACUUUGAAUAAGGUCAUUUACAUUGGUGGAAUUUGCUUUGGUCCCAAAUUUUUUUUUUCUUUUACGAUUUAAAAACAAAAACAAAAAAACAAAAAAAACAACUAAUCGCGGACCGCCACGUGUUAGUGGGGCCCGCGAAAAGUGGACAACAACACACGGGACCGUUCCGUUUUUGAGUACGUCCCUCCCUUUUUUUCAUUUUUGAUUUUUUUUAAUCCUAAAUUAUGUGGGACUUUGGUGUGGGUACACCAAUGUACUUGCUCUUAACUAAGCUAUUUUCUUAAGACUUGAUGGACUGGUAAGAUGGCAAACUGAUUUUACAUAUAUAAUAGCUUGAAAUCAGAGUAUUUUGUGUUUUUCCCCCUUAUUAAGGAUCGUCUAAAUAGAUCUUAAGAUAAAACAUGUAUGCUCUUUAUAUGCUUCAUGAGGGAAUGAUAUAAGCAGUUAGCAUCCAUUCCAAAUUUUGGUUAGGAAAAUUCGCAUGCAUCCUUAUCCUUUACCAACUCAUGAAGCUGCCACCAAAUGAACACUUUGUAAAUUGGGGUGGAAGCAAGUUAAUUCUUACCAAGAUUUGGAAGAAUGAUAGAUCUCACAUCAUUAUGCCAUAUAAUUCUAACUACUACACUAAUCAUCCAAAUUCUUUAACUUGAAAGCCCUCCACACAAUAAAUAGUACAACACCCAAGAAAUUGUGCAUAUUGUCUGUGGAGGACCUCCAUGUCAAGGGAUUAGAAUGAUUUAUGUAAAAUACCUUCAAGGGGGUGGCAAAAUUUUUUGUUACGUUUAUAAGGUGGUAUGGAAACAUGUAUCGAAUAGAGGAGAAGUGGAAAAUGUAGAGAAUACAAACGAGACAAAAGUGUUUUUAUAAGCUGUGGAAAAAUUUUAGGGUUUUGAUUUUGCAGAAUUAAAUUACGUUAUAAGAAAUAUAACUUAAAAAUCAAAAGGAGAUCCAAAAAAGGGGAAUGAUAUAUUAUUUUUAAAAUUUUCAGAAGAUUUAUAUGUUUUUUUCAAUUAUGCGAAUAAAUGAUACUUUGAUUUUGUUAUUUUCCUUUAUUUAUUUCUAUUUUUUUAUUCUCUGAGUAGAGUUUCUUUUUCGAGGUCAUUGACCAUGUCUCGUGCAACUUAUAUAAGUUUUUUUUUUCAUUUGGGAAAACAUAAGCUUAUUUAUAUAUUCAAAUAAAAGGCCUUUACAUGGGUUUGAUUUGGAUACAUUGUGAAAACUGAGGCGUUAAACUACAUGUCGAUUUAUAUAUCUAAACAUCUUGCUAUACAUGUAAACUUUUAAUAAUUUGUUCGCUUCAUAAGAUUACACAUAUCUGAAUUGUUUAAAUCAAAUUGAAUUAAAUAACGGAUCAAAGCGAAUCUAUCGGAUAUUUUACCAAUCCCUAAUCAUAAACCUCAAAGGGAUGCAAAAGCAUAGCAUACUGCAUUUUCUGCAAAAAAAAUUUUUAAAUACCGCAAUUGAACCGUACCGUAUAUUAAAACCGAUUCUUACGUACAGUCAAAUACGCAUUCAACAUUCAGACCCAUAGACUCCAAUUAAAAAUGAGUUUUUUAAAGAAGUUAAAACUUAAGAUAAACUAUUGUUGUCAUACUUUCUAGAUUAAAAUAUGAAUUUGUGUAUCAAAAGAAAAACAAGUAAACAUCAACAUUAAUAACUUAAAACAAUAUUUUUAUUGACAAAAAAAAUAUAUUUUUAUUUGCAUAAUACUUUAACAUGUGUACACAUACGUUUUGAUUUGCAACCUUUUGUGUAACAUAAAAACCCCACUCAUUAGGACAAUAUAUCAUCCAUUUAUACACAAGCCAAUAAUAAAAGUAAGGAAAAAAAUCAUUGCAUCAAAUUGAAAUAAUUAUAACUUACACAAAUCUUGGUAUUUUAUUAUCUAUCCUAAAAAUUAAAGACAAAACUAGUAACUACAAAUGUAUGUUACAAAAAAAGAAAAGAAAAAAAAAACAAUUACCAACUUUGCAAGCUGAUCCCCUAGUAAUGCCACGCUGGUCUCACUCAUUAGGACAACAUUUUUAUUUGUAACAUAAAAGAAUCACUCAUUAGGACAAUCAUUUAUUUUUUUAUAAUACAAAAGAUAAUUAUAAAAAAAAAGUAGAGAAAUAUAUAUCCUUGCAAUACCAAAUUAAGAUUUAUAACUUACACAAAUCUUAGUAUUUUAUUAUCUAAUUAAAGACAAAACCAGUAAUUACAAAAUGGAUGUUACAAAAAUAAAAAUAAAUCACCAACUUUGCAAGUUGAUCUCAUAAUAAUGCUACACUAGACUCAACCAUGUAUAUAUAAGCAACCAUCAUCUCCACCAAAUUUACCUACAAAGAAAGAAAACUAAACACCCACCAUUAAAAAAAAGGUAUGAUGUCCAAGAAGAAAGAGAGCAUCGGAAGACAAAAGAUCCCAAUGGUUAAGAUAAAGAAAGAGAGCCACAGGCAAGUCACGUUCUCGAAACGUAGAGCCGGUCUUUUCAAGAAAGCUAGUGAGCUUUGCACCUUGUGUGGUGCAGAGAUUGGGAUCAUCGUGUUUUCGCCUGCGAAAAAGCCGUUCUCUUUCGGCCAUCCGAGUGUCGAAUCAGUACUGGAUCGGUACAUGUCCCGAAACAACAUGUCUUUAGCUCAGACGACGCAACAACAACCGCAAGGAAACCCUGCGGCCGGCUGCGAGCUGAACAUGCAGUUAACGCAGGUUUUGAGCGAGGUAGAGGAAGAGAAGAAGAAAGGUCAAGCAAUGGAAGAAAUACGAAAAGCUAGCGUGAGGCGGUCCGCGACCAAUUGGUGGGAAAAGCCAGUAGAGGAGAUGAAUAUGUUUCAGUUACAAGAAAUGAAAAAUGCAUUGGAAGAGUUGAGGAAGACUGUUGUGGCAAAUAUGGCUCCCUAUACUGAGGUGAAAGAAGAUGUUUAUGGUUUCUUGGACAACAAAGUAGCCACAGCUCCUCAUCCUUACAUGAACAUGUCUUCUGGUCUUUCAAGUAUUUAUAGUUUUGCCAAUGGGAAUAAUUGUUUCUGAUUACAAAAAUUGUUUUCAUUUUUUUUUUUUAUGGGUUUUCAAUAGGGAAGAAAAGUGAAUCAAAUAAACUUGUAGGCUAGUAUCUUGCUAGCUUAUUUUUUUCUUUUUGAAAUUACUUUUGUUUCCUUGGCAACAUAAAAACCAUAUGAUAAAUGGAUUAAUGUGAAAAGAACAAAUCUUUAUCUAGUUGAAUACAUAUUUUUUGAAUACAUAAUUGAUCAAGUCCGUAUUACAGUAGAACGCAAGAAGCUAUAUGAACUAGGAACCGUAAGCAAAGCAUUAGACCACUCAACCUUUCCCCAAACCUGACCAUAUUUGCGCCUUUCGAACGCGAUCAGUGCACCGCAAAUAUGCUUCUCUUCAGAAAUACCACGGCCAGGCUUUGUAGACUUGUCCCACAAGAGUAACAUUUUCCCACCGAGUUUAACUGUUUCAAUUAAACCACUACGACAAGUUCGAUUCAGUGAAGACAAACCCUUGACAAGUCUCCAAUCCUUACAUCGAUUGUCAUACCACAAACAACUGUUCUUACGACAAGAGUACAAGACAUAAUCUACCACACACGUACUCUCACUCACAACAACUUUCUCUACACCGUUCCAAUUACCAUUAUUGGGAUCAUAGAUAGAGUCCUUGCUCUCAUUGCUCUUAACGUGAAUCUUCCCUUGGAUGAUCUGAAUCUCUCUGAUCAUUGUAGAGAAGCGUAGCUCAGGGCCAGGGUCUGGUAAAGGUUCCCAAGUUUGAGUAUUUAUAUCAAAAACCUCACCCCAACUCACAGAUUCAUCAUCAGCACAACCUCCCAUUACAUAUAUCUUCCUCCUGAAGACACACGCAAUGGGAUUAGCUCGAGCUACAGUCAUCUUAGGAGCAUAACGCCAUAUGCAAGAAUCUUUAUUACGAACCAACAUGACCUUAGAGGGAGGAUAGGCUUGUCUGAAUGCAUAAUCAUAAGAACCACCAUUAACCAAGAACAGUGCUGCACUAGAAGUAUAGGACGAGGGUACUUGUACCAAAGUAGACUUCUUCUUCUCCUCCUUGUCUAUCCAUAGUGUGUACCAAGAGGGAUGCGGACGGUCGGGAAACUUUAAGCAGACAUGGAAGCUACGUUCUUGUGUUUUGUGAUGAAACCGAGCUAGGUUAAGAUCAGUGGAUAGGAGGAGAGAACGAAAGGUUUUGGAGACUAAGGAGAGUUUAGGGUAGUAUGAUUUUGAUAUGCGAGAUAAACAGUUUAGGAUGAUGACAUCUGGUAGAGACAAAAACGAUGAUGGAGGAGGUUGAUUCGUUUUCCUUUUUUUCGACUGUGGUUUGGCUAAGUGAUUCAUAGCUAUUGCCAACAGAGGUGGCGAGUGAAAGAAAAAUAUACGAUUAGGGCUUAUAAAUAUCCCUAAUUCUGACAUCAAGGUUUUAUUUGAACCAUGAACCUUGCGAAAAACGACAUUUAAACCAUGAACUUUAAUUUUCCCUAAGACCAAUUAAUUCAUAACAUCAAGGUUUUAUUUGACACAUGAACCUUCCCAAAAAACCACAUUUUAAACCAUGAACUUUCCCUAAGACUAUUUAAUACAUCAAGGUUUUAUUUGAAACAUGAAUCUUCCCAAAAACCACAUUUAAACCAUAAACUUUCCCUAAGAGCAAGUGCAAUGGCAGCUUAUUCCAUCGUUCUACAUAAUUUAAAGUAAAAAAAAAUAUAAAAAAUGAGAAAAGAAAGGGGGACGUACUCUCAAUCUGGACGGUCAUGUUUGUUGUUGUCCACUUUUUGCGGGCCCCACUGACACGUGGUGACCCGCAAUUGGUUUUCUAUUUUUUAAAAAAAAAUAAAAAAAAAACUGAAAAAAAAAAAAUUUGGUGGGACGUAUAACCAGUGCACUUGCUUUAAAUCAUACUAUUAACAUACAAAAAAUUUCUACGGAUAAAUUAAAGAUAUGAAAUUCAUUUUGGCGCGGUUAACGAAAGAUGAUGUUAUAAAACUAAGUUAACGACAAGCUCAUGUUUGGAAUGGUUACAUAGAAAGUAAGUGGAUUUAAAGUGGCGUAAAUUUGAAAGUUCAUGAAUUAAUGACAUUUUCCCAGUAAUUUAAUUGCUUUGAUUUAUCAGAUUCAUGAUCUUGAACAAAAUAACAAUUUGAAAUAGAUAUGUGUUGUAUAAUGAGUCAUAAACAAUUGUAAUGUACUUUUUAGCAUUGCCAUUUUUUAGUUAUGACGAAAUACAAAAUCUUAAGUAUGGUGGACAGAGGGACAGCUGCCCAAGGAUCCAUUCACUCUUUAAGAUUAUUCCACUAUGAUGAUUAAUCCAAAGAUACAAUAGAUAGUAAUUUGAUGUUUGGAGGUAAUUGAGAUAUGAUAUUGUCACGUUUCUACUACCCUCUUGUAGUCUAUAUUAUAUCAAGAAUUCUCGAGACGAACUCAUCUCCAUCGUUCUUGUUCUUUUCAUUUUUGAAUUAAAAUUUCAAUGAAGUAUUAAAUUGAUUAAUUAAUUUGAUAAAAUUCUAUCAAAUAUAUCCAAAACAUCAAAUUAAUAUUUUGAAUGGAUUUCAAUGUGACUACAUUUUUUUUUCAAUAUUUCAGUGUUCUAGACAUAACUUGAAUAAUCAGAAUAAAUAAUGAUUAGAAGUAAGCAAAAACCAUGGAAAACGUAAAAAAAAAUAUGAAGAAAACAUAGUAAAAUAUUUUUAAAAUAUAAAAUUAUAGAUUAAAAAAUUGACAUAUUAAAAACUAUAAAUGAUUAAUAAUUCCCAACUACACAAAAAAUGUAACAUCAUAAGAAGAUGAAAGUUAAAUAAUUUUUUAAGCAUUUUCUUAUUAUCAACUUCAAAUCAUACACAUUAACACCAAAUUCUUGCUACAGAUAAACACUGAUCGACCUAAGUAAGACUUUAAUUUGUAGAUAUUUAAAUAAUUUGGUAUCAAAGCAUGUAUCUAAGAAGUACAAUGCGCAAUAUAGUAGAAGAAGUAGUAGGCAUAACUAUUGCAAGCAUAAUUUGAGGAUUACUCGUCUUGAUCAUCAUCAAUAUCUCUAAUCGAUUUAUUCGAAGUUUGUUUUCUUGACUAUAGUCAUGGUGUUGUGGGGAGUGUUCUCUUUUCUUCAAAUCUAUUCAACGAUGUAAUUUGAGCUUGUUGGCACAAUUCUUCCUUAUUCUGAACGAAGAGAUACUAAUCAAUUCCAAACAAUUACUACGACAUUUUCUUUUACGAGCUUGCUGGAGCGAUGGCAAAGAUAGGCCAAACCAUUGACGUAUAAAGAACUAACAGAGAAGAUUAAAGACGCAGAUACAAAUGGAGAUGGUGAUACUAGUUUUGGUGAAUUUGCUUCUAUUAUGACAAAAUCUGCUGUUGAUAUUCUUGAAGAGAAACAAAAUGAAAUCUAGAAAACAAGCUCAUGUGGUUUCAUUCCUUGACUCAAAGAGAACCUGGCACCAAGGUAAAUCUUGAGCUCAGGGACUGCUUCAAUAGAUUUGAUCACAGCAGCAUCAAUGGUUUUCUGAUCUUCUUUCUUCUCUUUCGGGAUUUCUUUCUUCUCCUGAAGACAAAAACAAUCGCUGUCAAUACAUAAUCCAAUACUAAACGAACAAGAUGUAUUGUGUUUGUUUACAUACUUCUUUCUCUCCUUCGAAGAACUCGCCUUCUGUCUUCUUCUUCUUCUUCUCCGCAACCUUUCCAAAAUACUUAUCAUCAAAUUUCUCAGUGUCAACUCCAGAAAUAUCAACCUUUGUUGAGGUUCCAAUCACGUAAGCUUGGUUAACCCGUCUCAAUGGAACACCAUUGAUCUUGAAUGGUCCUGAAAUGAUGAAAAUCAUCAACAAACACAUUCAUGUAUCAACAAAGUUUGCGAAUUGAACAACAACAACAGCCAAAACAAAACAAACCAAGAAGAACGUUACAACACAUUAUGUAUCAACAAAGUUUCCAAAUCGAACAACAACAACAGCCAAAACAAAUCGAACCAAGAAAAACGUUGCAACACAUUAUGUAUCAACAAAGUUUCCAAAUUGAACAACAACCAAAGCAAAUCGAACCAAGACUAUUCCAAGAGAUAAGAACUCACACCUGUAACAAGAAGCAAACCAGAAGAAAGUUGCUUGAGGAAGACAACUCUCUUCCCCUUAAACCUACCAGCAAGAAUGAUCAACACAGUUCCUGGAGUGAUGCUAGAUCUGCAACACAUACACAUAUGCAAAAACCAUAUAAGUAUUUUGACUAAUACACAUACAUAAAUCAAAGUGUAACAUGAUUGUUUACAGAAUCUACAUGAACCCUACAUUAAACCAUUCUCACAAGAUCUAAAACCAUUCUAACACGAAGGAAGUGAAAUGGAUUAUGAUUUACUUAAGCUUGGUAGGCUUAGGCUUGCGUUUGUUGGCGAGUGGCUUCUUAACAUCUUCAGCAGGAUAAAACUUGGCAGGCUUCUCCACCGGAGCAACGACCUUAGAAGUAGCAUCGUGACGGGGGAAAACACCGCCAUUUUUGGCUUUGAUAGCCCAGAGACCUCUCUUGUGGUACAUCUGAGAUCUUGAGUAUUUGCCGACACCCCUGAUUAGGUCAGGGUUGCGGUUAACCUUCGGAGUUCUCUGCUUCGCCGCCGGCAUUUUUUUUUUUUUUUUUUCUCCUUCUGUGUGACGAAAUUCUCUCACUAGCUCUUAAAAAUAUGGGGACGAUGCCAGCAAAAAUAAAACCUAAUGGGCAUUUUAUGGGGUUUAAUCUCCAAUGGGCCUUAAUAUGGGUUUCUAAGUUUAUAGGUGAAAAUAUAUUCAGGUAUUUAUGUAGUGUGAUACAUCAGCACAGUUAAAAAUAUAAUACCACAAAGAGAGAUCCAUUUGGAGUUCUUGAUAAUAUUUAUAUUAUUAAUUUUGUAAAAUUGGAAGUAAAUAAAUGAUGUUGGAGUUUUUAAAUUUGUAGUUGGAAAGAGUCAUGUGGUUCUUUAAAUAUAUAUUUUCAAUUAUUUUUUAAAAAGACAUAAUUUUUAAAUUAUUUCAUUUAUAAAGUUUUAAACAAAACAUGAGUUUUAAACAAACAUAAUAUAGAAGCAAAUAUAAAUAUGAAAAUCAUACAAAAAAAUAAAUACAUUAAUUAUGUUAUUAAUUUCAAAUUUCUACCAUAUAUUUUCGACCAAGUCAGCUUUCAAUUGUUAUGUAUUUUUCUAUCACGAACUCAAUUUGUUACUACCAGAAUUCAAUUUGUAUUUUUCCUUUUCAACAUUUUUAAAAGUUUCGUAACUUCGGCUUUCGAAGUAAGUAACCCAUUAUCCAGGAACAGAGAAUCAAAAUUCGAUUUCGUUUGAAUUUCGUUUUAACAACUUAUUUACAGCCAUACCAUAUCCAACGACGGUAACGAAGCUGCACAUAUGGUUUACGUUUAGCACAUGGAAAGGUCAAAAGAAAUACGAAGACGAUGCUUUGCUACUACUAUUGCACAAAGAAUAAAUGAACAUAUAUACACGACACAUGUAUAAAGAUAUAUGCAUAUCUACUUCAGAUUCAACUCGAAUCAAUAUAUAUAUAAAGUGAUAUACACAUUCUAGCUCCAUAAACAAUCAUCAAAGAUUUGGAAAACCCUCACGUAUUCAUCAGCUACGACGGCACUGUAGGCUGUUCUAACCACUUGGCACGAAACCCAGUUCCUUUGCAAUCCCUACAGCAAGCAGAGCCCUAUAACCAAUGAACGAAUCAAAAGUUCAUAACCUUAGAAGAUCUAUAACCCGGAAGAUACAUACUGGUCUAUAUGCUUAUUGAGUUGGAUUAUUACAAACCUGUCCAGAGCAGAUCACGCAAGAAGUAUUCCUUGAGGGUACUUGGCAAAGCAUGUUAUCACCUAGUAUGAAGAAUCCUGUCCCCGCACACCAUUUGCAUUCAACAUGACCCUUUGCAUUGCACGACGAACAUCCAACAGGACUUGGUUGCUGCAGUGAAAAAAGCAAAUCUUGAGACACAUAGAUACAAAAAAACGAUCUAUUAAACUGUAAAGAACAACACACGAAAGUUCAAUGUUUAAUUCGACUAUACGGCAAAUAAUAGAAGAAAGGCUUGUAAGUCUUAACUUUUGAUAGAUUCUUUGAAAGCAAUAUAAGAGAAUAAGCAGAGAAUUCAAGAAUUGUACAAGCAAGCUACAACAAAACUACAAUGCAAUUGCGAGAUUACUCUGUUUAAGACUCAUCCCUCAGAGAUCACCAAGAACAUAAGACAAAAGGUACAAACCAAAUGAAACUGUGAACAAAAUCUUUUGUAAACAAAUACACACUUCUCUUUGCCCUAAACAAACCCAAAGAUACUUUGCAAUUACAGAAGACCUUUAGAACUUUAGAACUUUAGAACUUUAGAACCUUUAGAACAGCUAGAUACAAAAGACCUUUAGAACUUUCUGAUUCUAAUUCACCUCUUGAUCUGAAUUUUACCAUACUUAUCACAAAUCCAAGUUCUUAAUCUCAUACAAAACUGCACAUAGCUCUUCAAUCGUACAUAAUCCGAAAAUCACAUCCAACAAAUAUUACUCAGAUUCAACUAAAACCAAACGCAUCAAAAUUAACAAGUAUAGAGAGCAAUACUAAACAAAUCUCGGAGAGAAAACGAAACCUGUGAGAUAAUCCAAGCUUGAUCCAUACGCUUAGCGAAAUUUGAAGAACUCUCAGGUGAAUCCACCGCCGAAGCCUUGACGGUAAUAUCGGGAAAGCGGCGACGGAUCUGUACAAAACCUAGCUUCGUUCUCCUCGGAAAACUCCAUGGAUUCGAAAUUGGUUUCGUUACUAGGUGUGAAUCGCAACACAUGCAAAUCGUCAUUUCCUUCUUCUUCUUCUUCAAAGUUGAAUUUCGAGUUUUACAAAUUUGUGUUUGCAAAUUUUGCUUUUGUUUGCGGCGCUUACCAAAAUUGGAAAGACUAGAGGAGGAGAAAAGUCUCGAAAGAGCGAAAUUGGUUUAGUGGGCACAUCAAAGUCCGGUUUGUUAAAAUAACUGAUUCAAAUUCAAAGGCAUCGACCGGUGGUAAUAUAAAUAAAUUGAUUUUAAUUUUUUUUUUUGUCGACUAAAAAUUUCAUUGAUAAACUUGAGGUGUAAACAUGGUAGAAUACAAACGCCCAAAAGAGGGAGAUGACAGCCGGCGGACGACAAAGAUAUCCCCGAAAAAAAGCCGGAGGAAAACUAGAUUUUCCUGGGAGCAGAGCCGUCGCAAAAUAUUUUAGAGCUACAAGCUAAAAACCAAAAAAAAGGCCAAAAUGUUUUUUUGAAGUAUGGAAUAUCGAACACACUAACUCUUAUUCCACUAUCUACUACUAAACCAAUAGAGCUAUAAGAGAUUAUUAGUAAAUUAAGGGCUGAAAAAUAAAUAAAUGUAAGAGGGCCGCAAGCACAUGCUUCAUUAGCUUGUGACUUGGGGCGGCUCUGCCCGGGAGCGAAACUAACAACUUGAGAUACAACACAAACUUAAAACUGAAAUCGAAAGAGAUUAAACCCUAACACUCAACAAAACUAAACUGACUUAGGACCGAAAAUGAACUAGAACCGAAGAACGCAAAAACGACCUCUUCUCGGCAACAAACCAGCGAAUGAGACUUAUCAAGGCUGCCUACGGCCAACCCGAGCUGAUAACAUCUACCUCUUCCUAUCAAUAUGAGAGCCAAUCUCUCCAAACCGGUAACCAAGAAUUCAUGACCCGACAAGCAAAAACCAAAAUUGGAGAACAAGAACACUUUGCUUUCGGAUACGGCGAGGGCAACAACAGCGCCAGAACAAGAACGCUUUGCAAAUUGAUUUUAAAUAAAAUUACAGAAUAUUAUACAAAUAUUAGAAAAGUUAUAUUAAAUUUAGAUUUGCUAUAUUAUUUUACAAUCUAUUAAACAUGUAUUUUUACAGUUAAGUGUACAAGGAUUCGAAAGACUUUUUUUGUUUGUUUAGAAACUUAGUGUUAGGAAUAAAGUUUUACGCAAUUAUAAAAGAGAAUUUUGUCUAAAAUAUCAUAUUUUGAAGGAAAAAGACAUUUCUAAAAUGCCAAAAUGUAAGAAUAUCUAUAAUAUGUCAUAAAUAUUUGAGAACAUGUCAUACAUGUUUAACUCUUUUACCGUGGUGAAAAAAGUAAAAAGCGAUCGAUAGAGUUGAAGAUCAUGUAUGUGCAAGUUUCGGACAGAGCUAGAUCUUAGCUAAACUGUAUCUACAAACUGACAAACUCUAAUAUUUAUCCAAAAUUUUUGGUAUUAUAUAUUUAUGCCAUUAUAAACAAAACAAAUCAUAUACUUUCUACAUUAUUAAUUGAUAUUUCUAUAAUAGAUUUUACAUAUGUUAAAAAAAUUAAAAAAUUUGAUUAUAAUUUCAUCUUUAUGUGAUUUACAGUUUAUUUUAUAAAUUUAAACCAAUAGUAGUUAGUUUGAAACUUGCAAAUUUUAAUUAAUAAUACAUAGAAAAUUAGAAAACAACCUUUUUAAAAAAAAAAAAAUCCUAAAACUGAAAAACAUACAAAUGGAAUGAGUAUUUAUUUGACGAAAAAUUCAUAUAUUUAUUUAUGACACCAAUAUACAAAUUCUAAUUAAGAGAGAUUAGAUAUUUUAGUUACAAUUUUGCAUAUUAACAAAAACCAAAUUAACUAAAAUAUGUCAUAAGUUAUUGUUGCAAUACUUUGUGACACUUAAUUUUAAAGAUUCUUUUUUCUUUUAGCUAUGUUAUAGAUGUUAGAGAUGCUAACAUAUAUAAUUUUUCUUAUUCAAAAUAUUGGCCAAUGUAGUUAGGGAAUUAUAUGCUCGGCAAGAAAAACUAUUAAAAUUAUGCAAAAUCAGCCUAAAAGUCGAUAUUUUCAAGAAUAAUAUUUUGCUUCAUAGUAACUAGCAUAUUGGGUUACACAUUAUUGAAUUACCGACUUUUUAAGUGCACGAUUUUUUAAAUAAAGAUAAUUUUAUUAUUUUUAAUAUAAAAUUUACUCUAAUGAAAAUAUUCAUUUAAUAAAAUUCCGAAAUAGUGGUACAGUAUUUUGCAAUUUAUCCUAAAUUUAUUCCUAUAUUGACAUAUAUAAAUAUUCCCGAUUUUGAUAAGAUUUAAAAUGAGGAAAGAAAUAUAAAGUUACUAGUUGUUGACCCACGCUGCGCGCGGGAGUUUUAUAAUUGUUUUUUAUAUUUUAAAAUUUAUAUUUUGAUUUUUCUUUGUUUUUUGUUUAUUUUUUUGUUUUUAAUGUUGUCAUUGUAUUAAUUUAGUAUAUGAAAUGUUUAUUGUUAUUCGUUUAACUUUGAUUUAUGUCAAAUAGUAGCUCUUAUAACCUUUCAUUUCAAAAGCCUUCAAUUCUCGUAAGCCAAAUUAUUCGGGUGAAUCCACUUAUUUAUUUAUCCAAGUGUUUUCAUUUUACUUUUUAGUUUUUUUUUCUACUUGUUAUGCAUAAAAUCGGUUGUGUUCUCGUUUGAUGUGGCUUCGGAUGACAUCAAUUUAGUGGUAUAUCUAUAUGUAUAAUAUAAAUAUCCUUGUUUUGUAUUUUGUUUUUGUAUUUAGCCCCAUUAAUCAAAAAAUUGAUCUUUACUUUAUAAAUAGAUACUUGUUUUAUUUAUUUUGGACAUAAAUGUAUUUUACUAUAUUAUUUAUUUUCUUAAAACCACUAUUGAAUAUAAAAAAUAAAAUAAAGGCUAAGUAUGAGGUAGAAAAAAAAUUAAAAACUAAAGUGUUGUAAUUCUAAAUUAAUGUAAAAAAUUAAGAUGAAUGAUAAUAUGGCAGCUGAUGUGGCAUAAGGAGAAGAGAGAAAAAGUUAACUUUAUAUACAGUAAAACCUCUAUAAAUUAAUACUCGAUAAAUUAAUAAUCUCUAUAAAUUAAUAAAUUUCUCCGUUCCCAAGUUGGGACCAGUGUAAUUUUAGACAUAUUUCGAUAAAUUAAUAAGAUAAUAAUUUUUUUGAAAAUCCUUUGUAAAUAUAUGGUCCCAAUAAUAUUAUAAAUUAAUAAUUAGAUAAAAUUUUCAAAAUAUAUGUAUAUAUAGACACAUUAGUUUUUGUUAGACUUUAUUUCUAAUAUUUUACUAUAUUAAAAACUGUUAGCAUUCUCUUUAAAGACAUAAUAAUUAUUAUUUUCUUUGUAAUUAAUUAUAUAAAAUACUAAUUAUCAUGAUUAAAUCUCAUUUUUAAAUAUUUUUUUGAAAAAAACUUUCAAAUUAGGAAAAUCUCUUUAUAAAUUAAUAAUUAUUAAUUUAUCGAUAAAUUAAUACAUUUAUAAAUUAAUAGAUUUUCAUGAUCACAACAUUAUUAAUUUAUAGAGGUUUUACUGUAUAUAGAUUCUGGUAUAAGUAUCUCUCAACCUUUAUAACUUUUUAUUUGGUUCUUUCCAGAAACAUUCGAUCUGAGCUUGAGAAAAACCAAAAAUGGAGUUCACCGCUGAGCAGCUAAGCCAGUACAACGGAACCGACGGAUCAAAACCGAUCUACGUCGCAAUCAAAGGCCGCGUAUUCGACGUCACUACCGGAAAAUCCUUUUACGGCCCCGAAGGCGAUUACUCAAUGUUCGCCGGGAAAGACGCGAGCAGAGCCUUGGGUAAGAUGAGUAAGAACGAAGAAGACAUCUCUCCUUCUCUUGAAGGUCUUACUGAGAAAGAGAUGAACACUCUUAAUGAUUGGGAGACGAAGUUUGUAGCUAAGUAUCCCGUCGUUGGCCGUGUUGUCUCUUAGAUCUGGAAUUGGAUUAUGAAAUGUAACUAUCGGUGUGUGUGAGGAUUUGUGUGUUUUUGGUUUCGUGUUUGGAUCUGAUCGGGUUUGAUACAAUGGAUACAUAAGUACCAAGUAUGUCUAAUUGGAAUAAAUUGGUGAUUUCGUCUUUUGAAUUUGUUUCUCUUUAUUGCUCAUAAUCAUAUGAACAUAUUGGUAUGUUUAGGUUAAGGAUUUGCCAAUUUUACUCAAUUAGAUCUUAUUGGUCUCGUUCUGUUCUGUAAUCUAUAUGGUCUUGUUAGGUUGCUCUUGUUGUACUUGAAGAUUAGUCUGAUCUAUUUGAUGGGAGAUUGUUGUCUUUCAUAUAUUUGAUUUGAAUUUGUGUCUCUGUGUUUCUCAUAAUCAUAUGAAGAUUGGUAUGUUUAGGUUAUGGAUUUGCCAAUUUUACUCUAUUAGAUCUUGUUAGUCUCGUUCUGUUGUGUAAUCUUAUAUGGUCUCGUUAGGUUGCUCUUGUUGUAUUUGGAGAUGAGUCUCAUGUAUUUGAUGGGAGAUUUGUGGCUUUCAUAAAUUUGAUUUGAAUUUGCUUCCCUGUAUUGCUCAUAAUCAUAUGAACAUUGAUGUGUUUAGGUUAGGGGUUUUCCAACUUUACCAAGCUGCGUAGUGUGUCUAUUAGGAACCAAGAAUGAUGGAAGUUUGCUCUUGUUUGGUCUCGUUCUGUUCUGUAAUCUUAGAUGAUCUCUUUAGGUUGCUCAUGUUGUGAUUGUUUUGAGUCUGGAGAUGAGUUUGGGAUGUAUUUGUGGGAGAUUGGUGUCUUUCACAUCUUUGAUUUGAAUUUGUUUCUCUGUAAACUGUAUUGCCCAUAAUCAUAUGAAGAUUGGUAUGUUUAGGUUAGGGAUUUGCCAAUUUUACUCAAAUAGAUCUUUGAGGAACACAUUAGUUGUGUAGUGUGUCUUUUAGGAGCCAAUAAUGAUGGAAGUUUGCUCUUGUUUGGUCUAGUUCUGUUCUGUAAUCUUAGAUGAUCUAUUUAGGUUGCUCAUGUUGUGAUUGAUUGGGGUCUGAAGAUGAGUUUGGAUGUAUUUGAUGGGAGAUUGGUGUCUUUCACAUCUUUGAUUUGAAUUUGUUUCUCUGUAAUCUGUAUUGCUCAUAAUCAUAUGAAGAUUGGUAUGUAUAGGUUAGGGAUUUGCCAAUUUUACUCAGUUAGAUCUUUGAGGAAAACAUUAGUUGUAUAGUGUGUCUUUUAGGAGCCAACAAUGAUGGAUGUUUGCUCUUGUUUGGUCUAGUUCUGUUAUGUAAUCUAAUAUGGUCUUGUUAGGUUGCUCUCUCAUGUAUUUGAUGGGAGAUUGGUGUCUUUCACAUCCUUAAAUUGAAUUUUUUUGCUCUGUAUUGCUCAAAUAAUCAUAUGAAGGUUGAUAUGUUUUGGUUAGGGAUUUGCCAAUCUUACUCAGUUACUUGUGUAGUGUGUCUUUUAGGUUGAAACUUAAGCUAUAUGGGUCUUUCUACAAGCUCUUGUUCUAAGGUUACUCUUGUUGUGGUUAUUUGGAGUUAAAGAGUCUCAUGUAUUCAAUGGGAAAGAUUGGUUUGGAGUCUUUCAUAUCUUUACAAACACUUGGGAGAUAAUUGUCUAUGUAACCGCAUUAGUUAAAGCUAAUAGAUCGUCCAAACCACACACUACAAGAUCAAAGAACAAAAGGAACAAAGCAAAAACUAAAAGAGUUCUAGAAGACGAGUAGUUUUUGCGAGUUAAGAACUAAAUUGGGCUUUACGUAUUUUGUUAAAUGGGCCUAAUUUGUAAGAUUGCGUUUCGGCCCAAAUUUUAUCGGUUUGUGUCGGUCUGUGUCGCAAUUUACGUUUAGGCAAAAUCAAGUUUUCCAUUUCCACAAGUAAAAGAAAUCAAACAACUGUGAGAUUAAGUGAUUAACAUCAAAAUCAGGGUUUUUGUAAUGGACAAAUCUUCCUUUGGACAAAAACAUCAGAUCAAAUCCGGAUGGAAACCGACAAAAUCCUUCCGGCGAACUUUGUUGUACUUCAAUCUCGGUCUUGCUGGUUAGUCUAAAACUUUUUUUAUUACAAUGCGCUUAUGGUGUUUGAUGAAAUGCCCAGCUGAGAAAUUUGUAUCAAGAAACGAGACUAUUUCGUCUAGCAAUCUUCAUAUAGUGUAUAUAAAGUGGCUUUUUCUAUAUCACUAAUAUAAAGUUUGAUUUAUGCUCCAAGAGAGUCUUUGAUUCGACAUAUUCAUUGUUGAUGUUCUUGGCGAUAUGAAAAGACGAGAUUGAACUAAUUGUAAACAGAUGCAGGAUACUCUAAUUCAAGAUUUGCUAAAAUUUUUGUAUUCUUUUUGUUUAUAGGUAGCUUGUAUAUAUACAGAUACUACAUAAGAAAGGAAAAUAGUGUCAGUGAAGGAAGAAGCCAAACUGAUGCUUGAACUGGUUCGGUUGCUGUCGGAGAAUAUGGAUUAAUGCUAUUUUUACUACUUGGAUUGGUGACUGUAAUUAAUAACUUGAAUUUGAAAAUCUUUGGGUUUGAUUAUUGUAAAGAUUUUCAUAUUUAAUAAGAAACUUCCAAAUUCAUUGAUCACUUGUGUUUGAACUUUGAAAGCACAGAAACAGAGCCUUUUGAUUUCAAGUAAUUCAGAAUAUACAUUGUGAAUCUCAUCCGUAGUAUCAAUCUCUAGAAUAGUGUUUUGUGAUUAUAAUAUCUGAUUACUUCCCUACCAAGGAAGCGAAUAACGGAAAAAAAAGGUAAUGGUUCAAUUGUGAUCAGACCAUAAGGCCACAUUGGACUGGGAAGGAUCUAACCCGUAGUCCAUCCACUGCCAGAAACGGGAGGUGUUCGCUGUUCUGUGAAACCAGCCUAGCACGCAUUGCCCCCCACUCUAAGAACCCAUUUGGCUCAAGCCUUCGCCUAAGCCACAUGACUCAACUUCUGACUUGGAUUGGGCAGAUCAGUAUAUACCCUAAUCCAGAGCCCGACCAAAGGUACUGAAACAACGUUCCAUUACCAUUUAAGCCUCCACUUGGAUUACAAGCUUACGUUACAAAGCUCGGCGAUAGUUAAUGACUCUUCUCUUGUAUAUAUGUAGCUAUGUUGUUUUUCAAUCUUUCGAUAUGGGACUUGAUAGAAGAACUCGGUAUCUUCCUUUUGCGACUAUGAUUGGGGGCUCAUGAUUUUGCGCUGCGGCCACAGCAAAGUCUACUAAUAGACUAUGAAGUCUCUAUUAGAGAAUGUAUAUAGUUGGUUUAGUCUCUUGUAUAGUUUGGUUAGCAUAGUGGUUUAGUUUCACUUGUAUUUAAUCUUAGUUUGUAUCUCAUUUUAUACUUGAAUGAAGAAAUUAUCUUUUCCCAAAUUCUGUUUCAUCUCUCUCGAUCGGUCUUGUUCAUGGGAAAAGCUAAUAGCCUCCAAUAUUUAUCCCCUGGAAUAUUAAUCAUCAACACACGCAGAGAUCAUCUUAGAUUGUAGAGAUACAUACAUUACAUACAAAUACAAUAUCUUAAUAUAUAAUAUAAGUUAAAAUACUAUCAAUAAUGUUGCUCUAAGCAUAUAAUAUUUAAAUGGCAUUUCAGAAGUUAGGGAUUUAAACGUUGAAAGUUCAUGAUUUUUUUGACAUUUUUCCCUUUGAUCAUUACACUUUGAUGAAAAAAGUCAUAAGUAUCAAUUAGACUAUCAAUGCAUUUAAGUUUCUUUUUGUCUUGUUAAUUUCAAUAUACCCAUAUAUAUAAUUAUAUUGAAGUAAAUGAGAUAAAAAUUAAAGUUGCAUAUAUCUAACAAAUUCACAUAAAAGUCACAUGUACUUAUUAAUUUAAUUAGAAAAUUCAUAUUUAGUUAUUAAUUUAAACUAAAAAGUUGCAUGUAUCUAGUAAUCAUUAAUGUGCUUUAUGUUUAUUUUGUCUCAUAUAUUUUAUUAUUAUAUAUAGUCAUUAUGAUAAAUUAUAACUAUAUAUUUACUCUUACAUUUUCACCCCAACUCUCUUUUAGGGAAUAUGAAAUUAAGUUAUUUGAAGAUGUUAUUUUUGUUGGGUUGUAUCGUAUAUUUUGGCGAUAUCACAAGUCUCAGUAAUCAUUUUGUGGAUGCUAAAAUAUUUAAAAAUUUCAGCGAAUUUGAAAUUGAAGAACAACUUAAAGUCAUCAACAAACCUGCAAUGCAAAUUAUUAAGGUCUAUAUAAUUUUUUUUAUACAAAUAUAUGCAUGUUCUUAAAUCCUAACAAUGAAGUUUACAAAAGAUUCACUAAUCUAUUUUAUUAUGGAUGAUAGACUACACAAGGCGAUUUAUAUGGAUGUGUGGAUUUUUAUAAGCAACCAGCGUUUGACCAUCCAUUGAUGAAAAAUCACAUAUCCCAUUACAAGGUAUAUAUUAAUUUAUAUCUAAUAUAUGUGAAUUUGAUUAUUGUAACAAUCACUAAUUAAAAAAAGUAUUUAAAAUAUAGAUGCAGGAGUCACCAAUCCUACAAAAAUCAAGAUCAAAUAAUGAAAAAUUUGGUUACUUGUGGGAAAAUGGCAUAGGAUGUCCCAUUGGUACUGUACCCAUAAAGAGAAUUUCAAAAGAUGAACUCUUGAGACUUAAUAUGUUCUCUGAUAAAUUUAGGCCUCAAGGUUCUUGGAAUUUCACUUAUAGCCAAUAUAAUGUUAAUGCUAAUCAACAUCAUGUAAGUGGUUUAAUCUUUGUUAUAUUCUAAACCAAUGUCAAAUCAUAUAUAUAUUUACCAUCAAACUGAUAAAAUAAAUGUUAAUUAUGUAUAUGGUGAUGAAUAUUAGUUUGCAGUGUCUCGUACAAAGACAAAAGGAAAGAGUUACUAUGGAGCAGCAAUGAUAAUGACAGUAAAUGAUCCUAAAGUUGAAUUUGAACAGUACAGUUCAGCUCGUAUGCACAUUCAGAUUGGAGAUGAUUUUAUUCAAGCUGGUUGGACUGUAAGAUGGUUAUCAUAUCAUUUUUUAUUUUAUUUUAUCAUAUCUUAUAUUUGAUUUGAGUUGUAAAAUAUGCUCUAGAUUUUAUCAGCAUAAAGAAAUUAUGAUAAAUAUAUACUUUAUUAAAUUCAAAAAUACUCUUUUCCAAAUACCACUUUUUAAAAAUACCCUCUUUUCAAACUUUAUAAAGAAAAGCGAUUGAAAAGGUUAACAUCUAUCCAAUAUGUGAGUAAUCUUAUAAAUGUAUAUACAAAUUAUAUGAGUUUAAAAUUUUAUAUAUUUUUCAUAAACACCAUACAAAUAUCUUAUAAAUACCUUUUAAAAACUUUUCAAAUCCUUUUAAAAUCUUGUAAACCUUGUAAAAACAAUUUAAAACCUUUUAAAAUCUUAUAAAUUUAGAUCGAAUAUCCCAGUAGUAGUUGUUAUCUAGAAGUACCUUAUAAACAAUAUAAAAUUUUAUAAUUUUCAUAUUUAAACAGGUGUAUUUUUGAAAAUGUAUAGAUAAGGUAUUUUGAAAAGGUUCCACCAAAAUGGCUAUCUUUAAUAUGUUUAUUUUAAAUUUAUUUACAUUUCAGGUAAACCCAAAGUUGUAUUCUGAUAAAAGAACUCGAACUUUUGUGUAUGCGAAGGUAAAACUACUAGUAAUGUACACAUGAAUUGUCUAUUAUUUAUCCCAUAUUUUUUUCUAAAAUAACUAAUAUCAUAUACAUAUAAAUAUUUACCAUAUGCAUAUAAAGCUUUAUAAAAUUAUACAGAUAGGUGAAAACCAAUGUUAUAACAACAUGUGUUCAGUUGGGAUCAUUAUGGUCCGUCCGGACAUUUCUCUGGGUAUGGAUUUAGGCCCUCCUGCGAUUCGUGGUUCUCCAGUAGGUGUAUAUUGUGAAUAUGGUAUAUUCAAGGUAUGUGGGUUAUAUUAGUUUCUUUCUUUAUGUUUCAAGAUUUUUUUUAUCUAUAAAUAUUUUUUAGUUUAUCUUGUUUAUUAUUUACUUAUAAGUAAACAAGUUUAUGCUUCAAAGUGUUACUGAAUUAUCUACAAAAAAAAAAACUUCUCAAGUCAAAAGUUUUGAAAUUUCACCUUCUAUCUACCAAAAAAGUAGGCAAAUCUCAUAAAAUCAAAUGUAAUACACAAUAUAAUUUGAACAUCUAUCUUCAAACCUAGUUUUUAGCAUAAUUUCUAUUUGAUAUAUUAUUUAUCAUAAUUUAUAAAAUAUAUUGUAUUGUAGACAUGUUUGAUUGCAUAUUAUAUUUGACUUUGUGAAAUUAAUCUAAUCAAUAGUUUUGGGAGGUAGAAAGUAAAAUAGAAAAAAAAAAAAAAGUAAAAUAGUAAAAGAUGGCAAGUUAGGAGAUUGUUUGGAGCAAAUGCUUUGUUUUUUACUAAUAAAUGAUAUAACAUUAUUAAACCUGGGAAUGUCUUAGAUUUGAUGUAACUAUUGAUUAAAGGAUAAGGCAAAUGGUAACUGGUGGCUCAAGUUUGGAGGACACGAUAUUGGGUAUUGGCCAGAAAAAAUAUUUCAGGAGAGUUCGGCCACUAAUAUCGAGUGGGGAGGAGAAGUAUAUAGUGCCAGUAUGCCGAGUCCUCAGAUGGGAAAUGGUCAUUUUCCAGUAGCACGGACAGGGUAUGAUGCCAUUAUAUUUAAUAGAACUAUAGUUGAUGAAAGUUUCAAGAUUGUUGAGAAUAUAGAUAGAGAGGCAUUUUCAGAUAACACUCGUGGUUAUAACCUGAUAGAUGGUACAUUUUCAGAGCCACAUAUGAUAAAUAAACUAAAUUAUGGAGGUCCUGGAAAUAUCUAAAAUUGAGAAGAUAAUUACUGUAAAAGUUAAAGGGAAAUCCUAAUAAAUAUAUUGUAAUCGAGCAACUAAAAAUUUAUAUAUAUAUAAUUCUUCUACAAGAUAAAUGUCCUUCAGUUUUAUGAAAGACAUAGUUUAUUAGUACAUAGAACUAAUAUGUGAUGGUGAAAUCCACCAGAAAAAGUUAUCCAAACAAUUAUGGGAGAAAAACAACUAAAAUUAUCAAUAUUUUUUUAAAAAAUUGGUAAUGCUUUUCGUUAAAAGGUAUCAUAGUUAAUAUUUUUUUUAUCAACCCGUUAAUAUAUUAAACUUUUCAGAACAAUUAUACUAGCGCCGAAAAGGCCACUUUGGCCAGAGAAUCAGCCUCACAAUUGGCUGACCUUGGGAUAAACUUGCACAAAAAGUGCUUAAACUUAACGAACAAAAGAAGAUAUCUAAAAGAAUACCAUGAACUUCCAACAGCGAAGACCGAGAGCAAAUAGCCUUUACUUGGACCUGGCAAUUAGAAAGUAACACUAAAUCCUGAAACUUGAGCUCCAAAGCAUUACAUAAGGUUGCACGGAUUGCAAGACAUUUUGCAAUAAGAUGAAGACACAAAAUCAGAGAAGACUGAGUGUCUUAAGAUGAGCAGUCCCAAAGGGGAAGUGACCAACCAACCAAGCCCAGCAGAUUUUGAAUCUCUAUUCCAAGCCGCAUCCGUGUUAACAAUGACCAUGAAAGGAGAGUUGCUGAAUCCAGGUGAGGGUAAAACUGCAUGCAACCACACCUCCCUAAAAAGAGGAGUUUGCACUUCUUGCCAUUCUCUGGUUAGAUCAACAAAAACUAAUAGACUCUAGAAACAUCUAAUAUAUGAUUCUUAAAUUGAAAAAAGGUAAAAAAAAAUAGCACAAAACAGAAAGAAAAAUUGUAUAAGCCCUUUGGUCCAAUAGUGUUGAUCAAUAGUGUUGGCUUCUAUACCAAGACGUCUGGGGUUCGAGCCCCAAGUAACGCGAUUUAUUAAUAUUUCUGCAGAUUAAUAACGAUAAAUUUACAGGAGAUCUCCCGUGAUGCGCAAUUAGAGUCGUUCGCCGUAAUUUUAGCUGUUAAAAAAGAAGAUGAUGUCCAAAAUCAGCAUGGAGAAUGAUAGCGUUCAAGAUCAGCAAAAGAAUGUUGUCAAUAGUGAAACGUUAUUCUCUGCCACAGUACAACGGCUCAAAUCUUAUUACUAACCGUUACCAUGACUAAUAGGGUCGCAAGGAAUUGCCCAUGGUAGAUAUUUGUAUCCAUUCUAAUAAUCUGCAAUCAUUAAUAAAUUUAAAGACGAUAACAAAAAGUACUAAAACAUAACAAAUCAACACACAUUAGAUCUCCAAAUUUGGUUAUUACAUUACCAAAAUAUAAUAAAAUAAAAUUAUAGUUUUCAUAAUGAUACAUAUAUAACAAAUUCGCAUUGGAAAUUUUUUUAAUUGAUAAAAAUAAAAUUAUAUAUCUCUAAAUAAUUUAACAUAUUGAAAUUGUUAUUUAUUUUAAAAUAUUUAAUUUUAUUUAUAGUUUUGAUUUUAUUUGAUGCCAAAACAACCAACAUAUGUUAAAUAUAAGUGAUGACAAAAAAAAAUGUUUAAUAUAUGUAUUUUUUGCAAAAAAAGAAUUCUUACUAUAGUAAAUAUUGUAAUAACUCUCAUAACUUAUAUAGAGAAUUCAUCUGUACAAUUUCUCAAAUCCCUACUAUAGUAAAAUAGAAGUACAAAAAGAUUUCUGAGUCGGGUCAAAAACAAAAACAAAACCCGACUUCAUUACUGGAUCCUUUCAUUAAUUACUGCGUUUAUAGCUUUAUAGGCCUUUUUUUUUUUUUUGGUCACCAGCUUUAUAGGCCUUUAUUUCGAUUAUUUUCAUUGUUAUCUAAUAGGUUUCAUAAUGGGUAAAGCCCAUAAAAACUUACCACCGUGUUUCGAGUCUAAAAUAGAUACAUAAACAUAAUAUUAUUAUUACUCUAUUACUUACAUCUUAAUAAAGAGAAACGGUGGAGGAAAAGGAGUUAGUGGAAAAUGAUUAGAUUGAGAAUCAGACAAUACGACACAGGAGCAAGAAUUUGGUAGUGGACCUUAUCUCCAUAUUUAAUAAUGGCCCAAAAGCCCAGAUUUAAUUGUAAUAUUUCACAUAUUAGUUACUAUUAUGAAAAUUCCUUCAAGCCCAAUGUAAGCCAAUCAGUGAAUAAAUAGAACCGUAAACAAAAUAGAAUGGUUAUCAGAACCACGUACGGUUCACAAACAAAACCAUAAUAUAACCUUCAUGAAUAAAGUUUUCCGAAAACAGAAAUUUCAUAAAUUGCAAAUAAAUAAUACACACAAUUAGUAACGUUCUAAAAGUUUUUUUUUUAAACGUCACUAUCUUGAUAAAUGAAUAACAAUGAAACACCAAUAACCAAUUAUCCCACAUUCCCAUUUUUAAUAAUCCUACAAUAACACGUUAGCCUAAAACCACACAAAUCUUUAAUCUUUUUAAAAAUAGGUUUUAUAUAAUCCCUAAAUAAUUACUUACAUUUUCAAAACCAAAGAACAUUUUAUUCGAUUCACAUAAAAUAUUUUUAAAAAUCAAAACCGACAACUUUCCUCCACGCUGUAGCGCGGGUCAGGACCUAGUAAGAUUAGUAAGAUAUCAAAUUAUAAUAUUUGUAAUUAACACUAAGAUUUUUCUCCAAACAAAAAUGUUUAUUUGGAUCCAAAAAGGCCCUUUUAAGGUAAAGAAUGGCCCAUAAAGACAAAAGCAGAGAGAAGUAAAAUAGAGAGAGAGAGACGAAACAGUGGAGCCAAACAGAAACACAAUUCAGGAUUAGGUUUACUCUCUCUCCCAAACUCCGCCCAAUUUCAUCUCUCCGCCGCGCGCAACUGUAACCUUUACUUAUAUAUAUCGUUCUUCGUUUGUGUGAAAGAUGAGUAGUGUUGGUCAAGUCACUUGCAAUGAUCGAACAAGAACGUAUUGGACUCCGACAAUGGAACGGUUCUUCAUAGAUCUUAUGUUAGAGCAUUUGAACAGAGGAAACAGAACAGGUCACACUUUUAGCAAACAAGCUUGGACCGACAUGGUUUGUGUUUUCAAUUCAAAGUUCGGUUCUCAGUACGAUAAAGAUGUGUUGAAGAGCCGGUACACGAAUCUUUGGAAGCAGUAUAAUGAUGUGAAGAGUCUUCUUGAUCAUGGUGGUUUUGUUUGGGAUCAGACUCAUCAGAUUGUUACUGGUGAUGAGAGUUUAUGGAGUUUGUAUCUCAAGGUCGUUAACAAAAUCAGAUUUUUCGACAGUUUUGAUUUUGGGUUUGGUUGUUUGAUAUGAUUUUGUGUUUUUGUGAUGUUCAAGGUCUGAACAAUAACAUAAAAAUCAAAUCUUUAUACAUUUUUUGGUUUUGAUUUUGUGGUUUUGUGAUGUUCACAGGCUCAUCCUGAAGCUCGUGUGUACAAGACGAAACCUGUGUUGAAUUAUAAUGAUUUGUGUUUGAUUUAUGGGUAUACUGUUGCUGAUGGGAGAUAUAGUAGAUCAAGUCAUGAUUUUGAGGUUGAAGAUGAGAUUAAUGGAGUCAACAUUGGUGUGUCUUUGUUCUUACUUUAAACUGUUCUUUUAUGUAUACUUAGUUGUUGGAUUAUACAAUGUGUGUGUUUUUUUGUGUAGGUGAGAGUAGUGGAAGUGUUGUUUUAUCGAGUAAAGAAAGCUCGAAAACUGAGUGGACUCCGGUUAUGGACCAAUACUUUGUUGAGGUUAUGCUUGAUCAAAUCAGUAAAGGUAACAAAACUGGUAAUGGUUUCAGUAAACAAGCAUGGACAGAUAUGCUUGCUUUGUUCAAUGCUAAAUUUAGUGGUCAAUAUGGGAAAAGAGUUUUGAGGCAUCGGUACAACAAGUUGUUGAAAUACUACAAGGAUAUGGAAGCUAUUUUGAAAGAAGACGGGUUUUCGUGGGAUGGAACUCGGUUAAUGAUAGCUGCAGAUGAUGCUGUUUGGGAUUCUUACAUCAAGGUUUUAAUUCUUUAGGCUAAUAUAUCUCUAUUUUGAAUAAGGUUUGAAUCUUCAGUCCAUUAGUUUGAAUCAAGAUUUGAUGAGGCAGGAGCAUCCACUUGCUAGAACGUAUAGGAUGAAAUCUUUACCGAGCUACAACGAUUUGGACACCAUAUUUGCCUGUCCAGCUGAGCAAGGGGUUAUACCACAUCCAGUUCAAGGCAAAGAUCACAGAGAUGAUGGUUCGGCUGCCCAAACAAGUGAGUUAAAUCUUAUCCAGUUUAAAUUUUUUGGAUUAGUGAAAAAAUGCCUAGAGUGAUAAAUCUUGCUUCUGCAGGUGGGACUAAGGCCAGCCAAGUGCACAAUUCUGAACGCACAAGGACAUUUUGGACUCCACCAAUGGACUACUAUCUUAUUGACUUAUUAGUAGACCAAGUGAAAAAUGGGAACAGAGUUGGGCAGACUUUCAUAUCAAGUGCUUGGAAUGAAAUGGUUACAGCAUUCAAUGCCAAAUUCAUGUCUCAACACAGCAAAGACGUUCUGAAGAAUCGGUACAAACACUUAAGGAGGUUGUACAACGACAUUAAGUUUCUUCUCGAGCAAAAUGGGUUCUCAUGGGAUACAAAGAGAGAUAUGGUGAUUGCAGAUGAUGGCAUUUGGAAUACCUAUAUACAGGCAUGCCACAUUCUUUUUUCCUUUUAAGAUAUCAGUUAAUAUGGUUAUGCUUACAAAUAAAGCAUGUGUAGGCACAUCCAGAAGCUAGAUCAUAUCGUGUUAAAACUAUUCCAAGCUAUCCAAAUCUUUGCUUCAUAUUUGGGAAGGAAACGUCGGAUGGGAGAUACACACGCUUGGCUCAAUCUUUUGAUCCCAGUCCGGCAGAAAAUGUGCGGAUGAUUGGUAAGCUUCUCCUAUAGCAUUGCCUUUGAGAUUCGUUUUGGAAAAAGAAAACUCAUACUUGUGCUCUCUAUCUCCUUUUGAUUCAUAGAGCUGUGUAUGCGAAACUAGUGAUGCAGAAGUGAUUAACAAAUGAUACUUUGGUAUUUAACACUGUUUACAUGAAUCCUUUUCAGAAAGUGGAAGCACAGAUGGAUUUAAAGAUACUCUAGGGGAAACUCAAAGUUUCCAGAUGGUGAUUUAUGCCAGCAAUGAGAAAAAUGAUUACCUGUGUAGCAAUACCGGUCCUUGUAUAGAAUGGACACAUUUCAUGGACCGCUGUCUUAUCGAUCUUAUGCUAGAACAGGUUGAUAGAGGUAAUAAGAUUGGUGAGACAUUUACAGAGCAAGCUUGGGCAGUCAUGGCAGAAUCUUUCAAUGCAAAGUUUGGUAUAGAGACUGACAUGUUUGUGCUGGAGAAUCGUCUCAUAUUAAUGAUGAAAGAGUGUGACGACAUCAACAAUAUCCUCAAUGUCGAAGGAUUUACUUGGGAUGAGGAGAAGCAAACCAUUGUUGCUGAAGAUGAAUAUUGGGAAGCAUAUAUCAAAGUAAGGCUAUCUAAUGGCACUCUCUUUUAUUUUAUUUUGAGAUAUGAAACUCUUGGGGUUGUGUCUUUGCUGUCUUAUUAGUAUAAAGUUUUAUAUGUUAAGGAUACCACUGUAGGAAUAUUUAAAAGGUAUGAUUCUAAGCAAUUAGUGUCUGAUGUUUCAGGAUCAUCCAGAUGCAACUAUAUAUAAAGGUAAAACCUUGGAUAGUUACGGCAAUUUGUGCAAGCUACAUGAACAUCUCUCCCAAGAUAGUUUCAAUUGUGAGAAUCUCAUGAUUGAGUUGGAAAACUAUGACCAUGAGAUAGUCAAUGACUUUAGUUUGCCACACAAGCAGCAAAAUAAGCGACCUAACCCAGUAACUCCACCGUUGGGGCUAAUUGUACAUAAAGCUCAGAAGACAGGACUAGAGACGAGGAAUCCUCUGUGUGAGGCAGAAGGUGAUGAUGAUGGUUGCACAAAGCCUAUUCCGCAGCACGAAAUUUACUCAAGAAUAGGAAAUGCCAUUGAUGCAUUGCAAGCUUUGCCUGAUAUGGACGAUGAGCUUCUGCUGGAUGCUUGUGAUCUUUUGGAAGAUGAGAGGAAAGCAAAGACAUUCUUGGCUUUGGACGUCUCGUUACGUAGGAAAUGGCUGGUGAGAAAGCUUCGUCCUUCAUCUAAAUUUUAAGCCAAUGGCUCUCUCUCUUUGAAGCCAAACAAGCAACCAAGAUAUAAACCAUGCUUUAAGCACAAUAGAGGAUUAGCUAAUGUAAGUUAUUGUAUAGUAAAUAACUUUUUGCUAUUGUUUAAAGAGUAUUGUACAAUUUUGUCAUCUUAGAUCACAAUAUCGAUUAUAUAUGGAGAGGUUGAUCAGAAAAUAAACAUGAACAUCCUCAAUUGGUAUGAACAGUACAAGAAAAAAAGCAUGUUAUGUUAUUGAUGAUGUCUUCUUUAUCUCCCUUUUAUGACUCCCACAGUAUCAGAAACAAGAAGCAGCAUUUAUAAAUAAACACAAAGUACAACAGCAGAAGAAGUUCUUGAUCAGCUAGAAUUGCAGUGAAUAAAAUGUACACAAACAAUUUAUUUGCAAUGGAUAAGAGUCUUAGAAUAAGCAAAUUAUAUGAUUAUAUCUAAACCAAACCGACCCGAACCGUUUCUAAACCACAAUGAGUGGGUUCAACACUAGCAAAAUUGAUUGUUUAGUGUAAAAGUUAUAUAUCAUUGAAAACAUGGAAGAAUACAUGUAAAAGAAAAUGUUUUAAAGGUACUCAAAACUUGACUUACAGAAAACAAAUCAUCUUUGAAUGUUUUAAGAAUGGCAAUACAUUACCUUUUAUUUGUAAAAAGAGUGAAAAGAAUGUUAUAAAAGUUUCCAAAAGAGACCGGAGUAUGUUAAUAGUGCUUGCAAUGAUGCUUGUGGUAGGUAGGUUUGUUAAAGCAGAGGCUGCUUCAUGUUUGUUAAAGCAAAGGCUGCUUCAUGCUUCGUUUCUCUAUUAGUAGUGGCACUGUAGUAUAUAUAUAUACAGCUUUGGAUGGCCUUUCAAUUUCAUCAGCUACUUCUCAUUCCCCUACUUGUUCUUCAGUAGCAAAAGCCAUGGCUCAGGUUCGCCAGGUUUUGUUUGUUUCUCUUUGCUCAUUUCUUUUGUUUUGCUUUACCUUACUUAAUUGAAUCUGAGUUCAAGGUUUUGUUUCACAGUUUCUGUUCACUUGCCGCGUAGAAGUAAACAAUGAUGUGUCCUUUUUCUCCAUGCCUCAGCCUCAACAUCUUGCAGAGGACGCGCCUCCUGUGGCUACCAAUCAACUUAUGCAUCUCCCCUUGAGUUCUAUACCAGACAGUAAAGUAUAUAUUAAUUCUAUCAGAGGAUUUGUUUGUUUUAUAUAUCAGCGGCUUGUAAAUGGAAGUAUCAAGCAUGUGCAAAUGAUAUGUAAACCUAGUACUCAAGAAUCCUCAAACUUACCAAGAAUGAACACUUCAAGAAUGAACACUACAAGGAUUCGUAUGCACAGCUAUUAUGGGUAUGAUGAGGUCAAUGAUCAGUUGAAGGUUUUGUCGAUGACUUGGCGAAGCGGAAGGAAUUUUGAUGAUCAUCAAGUUCUAAAUUUUGGACCUGGCAACGCAUGGAGAACUAUCCCUUGUAGCGUGCCCCAUUUUGCACGAAAAAAAGGGAUAUGCAUCAGUAGUAUUUUGUAUUAUCCAGCUAUCGAUAAGUCUACCGGUGAACAUAUGAUAGUUUCCUUUGACGUGAGAUCUGAAGUGUUCAGCGCUCUUCCAGCCAUCAUGGAAACAAUGAUUGAAGCAUUGGAGCUUGGGACUUUUGUAGAUUACAACGGUAUAUUAGGUAUACUGCAGUCUGAUAUCACCCUUCAUGUUGAUAAUACAAGUAAAAGUUUUACGCUGUGGUAUCUAGAUCACGAAACACAGGCAUGGGCUCAUCAUAUAUACGAGUUUCCUGCUUCAUUUGAGGAUACGAUUGGAGAAGCCUCGUUAUUCAUUAGUGGAAUGACUCGAACAAAUGAAGUUGUGUUUUCGUCUUACUAUCCUUCCCACCCGUUUCACCUUUUCUACUACAACAUUGUUACAAAUACUUUCCGAAGAGUUGAAAUACAAGGAAUGGAGGCGUAUGAGUACCUUAGCACCUUUCUAAACUAAGUCGACGGUCUGAAGCUUAUGCAAUUGCUUAGGUACUUCAAAACUUCAGAUUUCGUUUGGCUCAAUCAUAUCAUCAUCAUCAUCACACGAUCUUAUUGGAUGGCUGUUUUCUGUGUGGACUUUUUAUCCCUUUGCUUGUUUACUCUUUACUGUAAGGUUUGGCUUCUUUUCUUGCUUUGUACUCUCUUGUCUUUAAAAGCAAUAAACUUUUGUGUGUGCAAUCGUAUUUCAUAUUAGAUUUUGCAACCAAGAUAAAACUCAAGUUUUAAGCACAAGGAAAUACAUAGAUACAAAAAUCUAGAGCACAGUUUGGAAUAUAUGCAGUGGUUGUGUAGAUCUAAACAUUACCAUGAACAGGAACAUACUCAAUUGGUAUGAACAAUAGCUGAGAAAAGCAUCUUAUUGAUGUCUUCUUUAUCUGCCUCCCCUAUAUCCCCCACUGCAUCAGAAACAAAAGAAGCAUCAUUUAGAAAUAUAACCACAAAACACACAACAAGUCGAUCAGCAGCAAUUGCAAUACAUGUCCCAAAGUUUCUUUAUAAACAGAAAUGUUAAUGUUUCAGUGACAUUCAAUGGCUAUGUUCUGGUUACCUGUUCUCGAUCUAACUUGUGUUGUCCACUCGUCGAUAAUCUGCUUAAAAGCAAAAAAUGAAAAAGCAAAGGGAUUAUGGAAAGUCUAAAAAGCCUCUUUGUAUCAGUAUGCUUAUAUGAACUUGAUUUCUAAGGUAUACAAUACAGAUAUGCUGAGUAUUAGAUAUCGGAUUUGACUUGGAAGGUUAAAACUUUACACAAGCAAUUUAUUUGCAUAAGUAAUAAUUCUUGCCAUCUUCUCAAUGAUAAGCAUUGUAUUCCCAAUAAAGAAAAGGAAGACGAACCUGGUUAAAAUCAGCCAAUGCAUCAUCCGCAUCACCAUUUGUUGAUUCUCCCAAGGAUGCAUUCAUUUUCUGAAUAAGGUUGCAAUUUCCAACAAGUGUUGUCUGUGCCUUAUCAAUCAAAUCCUGUUAUAACAACAACUCAACAAUCACUUCUAUAAACAAUCAAGCUCUGUCUUAAAUGCCUAACUUUGCAAAAGCCUUAGCAGAUCUGACCAUUGAUGACAGGAAUAGAAAACUCCAUACAACAAAACUUACCAUUUCUCAUUACAGUCAAUAAAAACUCAUCCUUUGGUUCAAAUCACAAAGAUCUAAACCCCCUUUAUUGAAACUCUCUACAGCAAAAAUCAAACCUUUCUUCAUUGGAAUCAAUAAAAAUCCAAUCUUUUGUUAAUUAUAGGGACUUCACAACUUGUAACCACUAAGAAUGAAUCGUUCAUCGAUCUAACACCGAGGCUUAGUUCCACUGCUAACACCAUAACGAGAUACGAACCUGUUUAGCAGACAAUAGCUCUAAGCAUUGGUCUUUAAGACCAGUCACAUCUUCCUGCAACUUCUUCAUUCUCUGAAUCAGCUUCAUCGGAUUCGCCUACAACAAAAUUCAUAAGAUUAAAUCGAGCUUGGAUUCAAAGUUCAAUACUUUGAAUCAAGAAUCGAAUUUUGCUUACAUUCUCGGGAUAAAUCUGCUGAAACUCCUUGUCGAGCUUGGAGUGAACAAGAUUAAGAUCAUGAGAAGCUCUCGCUAAAACAUUAACCAGAUUAUCAACAGCUUGAUGAUGAUGAUGACUCAUCUUCUUCUCUCGCUUUCUUCAAUCUUCUUCCUUUAGGGUUUAGUCUUCUCCCGCCUCUUCUAACCCAAAGAAGCGAGCAACGAAAAAAAAAGCGAGCAACGAAAACAACACGAAGUUCAUACGUUAACGUUAAGAACAACAAGACGUUAAUUAUAAAAAAACCGAACCGAAAUCGUAAAAAAUCCAAAUCGAACCGAUCUAGUAAACCGAAAUCAUAUAAAACGACGUCGUAGUAACGAGAAAAGGGUUUUAUACUCUUCUUCCUCUGAUUCUCUCGCCGGUAAUAUUUCGCCGCCUCUCUGAAGAAAUCGAUGGAGGAAGUAUCAGUAGUAGCAGCAGCAGAGCCACCGCCACCGAUUUCAGCUCCGGUUAUUGUACACGAAGAAGAAUUUGAAGAAGAUGAUGAAGAUGAUCUCUCGCUUUCGUCAGAUUCCGAUAUCGCUGAAGCUCUUGAUUGGCUAGACGGUAAAGACGAUGACGAGCUAAUCGGUGGUGGAUUCUCUCUCCAUGCUCGUCGUCCUAAUGCUCACGGUGGACAUGGUUCACGACCUAAUUCGAGUUCUCUUCAGCCUAUAUCAAAUAAGGCGCAGAAGCUUACUGGUCAUGUUCGUGCUUCUCCUUUGGAGGUAUAAAAAUUCGAAAGUUAUCGACUUUAUUAUCAAUUGAUGUUUGUAGUAUUUGAAAUUUGAUAUUUUGCUUUCUCCUGCGCCAUAAUUGUUAUUUGGUUUAUUGAUUUUGAUAUUGGACAUUAGGAUUUGAGAAAGCUUCUGAAUUGCUUGUAGUCUCUGCUUUAUAGGAUUUGUGUUCAGGGAGCUUUUUUGUAUUUGUAAGGUGGAGAACUAUGUGGUUUUAUGAGGUAAUGUAGAUGGAAAUUGAUUUGAGAUAAAUGUGGAUGCAGGGAUGGGAAGGAAGAGUUCAAGUUGGGAUGUCGAACUCUGUGACAACUGCGAUUCGUGGUAGUCUGAGGGAUACAGAAAUUGGUAGAAGCAGAAAUACUGAUAAAGCGGACCGGGCAACAGUUGAACAGGUGAGGUUUAAUUGUUACACAAGAAUGUCAGGUUUGUUCAUUUAUCAAGUGUUUAAUGGAGUGUGCUGAUGUUGUUUUCUCUUUGUUCUAGGCUCUUGAUCCAAGGACCCGUAUGGUUUUGUUUAGAAUGCUUAAUCGGGGUGUGUUCAAUGAUGUUAAUGGUUGUAUUUCGACAGGAAAAGAAGUAUGUCACCAUUCACUACUCUCGUAUUCAGUGGUUUAGUUAAUUGCUAACAGUCAAGAAGAUGAUGUGUUUUGGAUUACUUUGUUAACAGGGCUCUCUUUUAUUAUAUUCUUACAGGCUAAUGUUUAUCAUGCCACAAAAUCUGAUGGUUCAGAACUUGCAAUAAAAGUGUACAAGACAUCCGUUCUGGUUUUCAAGUGAGCUUAUACAGUAAUAAAUGCUGUUUAUCGUUUCUUCAAAAGCUAGACGAUUUUGUUUUUGACCACAUUUUCAACUUUGAUGAUUUCAGGGAUCGAGAUCGAUAUGUUCAAGGUGAUUACCGAUUUAGAUAUGGGUACUGUCGCCACAAUCCAAGGAAGAUGGUGAAAACGUGGGCAGAAAAAGAACAGAGAAAUCUCAAGAGGUAAUACCUACAAUUUGUCGUGGGUGUGUAUUUAAUAAUAGUACUGAAGUAUAAUUAAAUUAAGUAAUUUUGGCAGUCAUCUGUGCUUUACUAAGCCAUAUGAAAUCUUGUUAAUGUUGGUUGACAUAUCUUGUCCUCCAAAUAAAAGGGGGAUAUGUUCUAAUUCUUUUCUAUCUAUAUAUUACAACAAUUUUUAAUUCCUUGGUUGGUUUAUAAACUGUGUAUCGUUGGCAGGCUUCAUGCAGCAGGAAUUAGGUGUCCAGCUGUUAUACUUCUACGCCUUCAUGUUCUUGUCAUGGAGUUUAUAGGUUCGCUCUAAUUCAUUAUCUUUCUUUUUGGUCACUGAUUCCAGGCAACUCUUCUCUUUACUCUAAAACAGCAUAUUUCAUUAUAUAGAGAAAUGAUGACGUAAAGAAUUUUCAGCUACCAAGUCAAAUAGACUAAGAUUUUUGUAUUUAACUAUCUUUGCAGGAAGGGAUGGUUGGGCUGCACCGCGUCUCAAGGAUGCUGCAUUAUCAUUAGACAAGUUACGCGAGUGUUAUCUAGAGGUACGUCUGACUUUCUCUUUUAGAAGGUCCUGAGUAUCUUAUUGUAGUACUUUACUUAUACCUGUUUUCUUUAUGGUCUUGUAGCUGCCGUAUUGGUAAUUCACUGACACUUUCUUGUUUGUCUUUCAGUUGAUAAUUCAAAUGCGAGUAUUAUAUCAGAAGUGCAAAUUGGUGCAUGGGGAUCUGAGUGAGUAUAACAUACUUUAUUUUGAGGUGAGUUUUGUGUUAUUUUGUUUAUAAAAGAUCUCUGGCUUUUCAUGGCUCACGUAUUUGACCUUUCCUGGCAUUGAAAGGGAACAAAAACAAGUUUUGAAAAAUAUAGAGAAGCUAAAUAUAUUUAUAUGAUUAUCUUGCCUUUUUCAGGGGCACCUUUAUAUUAUUGAUGUUUCUCAAUCUGUGGAUCUGGACCAUCCUCUUGCCCUCAAUUUUCUACGGGAAGAUUGUGACCAUGUCUCAGUAAGUGCGAAUAGUAGCCUGAUUUUCACAAUGCUUACUUUGACUGGAAAAAAGUGUCUGAUGUGUGGAUUGUAUUGACAUUUACGCGCAGGAUUUUUUCAAGAAACACGGUGUGGCUGUGAUGACAAUACGGGAGCUAUUUGACUUCAUAGUAGACCCAACAAUUUCAGAGGAAAAUGUCGAUGGCUAUUUGGAAGAGGUAAUGUAUAACUUUUUACUAUAUGCAAUAUUACUUUUGAAGCUGGACCAUUUGUAUUGGUAAAGUCAAAUUAAUGAAGUGUGUAACAAUGAGCAGGUCCAAAGAAAAGUUAUUGAGCGCGGAGAGAUAUCCGUUGAGGAUGAAAUUGCGGAUUCAGUAUUUAUGAAGGUUAGUGAAGUAUGUUCAGUCGUAAGAACUGAUGUGUGAAACUGUCUGCAGAAUCAUCUUAUCUUUUUGGUUUUAUUAUUAUGAUCGCAGUCAUACAUACCGAAAUCUCUAGAUGCUGUGGACAACCCGGAAGCUGAUGUAGCGAAGAUAACAAGCGGGCAGGACACUGGAGACAUGCUAUACCAAACGAUCACGGGGCUCAAGGAUGCUCUUCCUAAAGUAGAAGAGCAGCCGCAAACAGAAGUUAAUGCUGAAGCAGAGGAAGAGGAAGAAGAAGAAGAAGAAGACGAAGAAGGAAGCGAAGAAGAAAGUGAAGAAGAAUUGGGUCCUGAAGACAAGAAAGCUGCAAGGAAAGAGCACAAGAAGAAAGUGAAAGAGGAGAAAAGAGAGUCUAGGAAGAAUAAAACACCCAAAUCUGUCAAGAAGCGAAAGAAGAAAGUUUCUAAGCCACACAAGACUCGUUAAGUGGAACGUGUUAUCAUGUUUUUGAAAUCUUAUUAUUAUUUACAAUUAAAUUAAAAUUUUGUGUCAAAUUCUGUGAAAUUGAGUAUGGACUCAAAGGCUCUAUAUUUGGUAUUCUUCAUCCAAAAAUAGUCGGGUUCUUGUAGGCCUGGGCAAAAAAACCGGAACCGAAAAUCCGAACCGGAACCGAUCCGAAAAAUUAAACCCGAAUCCGAAUCCGAAAUUUUAGAUUUACCCUAUUGGGUCCUAAACUCCUCUACCCGAAAACCCGAACCCGAACCGAACCCGAACCCGAAAAUACCCGAAAUAUAAAUGUAUAAAAAUAAUUUAGGAUCCGAAUACCCGAGUUAUCUAUUCAAAUAUCCGAAUUUAUACCCGAAAUUCUGAUUUUUUACCCGAAAAUCCCGGUAUUUAUUAAAAAAAUUCUGAAAUUUUAUCCGAAAAUCUGGGUAUUUACCCAAAAAUUUGGGUAUUUGUCCGAAAACCCGAAAAUUUACCCGAAAAUUUUCGGGUAUUCGGGUAAAUUUUCGGGUAUUUGUGUACCCGAAAUUUUCUCGGAUUUUUAACGGUUCUGAAAAUUUAUACCCGAACCGACCCCAACCCGAAUGGACCCGAACCGAAACCGAACCGAAUUUUUAUGUUUACCCUAUUGGGUCCUAAACUCCUCUACCCGAGAAACCCGAACCCGAACGGUUUUUACCCGAACCCGAACCGAGUACCCGAAUGCCCAGGGCUAGGUUCUUGUAAUAUUCUUUUUUUUUUUGUGAUAAACCCUGUCAGCUGAUCAAGUGCUUCAGAGUGGACUAUUCCCCGAAAGGCCGCCACACUAUCUAUCCCGAGUUUGGAAUAUUUGCCGACUAAUGCCGGAGAUAGUCAGACCGCCUGCAUUUCUGACUAACAGGUAAACCAACUGGGCCUUGGUCCAAUUGACAGACUUGCCACACAACAAUAGUUUUUGUUUCCAGAGUGGAUCGAAUUUGGGUUAGUUCUUUUUUGUAAUAUUCUUAGUACACGAUUAUGGUAGAGCUUACUGCUGUUUCGAGUGAAGGAUAAAUAUACUUUUAUUACUAGAAUAGAUCAAUAGAAUAUAAUUUUCUAAUAUAGAAAACUUUACAAAUCAAAAUCAAAUCACAAGAACUCAAACACUUCAACACAAACGUUAAUCAAUCGAUGUUUAUAAAACACGGAAAGAUUACUCACUGGUUCUCAAGAAAAGAGAAAAGCAACAAUCUCCAAGUCUAAUGAGAGAGAGAGAGUUCUUAAAAGAUCAAAAUGCGAUGAUACAGAAAAAUGAGCUAAACAAAUGCUCUAUAAACUCGUCAUACUCUGCUUCUAACGGCAAAAGAUAAUCUUUAAAUCUCUACCAUUCCCGUAUUAAUUGCAAUUUCACACUUGACUUCACGUGUGAAAUCGUACGUGUGGGUUCUGCUAUUAUCCGUAUCAUUUUUUAUCUGUGAAUUAGGUCAAAAUCUAUUCCUAAACUUGGUUUUCUACACCUUCUAGUGAGUAUCUUUCUAACUUAAUGAAAUGAAAUGAAAUAUUAAAUAUUGGAAUCGUAAUCUCACUUAGAAAUCUUAGUUCUUAUUACCUAGCUAACCUAGUUAAUACAAUGUGUGUGUGUGAAAGGAUUACAUAAACAUAAAAAAUGGAAUAUGCCGGUCGGUCACAAGGUCAUAGUCAAUGACACGAUGGGUCAAAGUCAAGCAAAAAGUUCUAAGUUUUUUUAAAGAGGACACAACAACAAAAACAAAAAAACAAAAACUGAUAAGACCUUACAAUGCAAGUUAAUGUAAAUUUUCAUCGACAUGGGACAUCCAACAGCCGAAAUUGUUGAAUUUUAGACCGAUGUUUUAAUUGUUUUGUCCGAUGAUGACAACAAAACUAUAACAAUUCGAUUGUGAUUUAGCACCUAAAUCUAAACUAGGACAAGUGUUUCGAAGCAAGCCAACGUAUUAUAUACAACUUGUUUCUCUUUUUUUUUUUUUUUUUUUUUUUUCGUCAAUACUUGUUAAAUACUACUAGUAUUUUGAUAAAGAGUUUUCCUACAAUUUGUAUUUUAUUUAUUUAUAAUUCUGCUUUUAUGGUCUGACCAUUUUAGUUUAAUUUUUUAUUACAAAAAAAGAAAUUAGUUUAAUUUUAUUUCACAAUUUUUGUUCUUUCCAUAAUUUAGUUUGCCGAGUUUCCAUAGUUUAUUAGAGCAUCUUUGUUGUAUACAUGAAAAAGAGUAUUUUAACAAUAUUUAAAAAUUAAAAAUUAUAAAAUAUAAAUAGUUUAAUAUUUGAUGUUAUGAAACUUAAGAAACUUUUAUCAAAAAAACUGUCUUGGUAGAGACAUUUAAAACAUAGCAUCUUUAAAACAUAGUAUCUCUAAAUUAAAAACACCUAAACAUUAACUUAAAUUUUUGUAUAAAUUAUAAUUAAUUUGUAGAAAGACAAUUUUAUAUAACAAAGAAUAGAGAUGAAAACUUUGAUGUGGGCGAUGAAAUACAUGAUCGCUAAAAUAGAACAUUGAUGUUUUUUUUGGUCAUAAACUGCUUCAAUUUGGCGAACAUAAUAUCUACACUAAUUGAGUGAACAGGUUUUGUAUAUUAUCGGUCCUUUAUGCUAUUUGUAUUUUUGGUCUAUCAGAAAAAAAAAAGAAAAGAUAAAUGGUAAAAUAGUUUUAACAUUCCUAUAAAAUACAUCAUUAUCACAAGCACUAUAGACAUAAUAAUUUUAUUUAGAUCAUAUAAUUUUCUUAAUAUCAUUUUAACAUGUUUUAUUAACCAAUAUAAAACCCAUAUUUCUUAUAACAAAAAUUAACUUAGGACUAUGAUGGUUUUUAUGUAUAACUUGUUAGAAAUUUUUCAAAAAGAAAGAAAAAUGUAUGGACUUUCCUCACAUACCACACAAAUGGUCAAGCUCUUAAAUAAUUGAUAAGAAGAUUACACAUUACACACUCUCCUCCACUAGCUCCUAUAUAAACACAAAGGAGAAAGACCAAAUCUUUCACCAAACAUGAAUUUGGUCUUCGCUAUUAUACUCUUUAGUUUCUUCCUCACGUAACAUUAAUAGUUUUGGUAUAUACCAAAAUCUAUGGACUAUGAUCUUAACACCAACCCAUUCGAUCUUCAUUUCUCCGGUAAACUUCCGGUAAGUUUUAAUUUUGAAUUCAAUCGGAGUUUUAAUUUCUCCGGUAUGCUUACUUUUUUUUUGUUGAUAUUAGAAAAGGGAACCCUCGGAUUCAGGUUCUGAAGAUGUGAUGAGAAAAUGGUUUGUGAAAGAUGAGGUUAGUUUCUUUUCAUCGAACACUUGGUGUGCAUCUCAAAACAUUAGGAUUAAUACGAUUAGGUUGAUCAAGUUAUAUGAUUUAGACGUUGCAUAGUUAUAUCAGUGGAUGUUUAAUGUUGGGAAAAAUCAAAUCUUUGAUCUUUUUAGGGAUUUAGUUUGGUAAAUGCUGAUUUUUGUUUUAUGGUUUGUGAAAUUUUGAACUGAAGACAUGUAUGUUACAAGAGGAGUUAACCCGGGUUAAUUCGGAGAACAAGAAGCUGACUGAAACGCUAGCUAGAGUCUCUGAGAAGUAUUCUGAGUUACAGAAUCUUUUUAAGGAGUUGCAGAGUCGUGAAAAUGUUAACUUUUGUAACGAAAGGAAACGAAAACAAGACAGAGAUGAGUUUGUAAGCUCCCCAAUUGGAAUCAGUUGCGGCGGAACAGUUGAGAAAUCAACUGUUUCAACCGCUUACUUCCAUGCUGAGAAGUCUGACACAAGCUUGGUAAGUGUUUUCUUGAGUAUCAUACUCUCUACAACAAGUAUUGUUCUAUUGUUUGUGGCUAUAGACGUUCGUUUUAAAGACGAUUUGGUACUGUUUUUCAUAAUUCGUAGUCUUGAUCUUGUUAAUUUCUUUUGAGUGAAUCGAUUGAUUAAUGAAUGUUUUGUGGAUAUACUUACUUGUAGACUGUGAAAGAUGGAUAUCAAUGGAGGAAAUACGGGCAAAAGAUUACGCGAGAUAAUCCAUCUCCUCGAGCUUACUUCAGAUGUUCGUUUUCACCGUCUUGUCUGGUCAAAAAGAAGGUAAAUUUACAUGCUCUGUUUGAAACUUUUCUUUGGUAUUUUCUCUAGUUUGUGGUCCUCAGUGGUAUGUGUGCUUGUUCAGGUGCAACGAAGUGCAGAAGAUCCAUCUUUCGUGGUUGCUACUUACGAAGGGACACAUAACCAUCCAGGACCAAAUGCAAGUGUGUCUAGGACAGUGAAGCUUGAUCUAGUUCAAGGAGGGCUUGAACCAGUUGAGGAAAAGAAAGGGAGAGGAACGAUUCAAGACGUCCUGGUGCAACAAAUGGCCUCUUCUUUGACUAAAGAUCCUAAGUUCACUGCAGCUCUUGCGGCUGCUAUAUCAGGGAGAUUUAUAGAGCAAUCAAGAACAUGAAAGUUCUGUAGAAUAUAUAUUUUGUAUGUUCUGUUUUAUUGCUCAUUCGGGUUUUGGGGUGAUAUUUAUUAGGUUAGGAGAUAAAAAAAGUAUUCAGUGUGUAUAUUUACAUCAAAUCAAAGUAUCCAAAAUGAUACACUGAUUUUUCAAACGGUAUAGAAUCAAGGACAAGGACUUGUGAUUACCUGAGUGUUCUGAGAGUGUCGGUUGAGAUGUUACUAAGCAGUAAUGUGUUUUAUAUACUUGUGGAAGUUAUCAGAAGUCAAAUGUGGAGAUUGUAAACUUUCUUGGCUCUUAAUUCAACUCAACUUGCGCGCCAGUUCAAUCGAAGUUAGGUAUGGUGAUGGACGAUCUGCUCAACUCUUUUAUAUACCUUUCUUGUACCGCUCUUUUUACAGUUUUGUACUGUUUCGUAACAAACUUACUGCUCUAGUUUAUAGCUUCUUUAUUACAGUUUUGAGUACGUUACCAAUCAAGACGACGCCAUUUCCCAAUUGUAACCUAUUAAAUCGGUUCGAAACAGCUUGUAACCUCAAGAUUCAAUACUCAAUACGUAACACCCUGAUUGACAUUUUUCUAGUGGGCCACAUGUUCACCACCAGUCCAUGGGCCCACCUUUCUUAAUAGACCUCACGUCCUCUCACUAGACCCAUGAGCCUACUAAUACCCGACGGCCGAUUAGCUACGUCCGAGAGACUUAAAGACUUGUUUACUGAUCCUACAAAUCACCACAUGAUCUUUCCUUGUGUUUUUGCCUCAAUAGUAUAUGUUGUGACUCACAAAUUGAGUUUUUUUUCUAGCAAAUCGAAUUGUCAUCAAGUUAUUUAGAGUGUGUUAGAUAGAGUCACAUAGAGUAAGGAUUGAAACCUGAACUCCUCGUUCAGUUGACAUAUCAAUUAUAUGGUUUACAUAACCGGUUAAACAUAACCAAACCAAAAUCACCGGUACAGAAAAAUUUGAACCGAGCCAACUAGGGUACGUCUUCAUCAGAGGUUAGUUUCAGUUGAUGAACCAAAGGUGCGUUGUUGAGAAAUUGGAUUCGUGUUUUUGAGAAAUUUCACAAAUUUGUUUACGCAUUACUAAUUCGUCUCUGAAUUUGAGAGUUUAGGAUUCGCCAUGGACAUCGAUGUCGGACCAGUUGAUCCAUCUGUUCUCUACGAACAAGAUCUCCAUGUUUCUUCUGCUGUCUGGGAAGGACAGGUUUUUUUUUCUCAUUCCCUUAUCUUCUUCCUCGAAAUUUCAAAUUUUGAAUUUAGGGUUCAUCUAAAGUUCCCAUCUUUACUUUAGGAACGAGGUCUUCUUCGUUGUCAAGAACACACUUCAUUACUUCAUCAAUGGAAACUCACUGAUGAACAAAUCAAGCUCGUGGACAAAGCUGGUUUCGGAUUCUUCCGCAAGAUUGGUCCAAUGAGUCUAAACAAUUCACUAAUCUCUGCACUUGUUGAGCGUUGGAGAAGAGAAACAAACACUUUUCACCUUCCUUUAGGAGAAAUGACUAUAACAUUAGAUGAAGUUGCUUUAGUUCUUGGACUUGAGAUUGAUGGAGAUCCAAUUGUUGGUUCUAAAGUUGGUGAUGAGGUUGCUAUGGAUAUGUGUGGUAGGCUUUUAGGGAAGUUACCAUCUGCUGCGAACAAAGAAGUUAAUUGUUCGAGGGUUAAGCUUAAUUGGCUUAAAAGAACUUUCUCUGAGUGCCCUGAAGAUGCUUCUUUUGAUGUUGUUAAAUGUCAUACUCGAGCUUAUUUGUUGUAUCUUAUUGGUAGUACUAUCUUUGCUACCACUGAUGGUGAUAAAGUCUCUGUUAAGUAUUUGCCUUUGUUUGAGGAUUUUGAUCAAGCUGGUAGAUAUGCUUGGGGAGCUGCUGCAUUGGCUUGUCUUUACAGAGCGCUUGGUAACGCGUCGCUUAAGUCUCAGAGCAACAUUUGCGGCUGCUUGACAUUGCUACAGGUUGGCUGCUAUGUGUUAGUUUUGUUGUUUUGGUCAUGUAAGAAUCCAAUAUCUUUAGGAAAAGUAACAUAUAAUUGUCUCAUGUUUAUAGUGUUGGAGUUAUUUUCAUCUGAAUAUCGGUAGACCAGAGAAAUCCGAAGCGAGUUUUCCGCUUGCCCUUCUGUGGAAAGGUAAAGGCAGCAGAUCCAAAACCGACUUAUCUGAGUACCGCAGAGAACUGGAUGAUCUAGAUCCAAGCAAGGUAAACCCUUCAGCCUUCACUUCAUCUUUAAGAAUUUGUUUAUUUAUCUUCAUGUUAAUCGUUGGUUGUGAAAAUGCAGAUCACUUGGUGCCCAUAUGAAAGAUUUGAGAACUUGAUCCCACCACAUAUUAAAGCCAAGCUGAUCCUAGGGAGAUCCAAAACGACUCUUGUAUGCUUCGAGAAAAUAGAGCUACAUUUCCCAGAUAGGUGUCUGAGGCAGUUUGGGAAACGCCAGCCAAUACCUCAGAAAGUGAAACGCCGUGACAGAAAGAACAGGCGACUCGAUGACUUGGAUACAUCAAUGAGUCUAGCAUGUGAGGAAUGGGCUGAACGUGGGGAUCACAUCAUGGACUGUCCUGGAGGUGGCAAUGAAGUAGAUGAUGGAGCGUACAUGGAAUGGUAUGCUCGGAUCAGUAUCACCAAACUCUAUCGAGAAGCAUUUCUCGAGUCCCAAGUCAUGAAUAUGGUAAAGAAAAGGAUGAAUCUUUAUCAUGUGGUUAAACGUUUUAUAACUAAAACCUGCAAAUCGAUUUACAUUGGUUGUGUUUGUGUAGAUUGCUUGUAUGAGGGAAUUUGAGGAAGCUGCUUCAGGGAUUUCGCUAGAGAGAAUGUCUCCGGUCGAGAGGGAAGUGAUGGAGAGUGUGAAGGAUACAUUCUCUAAUAACUUGACGUUUGGAGGAUGGCAAGAAGUGGCUGUUAAUAGUGGUUAUGGGAAGCGCAGGCGUCGGAAUGAACAAACUCCGACGAGUGGUAAUAAUGAUGUUUCAUCUCUUCUGAUUCAGAAGGACACAUGAAUCUUUUUUUUGUAUUAGUUUUGUUUUUCAUCUAUGAAAUGUUGUUGCAGUGUUUAUGUAUAUAUUGUAUUGGAUAUUUGGUUAGAUAGACAACAAACAUAACUUCAAUUAAGCAACACUGUUUAACUCUGAUACACAACACAAAAUGUGAUUUUUUGGCCAAAGGAACUUUGAUGAAAGUAAUAAAGUAAUAAGAAUUUUAAAAAAACUCAAAGUAGAAACUUUUAUUGGAAGUGGGUUGAAUGAUAGAAAUGAUUCAACAGAGAAAUAAAAAAUUCAUAAAUGCAUCUCUAUUUUUAAGUAACAAUUUCAAUUCAAUUUUUUUUUUACCUUAUCAUCAAUAUCACUUAGCCUCAUACUCCUAACUAUUUGAUGCUACUGAUGGAGUAUCCUCAACUCCAUCAUCAAAAUUUUCUUCAAUGUCGCAUAUAAUUUGAACAUAUAAAUGAACAAAGCAUUGAAAGUUAAUUGAACAAAAUAUGGACUAUUUUUUUACCUUCUAACUCAGAAAAUCUAGCCUUGGAUCAUCCAUUUUUUUUUUUUACAAAUUCGACUAUGUAUUGUUACAAUCAGGUUGUAUGCUCCUCUCAAGCUUCAAAACAUCAUGUAUCAAAAAGACACUAAAUAGAAAAAUUUGAUGAUUAUGAUAUCAAAGAUAAAUGGAGAAAAAUACUUACAUGAUUCAGAUCAUUCUCUAGUGGUGAUUCAUUAAGAAGAUCAAAUGGAGUUUGUGUUGUUGACAAGGAGGAAGAAGUCCAAGCUUUAUCCAUGUGUUCUUUAUAAAGAUCAUUCAAAUUUUGCACAAUAAUUUCAGAAUUUUCUUUAGAAGUACUUGGAUCCAUUUUAUCAAAAGCAGAUUUAAUUAUUAAAUGAUUUGCACCUUGAACCUAUGAUCUAAGAUAAAUUCCAUAGCUAGAAUGAUAUUAUACUAAUUUCAAUACUUAUCAUACUUCAACUACAUUUUCCUAGCCAUCUCUUCCACUAUAGAUUCACCACAAUAUGAAUAGAGCUUCAAAAGACUCAAUUUUGCAAACACUUGCAAAAAAUAUAAGUUACUUGUAGGGUAUUUGACAUAUGAAAUAAGUAGUGAUGGUAUUAAAUGACUUAUGGAAAUCGCAGAAUUUGCUGUCCGCAAUCGACUCCUGUUUAGAAAGCAGUAAGUUGUAUAUUAUAUUGGAUGGUUUUCUUAUGAGAAAAAAAGAAGUUUAAAGUGAUUAGUAAAUUAGAGAUUUUGAACAUCGAUCAUUCCGCCAACUUACUGACUAAACCUAAUAUAUUUACUAACAUUAUACAUAUUGUUCUAAAACUUAAUACCAAACACAUUUUAAUGACUAAAAUUAAUAUUUUUGAUUAAUAUAAGGAUAUCUUUUUAUUAAAAUAUUAAAAAAUACAUAAACUUACGAACUAUUAUUUAAAUAUGUUUUAAUGUUAUAUUUUAAGUAUUUUAAAAAUACAUAAACUUACUGACUAAAAUAAUAUUUUUGAUUUUUUCAAAUAUUUUAAUUUACCAAUAUUGUACUGAAAUUGAAAUAUAUUGAUGGAGGAUACUAACAAAAAAUAAUAAUUCCAUAUGCGUGAAGCGGUUCUAAAUUUAUAUAAUACAACAUAAGUAUAUAUAUUAAUUAUGGAGAUAAACAAAACCUACAAAUAAAAGAAACAAUUAAUUAAACAAAAAACACACUUAAUAUAAAUUCAUGAUAACCUUUGUUUUCAUAGGUUCGUGUGAGUUAUCAAACCUAAUCAAAUAUUUGUUGACAACAAGUAACAAAAAAGUGUUAUGGUUGAUAAAAGAACCACGACCCAAGACUAUCUUUAUAGUUGCAUAAAUCAACCCAUAGGUUCAUUUAAACUCAUAAGUUAUAGAUUCCAUAUAUUUUAGAGUUUUAGAAACUUUAGUCGCUCUUAAUAACCGCGGAAAACCAAAUUUAUGGUACUAACAUUAAUUAAUCCUACGUACUAAUUAAUUCACUAUAUGAAACAAUGAAUCUAUAGGUUACAAAAUUAUUCCAAGAACACUUAAUUACAUGCGGGAAGUUAAUUAGUAUAAUAAAUGAGAUAGUCAGCUUUUAAGUCAAGGAACUCGUUAAGCCAAUCUUGAUGUUUUCUUGCUAUGUGCCGCCUGUUUAAAAACAAAUAUUUUAUAUAAAAUUAUAUUUUAAAUCUUAAAAAUGACAAAUUUAUACUAAUUGUUUAUUUUAAAAUUAGCAAAAUCCAUAAUACCACUAAAAAUAUAUAUUUAGUUUAUUUUUAUAUAAAACUGAUUUAUUAUUUUAUCAACCUAUAUACUAUUUUUUUAAUAACUAAAUGGUACUGAACCAAAACUCAAAUAUAUCUUCAACUCGAAACUAUAAUCAAAUGUUUUUUUUUCUUUUAUAAUCAAAUGUUAUUCAAAGUUCAAACUAACUAUCUCUAAAUAACUUGGUCCUCUAAACUAUUUUUUUUUCGUCUCUUAACUAUUUUUAAUCAUCCUUCAUGGCAAAAUACCAAAUAAACACACGAAUCAAAUAGUACGUACAAAUCCUAUUGUUGUAUAUUACAUUAUUACUACUUUACUAGUGUUGUGUCUUUUCCAGUUCAAGAUCAUAUAACACGUGUCUUACUGAGAGACCCACACACACACACAAAAUAAACCGUCCGAUCCAAACCAUCACAUCAGCAGCACAAGAUUUUUAUUUCCAAUUCUUAUGACGUGGAACAACUGUUUGGUCACAAAUCUUACAUAAAGAUGACGAUAAUGUUAUCACUGUAACCAAACACACAUGAUUAAGCACCGAGUCAACGAACGAACCAUAGUUUCACGGGCUUCUUCUAUAUAGAAACGUCUUCUCUCUCUUACCUUGAGCUUCGGACAUAGUCAUCAUCAUCUUCUUCUUCCUCGUAAUACCCGAAAAAUCAAAACUUUUUAGGAUAUGGCUUCUGGGGAGAGCGAGUACAGGUGUUUCGUCGGAGGCUUAGCUUGGGCUACCAAUGAAGAGUCACUGGAGAGAAGUUUCAGCCAAUUCGGAGAUGUCCUCGACUGCAAGGUCCGUUUAAAAGACGACCCGGAUCCGAAAUUAAACGACCCGAAUCCGUGUGACUCUGUUUCUUGACUCUUAUCUAUCUCAAUUCUUGUUACUACUACUAGCUAUGUUACUUUCUCUGUUACUUAACCUCAUAAUCUGGUACGUUUCAUCAUCGAAAAGGAUCGUUCUGUUUUUUGUGAUUUAAAAAUCUCAACUUUAUCUGUUUUUUUUUAUGUUUUGGGAUCAGAUCAUCAUUGAUCGUGAGACAGGGAGGUCAAAAGGGUUUGGAUUUGUGACUUUUAAAGAUGAGGAAUCGUUGAGGUCUGCGAUUGAGAGGAUGAAUGGUCAAGAGCUUGAUGGUCGUAGCAUCACUGUUAAUGAAGCUCAGGCUCGUGGUUCUGGUGGUCGUGGUGGUAACGGUGGUGGUUAUAACCGUGGAGGAGGUGGUGGUUAUGGAGGAUCUGGUGGUGGUAGUUAUGGAGGUGGUGGUGGUGGUGGUUAUGGAGGAGGUGGUUAUGGAGGUAGACGUGAUCAACAAGGUGGUUAUAACCGUGGCGGUGGAGGUGGAGGAUACGGUGGUGGUGGUGGUUAUGGAGGUGAUCGUCGUGAUGGUGGUUAUGGUGGAGGAGGUUAUGGUGGUGAUGGAGGAGGUUACGGUGGUCAGGGACGAUCUGAUGGAGGAAGCUGGAGAAAUUAAGCUUUGUUGUGUCUUUGACUCUUUGUUGUUUACUUUUGGUUAUGGAUUUGGUUUAUGUUUUUAUUUGGUUCUCAUGUUUAAGUUUGGAAAAAAAAAAAACAAAAUAAAAGUGUGAUGGUUUGGUUCUUAUCACAUUCAAAGAAUUAGAUUGAGUAUUGAAUCAAUUCAGAUUGAUGAAGCAAGUUUGGUACAAAUCUCAAUCAGGGAGAUGUAUAGACUAUAGGUGAAGUAAGAAGCUAACUCUAAUUCAUAGGAUACCAAAGAUUGUAGAUUUGUUCAUAAUCCAGCUUAAUUACAUGCAUAUAGGAACUUUGGUGAUGGGUCGUUCUUACUAAUUCUUAAAGGACCCUAAUUCCUGACCAUUCUCACCUUCUCUAACUUUGGAUGUCGAGUCCGCCUUCUCCGAUACCGGGUAGGAUCACAUCGGGGGAUCCUUAUACUCGUUGACGGAUCUAGAAACAGAUGAUCGAUGAAUAGAUAACAAAGAAAUGCAAAGUUAACUUUAUUGAUAGUUGUAACGUUAGCUCGAAUACAACAUGUUCUCUCGAUGGGGACCUUUAUGGUUGUUUAUAUGAAAUUUGUCUCGCCGUUCCGUUCCCUUCGAUUGUGCAAUCAUCAUUUCGUUUGGCUAUCUACAUCGAAUUACACACUUUUCCCACUUAAAAUUUGGACAUUUUAAUCAAUGUUAGACGAUCGAUAUCAUUCUAGUCAAUAUUGAGUUUGACACAAAUUUGAUAGUUUAUGUACUUUAUUUGAAAACAUAUUUAGCCAUAUUGAAAUCAACAUUGUAUCAAAAUUAAGGUGUAAAACAGCCCAAUACAUGUUGAAAAUUGUUUACUGUGAUCUCUACUGCUUCAAAUCCCUUAAUGGCUAGAAUCAUGUAUUUAUUUUCGUUGAGUAGAGGUCGAACUAUUAGAAUGUCACUGAACUUUAAUCCACGCAGAAACUAUUUAAUAAGCGAAACAUCUAUUAGGAAGCACUAAUAUAAGUUUACUUUUAAGGUUUAUUGCAAGGGUAACCUUAAAUGAAACGACAAUUAAAAUUUAAACAUAUCUUUUCAUAUAUCAGAACUUGAGUUAGGAAGCAAGCAUUUAGGGUAUAGUAUCUGUGGAAUCAAGAAUUCGCACAAUGAAUUUGUUAUGAAGAUGUGAACAAAUUCACUUGAUUAUCUCUCUUUGAAGUCAAACAAUCGAUUGAGAAGAAAAAUUAGAUUGCUUGAAGAGCAAACUAGGUGAUGUAGUGAAUUUUACCAAUUAAUAUCCUAACCCACUAGUGAUCAUAUCAUUAUAGCACUUAGAGUCGAACCACAAAGAAUAAAGUUUGCACAUUACAAGAAUUAAACUAAGCUAAAACAAUGCAGAUAUUUAAUUUCAACUAACAACCUAAGUGAAAUGAAAACAAAGAAGCUAAAUGCAAGAGAAAUAGAAUAACUAAAGAUAAUUGACCAACUUAAACAAGUGUCUAAACUAAGCAAUUAUCCAUAAACAUAAAGCAAAGACAAAAUGAAUGAGAAACAUGCAAUUUAUAAAAGUCAACGAAAAGUCAACACAAAAGUCAAAAACGAAAAUGCAAGAAUAUAAAAGUCUAUGGGUCUCUUUAGCUUGGUAGAUUGCUACUAGGAAGCUCAUCAAUUAGGUUUUGGUUCCCAUAUAUGUAAUUAAGACUUUAAUCUAAUGGUUUAAGUCCCUAAUUAUAAACUAAUUCACUUUCAUGACACUAGUUCAUUCAUUAAUUAUUCUUAAUCAUGCUAAGAUUUCUCAAAUGCAAUAAAGAAAUUAGUGAUCAUUAAAUUCAUGCUUAAACACCAUACAAAACACUCUAGACAUCAACUUCCAAUAGCUAUAAUGUAUUUUGCUCUUUAAGAUUGAAAUUGGCAUUUCAUCAAACAGCUUGUGUGCGUGAAAUGUCUAAGCUAAGGAUUUUAAUUUUCCAAUCAAAUCCUAGCCACAAAUCUAUUCCUAAUGAUAGAUACCUUAAUUACUAACUUUGAGAACCAAUUUCUAACCAUCAAAACUUUCUAAUCUACCAUUAGCCUAAAGACCCAUAAAUUAGGUUUACUCAUACAUGAUUAUGGAAUAAAUCAUGGUGAGAAUUGCAAAACAAAAUGAAGUUUAAUCAUCCAAAUCACCAAAGGAUUCAAUUACAAGUGUAUAGAUCCAAUUUCAACUUAGAACAACCAAACUUGGUAAACAAAAAUGUAAAAAGUGCUACAUAAGAGAUCUUGGUCCGAGUUGGGUCAACCCGGUUGGGUCGGGUCUGGAUCGGAUCCGGUUUGGUUACUACAUUUCUCAUUUUCAAAUCUUCAUAACUUCCUAACCGUAACUCCAAAUCCACUUCCGUUUUGACCCAAGUUUCUUGUUUUCGAUGUUCUUCACUCUAGUCCAGGUGGUUUCUCAAAUUCUUGAGCUUUUCUUUGCACAUCUUCUUGUGAUCCAAGACUUCCAUUUGCCUCUUAAGAUCCAUAUGUCCCUUUUUGUACCCAAAUCAACAUCAAAUGCAAUGCAUAUGCAAUUUUAGGACUCUAAAUGCAAAAUACCUUAAACUACAUGAUAAAUGCAUAUUUACAAGCAAUAAUAGCGAAUUAAGACCUAAAAGUUAUUAAGAAAAAGAGGUUCAAACCACCAAAAUAUCAUGAAAUCACUAGGGUUCUUGUAUUAAUGUUCCAAUAGGGGACAACCCCCUAUUUAUAUGAAAAGAUUUAGAUUACAAGAUAUGUUCAAUCCCCUUAAAUUUAGGGAUUGAUAUUCCUUUUCCUUCUAGGAAACCUAUCACCUCAGAAGUCGGUUUGGCGACCUAAUGGGAUUUUACCCACAGCCCGUUCUUAAAGGGCUUUACUCGAGAUACCCCGAUUUAAUUGUAUUUUAAGAUUACUUGGUUUGUCCUUGGUUUAGGUUGGUAUGUUGUUGGUGCUAAUUCUUGUACCAACAGUAUCCCAAUUAGAAAGCAACAAGUACAUUCCUUUAUGUUGUUUCGAUAAAAUUUCCUAGUGAGUAAAAUCUUACAUGGUGUUUUGGUAAGUGCAACAACCUUAAGAAAACUCAUCAUCUCAUUCCUCGGAUCAGGAUCAGUUAUUUAGUCGAGGAUAACAAGUGAUCAGUGAAUGUUUAAGAGAAUGUCCUAACAAAAAUAUAAAGCUUAUGUACCAUUGUUAUCAAGGACUAUAUCUAAGACUUGCUUGACGCCUAAUAAGUUAAUACUCUAAGUUAAAAUUCAUUGAUUUAAAGCCUUUAAUUGUCGAGAUCGAGUAUUAGCCUUGGGAGAGUAGAAGUAAAGCAACAUAAUGUCAUUGACCUACAACUAAACAAGCUCUUUUUCUAAAAGUUAAACAUCCGUUUUGGAAGCAGAAAGAGAUGGUUACUAUUAAGUUUCCUUGAAAGGUAGCCUUAAUUAAAAAGAAACUGAAAAACUAACUAUAUCUUUUCAAAUACCAUAAGAACUUGAGUUAGAAAGCACAUUUCAAGGUUUUACACAACCAAAUUAUUGCAUAGAGAGUUGAAUAUUUCCAUAUAAUGGGACUUCAUAAAACUUUAUGAAUUUUCAUCAUAUAGAGAUACUCAAUUUUUCUAUGCAAGCUUCAAUAUCUAAAAAACAUUUCCUCAUGAUCAGGUUCAUAUAUGGUUACCUGUAAAAGCAACAAAUAGUAAAAUUCUAUUUGUGCUUCCAAAAUGGAUGGUUAACUAAUUGAGAAAAGGAGUUUGUUAAAUUGAAGGGCAAUGAUGUCAUGUUUCUUAAUUUAUACUCAACUUAGGCUGAUACUCGAUUUCAACAGUUAGAAGUUUUAAAUCAAUGGAGUUAGAACCAAAGUAUUAUCUUCUUAAAUGCCAUGCAAUCUCAGAUAUAGUCUCUGAUAACAGUGGUACAGAAGCUUAUUAUUUUUGUAGGGAUAUUCUCUUAAAUAUUUGUUCGCUUGUUAUCUUCAAUAGAAGAACUGAACCAAUGAAUGAGACGAUAAGUUUCCUUAAGUUUGUUGCGCGUAUCAAGACGCCGCAUAAGGUUUUACUCACUAGGACAUUAUAUCAAAAAAAAAAACAUAAGGGAAGUUUUUGACAUAAGAGUACAAUGUCUACAUCUCUUGCAAUGAGGAUGAGAUGGAUGAAGAAGUUGAUAUCACAUAUGGCGUAUCAACAAUUCUUUAUGGAUUUUUUUUUGAAGUGAUACGGUUUAUACAUAUAAGAGGAGUGUUGAGGUGAUUUCAAAGAGGUUAUACAAGCCUCUUUGCUCGGGCCAAUUUUUUUUUUUUUUGGACAAACUUUGAUUGCAAUAAAACGUGAGAAAGAGUUACACUCCACGAGGGGAGGGAGAAAGUACUGCACAAAGGGCAGCUUUAGCAACAGAAUCAGCUACAAUAUUAUCCGAACGAGGGAUAAAGUUGAAAGAAACUGAGUCAAAAGAAUCACUUAAUGAAGUGAUGUCCUGGAGGAUAGCUUUGAGCUCCUUAGAGCUUGCUUGCUUGUUGAUUGCAGAGAUGAGGAUUUUGGAGUCCGAGUAAAAUUCGAUUUUGCCUACUGCACCCGUCUGUUGUAGUGGCUUAAGGCAAUUCAGGGAACUUCUCAUAGCAAGGGCUUCUGCGACGAGGGCCGAAGUGACAAAAGGUCGGGUCGUUGAAAAACGACGUGGAGUGUGUCCCGUUGGAUCAUACAGGACCCAUCCCUGUCCACAGGUCUGCGACUGUGGGCACCAAGCUGCGUCGACAAAGCAGCGGAAAGCUUGAGGGUCAGAAGUCUGGGGAGGUGGGCGAAUGAUGCUGGGCGAUGGAAGCUUUGUGGAUAUAAUCUGGGCAUCUUGCCAUUCUUUUGCUUCUCGGAUAGACUUUACCACGAUGUCCUGGCUGGGGAAGAGGCGAUCCUCAAAGAUGAGGCAGUUUCGCGCUUUCCAGAGGUUCCAAAAGAUCCAAGGAGAAAGGGGUGUCAAGGAUAAGCCUGUGGGCGGUAGAGGAGUGGCCUUGAGCGUGGUUGAGAGGAGACUGCGAAAAGUAACAGCUGUGUCCUCUGUCAUAGCAAGAACCAGGGGGGUGGCUUCCCAAACUGACUUGGCAAAGGGGCAGCUCUGAAAAAGAUGAAGCUCUGUCUCUCUUUCCCCACAUCGCCUGCAGUUUACAUUAGCCAUGAGUCCUCUAGUGGCCAGAUUAUUGCCUAGGGAGAGGGCUCCACUUGCUGCUUUCCACAAGAAGUUAUGAAUCUUGGGGCCUACUUUCACAUUCCAAAUGUUUUUAUACCAAUCAAAGGUAUUAGGGGGCUGAAGUGAAGCAGGGGAGAGGUUUCUGGCCAAGUUGUAACCAGAUUUGGUAGUGUAGCAGCCCGAGUUAUCAUAGAGCCAGAUUAGCGAGUCUUGGCAACGGAGAAGACUAGUGUUAAAUAAAUAAUAUUUCUUGAUGCAAAAUUAGAUUUGGCAUCCAUCAAAGUAAGUAUUCAAUUAUCAAUCUUGCGGAAGCAACAAGGUUUGUAAUACUCGACGUUAUCACUAACCUAGUAUGACUCAACAAAACUUAAAACAACAAAAUAAAUUUUAUUCCUAUAAACUACACAUAUGAAGACAUAACCACAAGUAGGAAGUAAAUAUUUGCUUGUAUACUUAAUAGGAAGACAUAUCUCAUUAAUGAAAGAUUUCAACUAUGAAAGCAUAUACAAUAUCUUGGUUUCAUGAAAAUAUAUGUUAGAUUUGAUUAAUACUCUAUGAUUUUAUUAAGGACUAUGUUGUUGGUGUAUCCUAAUUUUAAGUAGAAAUUUGAAAUUUACACUAACUUUUUUUUUUAUAUUUGAAAUUUUGUAUUGCAAAAAAUUGACUAAUUUACCCUUAAUAAUAAUUAAAAUUUAGAAUACAAAAUAAUAAUUAAAUUAACAUAUUUUACGAAUAUUAUUAAAAAUUAAAUUAUUAGUAGUAAUUAAUUUGAUUAACACUCUCUAUGAUUUUAUUAAUAGUCGUUAAAAUCCCAAACCACUAACAUUCCCUUAAUAUGUUAUCAGCUUCAGUUAUAUCGAAAAGGUGCAUAUAGCAAUAUAUUUACAAAACCAAACAAAUCAUGAAUUUGAUAUCUAUUUAAAAAAAUUAAAUCACAUAUACUAAAAUUUUAAGAAAUGAAUAUACACACAUAUAUAUAUAUAUAUAUAAUAAACGAUAUAUGAAUUUUUAAUUAUCAAAUUAACUUUAUUAUUAAAUUUAAUUAACUGGGAAGACUAUAAUUGUUUUAUGAAAAUUGUACUAUUUUCUGAGAUAUUUAAUUUUGGCCAAAAAUCCAGAUUUUAAAGAUACAUGUACACCGAAGCCAUUCUGGAUACGAAUCCAAAAAGCAUUAUUUAGAUGGUGUGAAGUGAAUCAUGUAAAUCAUAAAAAAAAUAAUGGUAAUAAGUAGAAUUAGAAGAAUACCAUUUUAUUAUGUAUGUAAAAUUCAAAACCUCAAUUUUUGAUAGAAGGAAAAAACUACUUUGCCAAAUAUACAGUAGUACACUACUUAAAAAGACACAAAUUGAUGAGAGAAAAAAACAUGAACAUAUAAAAAGUUGAAGUUGAUUGAUAACGGCUUGUAUGAAUUUUCUGGUGAGUAUUUUGGAUCUACUGUUUAGUGAUGUUUGAAUUAAUUUUAAGUUAUCACCUUAAUCAAUUUAUCUAAUUGAAAUAUUAUAAUAACUGUUUAUACACUAACCAAAAUAAUUAAAAUUAGAGAUACUAAGCUACCUGUUUUUUUCUAAAUGAUAGAUUUAUAAGCAAUUAUUUCAAUCUAAAGUUGCAUAUAUUGUAAGAACAAGGUCUCUUUUUUGGUUGAAUCUAAUUUUACAUUCAUUCAAAAAAAAAUAAUUCAAAUUACGACUUAAAAGUCAGAAUUAAAACUAACCUUUAGUGUAUGAAAUUGAUGUUACCCAUCAUAUCCAGCCUUUUCUUGAUCCAGCCUUUUCUUUGUGCUUUGGUAGUGAAUUACCUACACAAAAGAGAAGAUAUAUGAUCGUAAUCAUCAGACGAUUUACAAUGAAAGAGCCGGGUUUGUUUCCGGUUAAUUUCUGAUGAUAGAGCCGACUUUGUUUCCGGUAAAAUCAAAAUUUGGAAAUUACCUCUUUACCAAUGUUGAUUCAAUGUUUUUCUCAAGAGCGGUUUGGUUACAUAUUUUUCUCUCUGGACUAAUACGCCAUCUCAAAAGAAAAAAAAAUCUGGAGCAUUGGACAACCCAAAAUGCACAGAUGAGAGAACUCCUCAAUGCGGGUUUUGACGGAAAGAAAGAAGACUUGUUUUUGUUGUUAUUUAUGUCGUAUAGGAUAUGUUUAUAUAGAGAAAAAUAAAUGUCUAAAUUAUAAAAUAAGACCGAUUUUUAUCAAAAUUGAGUAAAUACACCAAUUUGGAUACUAAGUUUGCAUUUUUGGCUUAGUUUAUUCAUUUCUUUGUCUUGUUUAAAAUUUAAGGCUAAAGUUAAUUAAAAAUUACGGUUUUAGGGUUUAAUUUUAGACUAUUCAGAAAACAUGAAUACUAUGAACUAUUUUAACUUUAGUAGAAAUCUAAACUUAGCUAUUUAGUUACUUAAAAACCCAAUAAAGAGAACUUUGUUACCUGUACAUUUUAAUGCUAAAUCAUUAAUUUCUUAAGAUUUUUUGUACAUUUAUUUUAAUUACAUAUACAGUACAUAUGUUUAUGCCAGGUAAUUACAACAUGCAUUGGCUGAUUUCAAAAAUAUAUAGUUGUAAAUAAAUUGUCUGUUUGUUAUAUGCGUUACAUUUUCUAACUUCCAAGUCAACAUGCAUUUCAUGUUUUAGGAAAAAAGAGACGUUACAUUAAAAUGUAAAAAAUCAUAGUUGUAAACAAAUGUCUAUAUGUGUGAUAUGCGUUACAUUUUGUCAUUCACUCCUUUUUUACUAACUUCCAAGUCAACAUAGCCAACACACAAAUGUCUAUAUGUGUGAUAUGCAUUAGCCAUAGAGAGGCGUUACACUAAAAUGUAAUCAUCAUGCUAACUUAACCAUGCAUUGGCUGAUUAAAGAAAAAGAUAAAAAUGUAAUUAGCGUUACAUGUUGUCUUUAUAUAAUAUCUCCACAUGUGAUAAGCAUUACAUUUUUGUCUUCAUAUAUUGUUUAUGCCACAUAACUUUACCAUGCAUUGGCCAAUUUAAUUAGGGAAAAGAUAAAAUUGUAAGUAACUGUGUAAUUGUGUUAAGCGUUACAUUUUGUCUUCACUUCUUUUCUUCUAAAUUCCAAGUCAACAACAUACACAUAAUCAUUUAAGAAGUCUUCAUUAAACUCGAAAUUAUAAAAUAAGCAAGAACUUCAAUAAAUUUGUAAAUGAUUUUUGUUUUCAUGUGUAUCUUAAUUGGAAAAAGAAUUUACUAUCUUCCUUCAAGCUUUUACUUUUUUUUUACUGAAAAAUAUUUAAAAAGAAAGGAAAAAAUAAAGGAAUUUUUAGCCAUAGAAAAGUGAAAAUUGGUUUUCAUUAUUUUUAUAAAUAAGUUAGUCUUUAAGCGGAUAUGACAGUACUAACGGUAUUUAGAAUACUAUUAACGGUAUUUCAAAUGUUCGCGCGUAAAAAGUAGUGUAAAAGUUUAUAAAACAUUUUACCUUGAAUAUAUUUUAUUUCAUAUUUUUUUUGUCUUUUUGGUAAAACAUUUAUUAGUUUUUUCAUCUUAAUUAUCCUUAUUUAUGAUAUAAAUAAGUGAGUUGGGGGUAGGAAAUUCUAUUUAGAUAAAUCUUCUUUGAUAAAAAAAAAAAAAGAAAAAAGAAACUGAGAAGCUUUGAGUUCUGAACCUCUAUUUCAUUUCAAUGGAUUCAAAGAGGAAAUUAUCAGAAGAGAAAGGUAUGAAUAUUUGUUUCUAUGCCUACACAAAAAAGCUAUUAUUAUGCUGCAAAGUAACUUGAAGUUUAACAAUGUCUAAAAGCUGAUUUUUCCAGUAGUUAUACUUGUGUCUUAAUUAUAUUUAUGAGUACUUUUCUUUUACAAUUUUUUUUUUCAUUUCUUUAUUUUAAUUCCAGAUAGUCUUUCAAAAUAACCAUAAAUCAUAUGGAUUUUAAUUUCUGAACAGAAAAGUAGAAAAUAUAACAGAUGAAUCUACAAUCAUUCAUAAGAUAAGAAAGCAGUUUUACAAGCUAGAAUUUUCUUUUCUAAUUUUCUGUUGGUUUAUUCAUAUUUCUUAUAAAUCAAAUCUGAAUUAAGUUUAUACCUUUUUAUAUUUUCAGACAUAUAUCAAAACAUUGAUGGCAAAAGGAAAAAAUUGGUGACACUAGAGAAUCAAGAAGCUGGUGGAACUAGUAACCAUGGAUUAGUGGAUGUACCAAUCAUGUAUCUGACUUCUGAAAAAGACACAAUAGGAAGCUCAUUUACACAUCUCAUGAUUGGUGGUAGUAGCAGUGGUGGUAACACUGGUCAAGGAGACACCAAUAUCUUUUUAGAUGUAAGUGUACAUUUCACCAUAUAUAUGAUAAAUCAUCUACUAUGUAAUCUAAUCUUUGUUAUGUGUAGGGAAAUGAACUGGUCGAAACUGAAAUCUUCGACCUGAAUGAAACUGUGUGGCCAAAAGAUAAACCAGUUUCAGACACAUUUGAGGUUUACCAUUUGUCAAUGACAAGUUGUUUAGUUAAGCAAAAACGUUUUGUCAUUUGAUAAGUUGAGAUUUUGAUACUAAUGAGUUUUUUUUUUUUUUUUUUUUUUUUUUUUUUUGUGUAGACAAGUGGAGAAAUACCAAAAAAUUGUGAGCAUUCUUGGAUAUGGAAGCAAGGUUCUGGUCAUGUUUGUUGGAUAUGUGGUAUCAUUGACGAGGUCAGUAACCAUUUUUAAUUAAGUCAUAAAGCUGAUAUAUACCUUUUAUAUGGUUACCAAUACAAUACUUGAGUUUCAAUCUAGUUUUCCCGGAUCAAACCGGGUUCAAUUUUAUAUAUAUAUAUAAAUUCAAAAACAAAUAUAUAACUUAUACAUAGCUAAUAUAUAUUUAUUUAUGUGUAUUUAACAUAAAAUUCAAAAAUAACUUGUAAUCUAACACAUCAAAACAAAUAUCAAUUUAAUAAAUCUAAGCAAAUCCUAAAUAACAAGACACAUGGUUAAAAAUAUAUUCCUCUAUUUUAACUUAGAAAAUAAUUAAUGAGUAUUCUUUAAUUUUUUAGUAUAAAAUGUUUUACAGUUUAUAUUAAAAGGUUAUGAUUUUUUUAAUUACAAGUUUUAUAGGAGAAAAUAUAUUUCAUUAUAUAUAAAAAAAAUUGUGGUACAGAAUUUCAAAAUAUGUUUUCUUGGUUUUUUCCGGUUUCAAAUGGUUUUCUUAACCGAGUUGAAAAGCAUGGUUGCCGAUUCAAUUAGCGGUUUCAACUUGGUUAUCAAUUUUUAAAACAUUUGCUUGAUUAUCCCAUCAACUAUUUUUUCAAUCCAAAUUUUUAUAUGAUCAGGAUCAUCCGUUGCCACCCGGAUUCGGAUCGAAUAACUGCAAAGAUAUCAGUCUGAGAGUUCCUAAAGAUGGCUUUUUAGGAAGUGGCAUUUUCCCUCAUCCUUCGCAUAGAAGUAGUAUGAGUUCUCAUCACAUUGAGAUACUUAACUUCCUAUGCAAGAAUUUGGGAGUCGAAGACUCCAACGGAUGCAUUGUAGCUCAAGCUCCAAUAUCCGAAAAGACGUUCUUGAUGAUCAAUUUCGUAUAUGGUUACCUUAAAAAGUAUCCAAAUAGUAAACCUCUCUUUGUCCUUCCAAAAGGGAUGGUUAACUUUUGGAAACAAGAGCUUGUUGAAUUAAAGGUCGAUGGUGUUUUGUUUCUUGAUUUCUACUCGGCCAAUGCUACUACCCGGUCUCAACAGUCAGAAGUGUUACAACAAUGGGUUUUGAACCGUGGGAUACUCUUCUUAGGCGCUAAGCAAUUCGCCAGCAUAGUUGAUGACAACAGUAGUACAGAAGCUGCAUUGUUUUGUAAAGAUACUCUCAUAAAGACUCCUUCACUGGUUAUCUUUGAUAAAGGAACCGAUCCGAGGAACGAGAUGAUGAGGUUUCUGAAGUCUAUUGCGCGUAUCAAGACUCCUAACAAGAUUUUACUCAUUGGGACAUUAUAUCAAAACAAGAUGAAGGAGGUUUUUAAUGUUCUUGAUGUUGCAUUCCCUGAGUUUCUAAAGCACAACCAAGCUGAGGGGAAAAUCAGAAGAUACUUAAACGUUGAUGCUGCCACUGAUGGACUUUCAUUGGAUUUGAAGAUGCCCUUGUUUGAUGAACUGGAAGAUGCUUUACUUCAUCAAGAUACUGAUCACGGUGACAAGAUUUGUUACUUAACUGAAUUGAGAAUGUUGACAAACAAGGUUAUCUACAAUCAUCAAGGAGAGUUUCGUCUUGAAGUUCCGGGAAUGAUGGAUUUUACGGUGGUCUUAAAGCCGACAUCAAGCCAAAAGUUGGCAUGGGAUAUUGAAAGAAACAUCAAAAGGAAGGGGUUCAAAACACACUCUAUCUUGACUGGAAUCACGCUUCACCCGGUUCUAUCUACUUUCUCGGACCGGGUAAGGGGUCUUCCCGCUCCAAAUGUGGAUCAGAUAGAUGAUAUUAUCAAAGACAUUGACGGAACUGAGGGAGUAAAAACAAAGUUCUUCUUGGGUUUGGUGAAGUUAUGUGAUCAUACAAAUGAGAAGAUUCUUGUAGUAAGCCAAUAUGUCAUCCCAUUGAUAUUCCUCCAAACACUUGUGGCCAAGAUUAAAGGUUGGAAAGAUGGCAAAGAAACUUUCAUGAUUAAAGGUGAUACCAGCAACUCUGAUCGAGAAGUCUCAAUUAAUCAAUUCAACAACUCGCACGAGGCGAGAAUCUUCUUUGCAUCAAUCAAAGCAUGUAAUGAGCAGAUCAAUCUCACCGGUGCAACAAGGAUUUUAAUGCUUGACAUUAUCGCUAACCCUUGUAUGGCUAGACAAGCCAUAGAGAUGGCUUAUCAUCCAGGACAGCAAAACAAAGUUUACUCAUAUAGGCUAGUGGCUGCUGAUACAUCAGAAGAAGAUGAAGAUAUAAUGGCGGCUCGAAAGGAGAUCAUUUCUGGAAUAUGGUUUGAUGGGAAGACAUAUCCUGUCGAUGGACAGUUUUGUAUUCCGAACAUUGAUGGAAACUACAGUGAUGACUACUUUCUUGGAGCUUCUUAUAUGAAGGAAGACAUCAAAACCAUAUACAAAAGGUUUGCUUUUUUAAAAAUUAAUUAUGUUUUUAAAAAUGUUUAGAUGGUUUUUAACUAAAAUAUCAUGUUGUGUUGCUAAACUGUUUUCAGGUAAAAUAAGAGCUUCAUGGUUAAAGUGAAGCCAGUCAAGAAUGGCUCUCUUUUAUGUUUAUGUAAUUUUAUUUUGUUUCGGAAAUAGACAAAGUGUUGUAUAAUUGGUUUUUCUUUUAUCAAUCUUUUUUUGUAUUAUAUAUGAAUGACUUAAUUAAUCGUUUUGGAUUGUUGAUUUUUAUAUGAGAAGUCAUAUAUAAUUAAUUGGCUGGAAGAAAAUAAGAACAAUAUUUGUAUUUUGAUAUGUGAAAUUCGAUUAUAACAAUUUUUUAUUUUGUUCAAAAACAGAAUAUACUUAGAAAAAUACACAAGAACAAUAUUGUUUUAUGUUUUUGCCUUUAUCCCUACAAAAAAAGAAAAACAUCUGAUUUUAAGAUAUGUUCAUAGUGGUAAUUUUACCUUUUUAAUUAAAAUUACCGGUUUAAUUAAAAUUACCGGAUUUAGCAGCCAAUAAAAUUAGGUUAGGGUUUCUAUAAGCAUUAAAAAAAAACGAACAUUAACUUUUAAGCCUAGCGCCACUUCUCAGCUAUGGUUUGUAGUCCGAUACAUGUUUCUGUGACUAUCUUCAGUUUCUUUUCUAUGAAUACAUUACAAGUUUUAGGUAUAGGCCCGUACGUACAUGAUCCUCUUAGGUCGCUGAGUUUUACAAUCUUUUCUUAACGUAGGCUAAUACAAUUGGGUAUACGGAGAUGGUUUGUAAAGGACUUCUCGAAGGUAGCUCGUGUUUCGAAAGAACAAACUGUUCAAUCAGAACACUUGAUGAAAGCUCUUUUGGAUAAAAAAGAUGGCUUUGCUGUGAAAAUAUUUGCUAAGGCUGGAAUCAACGAUACCUCUAUCCUAAAGGCUUGUGUUGCUCUUGAGCUUUAAAAUUUCAACAUGAAUGUUGUGUUUUAGUGACCUAUAUAUGCAUUUCUUAUAUAUAUAUAUAUAUCAGGUAAAGCUCCUAAAGUAAGAUAUAGAGCUUUUGAAAAGUAUGGAAAUGAUUUAACUGAUAUGGCUAGACAAGGAAAACUUGAUCCUGUCAUUGGACGGGAUGAUGAAAUUCGUCGUUGCAUUGCAUCCAUAUAUUAUGCAGGAAGACGAAAAACAAUCCUAUUAUCGUCGGUGAACCUGGUGUAGGGAAAACCGCUAUCGUGGAAGGGUAAGCCAAAAUAUGAUCUUUUAUGAUCUUACUCUUUCUUAAGACAAAAUUUAUUGAAGAUAUCUUAACCUUUGUAGGUUGGCGCAGCGAAUUGUAAAAGGGGAUGUCCCUGAAGCUCUCCUAAAUCGAAAGGUUACUAUCACUUCAGUUCUUUUGUUAACUGUUUUACUUCUACAUCUCUUGGAUCAUUUCAAUAAGAUUGGAUUGGUUGCUUUAUAUUGUAGGUGAUAUCUCUAGACAUGGGUUUGUUGCUUGCUGGUGCCACAUAUGUAGGAAAUUUAGAGGAAAGGAUAAAAGAAGUACUAAAGGAUGUAACUGCUUCAAAUGGGUAUGCAGUCUUGUUCAUUGAUGAAAUCCACACUCUUGUUGGUGCAGGUGACCUUUCUUUCAUUAGUAAACGAUGUUCAUUAGCUUUUGUUAGAUCCAAAAGGGAGACUAAUUGAAGAAUUGGCUGGUAUACACUUGUGUAGGAAGUAGUAAUAAUGAUCCAAUGGAUGCUGCAAACCUCUUGAAACCAUCGCUUGGACGAGGUGAACUGAGAUGCAUUGGUGCAACUACGCUAACCGAAUACACCCAAUACAUAGAGAAAGACCCUGCUCUUGAACGUAGGUUUCAUCAAGUGGUCUGUGAUCAGCCAUCAGUCGAAGAUACCAUCUCGAUUCUUCGAGGGCUAAGAAAGAGGUAUGAGUUACACCAUGAUGUAAAGAUAUCAGAUGGUUCUCUUGUUUCAGCAGCUGUUCUUGCAGACCGCUACAUCACUGAACGCUUUCUGCCAGAAAAAGGUAUACGAGUGUUUACCUACAAAAUUUUCUUGGAAAAAUAUUUGUGUUUUCAGAGAAAAUAAUGAUUCUUUGUUUCAGCUAUUGAUCUUGUUGACGAAGCUGCUGCAAAGCUGAAGAUGGAGACCGUUUCAAAACCAACUAAAGUUGAUGAAAUAGACAGAGCUGUGAUCAAACUAGAGAUGCAGAAGGCUUCUAUGGAAAAUGAUACUGAUAAAGCUUCUGAAAUACAAAAACAGAAGAUUGAGAAUAACUUGACCAAGCUCAGGAAUAAACAGAUGACCUCAAUGAGCAAUGGGAGCAAGAAAACAGCUGAAGGCCAAACACUUACCUCUCUCCAACGCGAGUUAGAAGAAGCUGAGAGGAACCUCAGUAAUUUCCGGGAGUCUAGACAGUCGCUUAUCCGAGAAGAGGUAACAUAUCGUGACAUAGCGGAGAUAGUAAGCAAGAAGACUGGUAUACCACAAUCAAAUCUUGAGAAAUCAGAGAAGGAAAAGCUGGUCAUGUUGGAUCAAGUGCUCCAUGAGAGAAUAGCUGGUCAAGACAUGGCUGUAGAAUCAGUUUCAGACGCUAUCCGUUGUUCAAUGGCUGGUCUUUCAGAUCCUAACCGGCCUAUAGCCAGUUUUAUGUUCAUGGGUCCAACAGGUGUUGGUAAAACCGAGCUUGCCAAGGCUCUAGCUGGAUACCUUUUCAACAACGAAAACGCGAUAGUGAGGAUCGAUAUGAGUGAGUACAUGGAAAAAAUACUCAGUCACACGGCUCAUUGGUGCACCACCUGGCUAUCUCGGUUACGAUGAAGGAGGGCAGUUAACUGAAGCUGUUCGCAAGAGACCCUUACUCAGUUGUUCUGUUUGAUGAGAUUGAGAAAGCUCACCCUGAUGUCUUCAAUGUCUUGCUACAACUACUAGAUGAUGGAAGAGUAACUGAUUCUCAAGGGAGGACAGUAAAUUUCAGAAACUGUUUCGUAAUAAUGACUUCUAAUAUAGGUUCUGACUUGAUUCUUGAGACUCUUGGCAACAUUAAAGAUAGCAAAGAAGCAGUUUAUGAGAUGAUGAAACAACAAGUUGUGGAGUUAGCAAGAAAAUCUUUCAGGCCAGAGUUUAUGAACAGAAUUGAUGAGUUCAUUGUUUUUCAACCUUUGGAUUUAAGUGAAAUAUCCAAAAUCGUCGAGUUUCAGGUAAAGAUUAAAAAAACUUUUAAGUUUUCAGAAUCUCUUUUUUUUUGGUUCAAACCAUUGUAACUGUUGUUUUGGUUGUGUAGUUGAGACGUUUGAAGAAGAGGUUGGAACAGAAUAAAAUAAAACUUGAGUACACAAAGGAAGCAGUGGUUCUCAUUGCUCAGCUUGGGUUUGAUCCCAAGAAUGGGGCAAGACCGGUGAAGCGAAUCAUCGAGCAGAUUGUGAAGAAAGAUAUCACCUUGAAAGUUUUGAAAGGAGAUUUUGCAGAGGAAGACAUUGUUCUUCUUGAUGUUGACAAAACAUAUAACAAACUUGUUGUCCAAAAGCUCGAGAGUACUGCUCAUAUGGAAGAAGAUCACAUGAUUACUUUCUAAGUUAUAAUAGCUUUGAUCUAUACAAACAAGAUUAAAUAAACUCUGUUAGCGUCUAUUUUGAUAUAACUUGGAGUCAUGAAGAGCGAGAUGUGUAUCUUGGGGAUCAAACUAAGAGAAUCUGCUUAUGUGAAUCAAAAGUAUGAAUCUUGAAUGGUUUAAUCCAUACUCUUGAUAGGUUCGUAACAAGUUUAAAAGUCACGCAAAAAAGUCAACAGGUUGAUGACAAUACUGGCAAGAUAAUGCAGGUGAGACCAAUUAGGAGAAGCUAAAUAUGAUGACGCAGGUUUUGUUGGUUUGCAUUAUUUUCAAAUGGGAAAAAUGUAGGAAAAAUCACAGACUUUCAAAUUUAUUAUUAUUAUUUUCUUUGGUGUUACGAUCAAUUAGAAUUUUUUUUUUUUUUAACUCUAAUUUAUUAUUUAUCGCAAAUUAUGGAAAACUGUCAUCAACAAUUCUCUCGCUCCGGUUCUAUUACAUUCAACAUAGAUUAUACUCUUUUCUCUGAAAAACUUUCACAAUCGGAAUAUUUUGAAAAAAAAAAUUGUUUUUUAAAAGGUUUAUGAUAAUAAGGGGAAAAUGUCAUAAAAAUCACAAAUUUUUAAAUUUGGGACGACUUAAUCUCGAACUUUCAAGAAUUAAUUUUAAUUACAAUGUUUUUGUUGACUUUUUUUUUUGUAAAAUACCUAAGUUCUGCUGACCUUUCUGAUUUAACCACGACGUUUAAUUUACGGUAAAAUCUCGAAGACGGGGUUAACUAUUUGUGUGUUGGUUUCGUUUAGCUUAAACAACCACGCUUUUUAAACGACACAACGACAUUGGAAGUGGCUUUCUUCCUCCACGGAUUCGCGCUAUGGCAAUAAUUCGACAAGAGAGAAUUUGUGGAUUUUUUUAGGGUUAGGAUUUGGAAUUGAGUUUCUUCGAUUUCUUGUAAGACGUUGUUUUGUGUUUUAAAAUACAUGGUCGUUUAGGACAAACAGAAACAGCUCACAUAUAGUUUACCCCGUUUUUACGAUUUUGAUAGAGUUUAAACGUCAGGCUUAAAUCGACAAAAUCAACAAAAUUUAACUAUUUUACAGAAAUAAUAAACAUAAAUUUUGUGACUUAAAAAUGACUUCUUGAAAAUCUGGAUAAAAUCGUCUCAAAUUUGAAAGUUUAGAAAUCUUUUGACAUUUUUCCCUAUAAUCUCCUAAUUCAUGUUUAAAACUUUCUAUUUCUGCUAUACAAACGUUUCCUUUUUAACAUGUGUGCAAACAUUUAUUACAUACUCGUUUGCUUCUUCACCAAACAUCCACUUGCUUCUUCUCCACGCAUCCUAAAACAUCCUCUUUUAAAACACUAAACCAAGCUCCUCCCUUGGUCGUCACUUCAUCUUUCCAUGGCGUCCAGAAGAUUGUCAAAGUCAGUUUCUGCAGCCAUCAAGGCACACAAUGCCUUUUCAAGACCUUCUCUCCUCCCUCGUUGUCGCGCCAUCUCUGCCUGUGCUAACUUCAGCUCCCAUUCCUCUCCCAACUCCUUUUUCUCCCGGCCAAAUCCCUUCAUCGGAGUUUCUAGAGACGGUACAACUUCGGCCACUCGAGCUCCUACUCGUGGCCGACUGUUUCCUCUUUCUCUCCAGUUCCCUUCUCUGCGCCGCUUCUCCGAUAUAUCAGACCAGGUUCGUGGUCCGUUUUAGUUCAUUAUAUGUUAUUAAGACAGGUCAUUAACUAGGUUUUUGGUUUUUGUGUAUAUGUAGAGUGAUGGUAAGAAGGAAGCACUUGAAACGUAUGGAACUGAUAUAACAGAGAUGGCUAGAAAAGGAAAGCUCCCUCCUCUCAUUGGACGUGAGGAUGAAAUCAACCAUUGUAUCCAAAUACUAUGCAGGAUGACUAAAAGCAACCCUGUUAUCAUUGGUGAACCCGGUGUAGGCAAAACCGCUAUUGCAGAAGGGUAAGGCUUAAGGCUUGUGUUUAUAUCUCUCAUUAACUUACUGUUGUACUGAGAUGUAUUAACCUUUUCAGAUUAGCCCAACGAAUUGUAAAAGGAGAUGUCCCUCAACUACUCUUGGAUCACAAGGUAACUUUUAUUUUCUAACAUUUUACUCUGAUCAAAAGUGUGAGAGAAAGAUUGUAAAAGUGUUACAUUUUGUAAUGUAGAUUAUAUCUCUUGACAUGGGUGCACUACUUGCUGGAACACAAUAUCGAGGAGAGUUUGAGGAAAGGUUGAAAGCAAUACUAAAGGAAAUAGCUGAUUCCAAUGGCAAGACAAUAUUGUUCAUUGAUGAAAUCCACACUCUUGUUGGUGCAGGUGACCUUUCUUUCAUUAGUAAACGAUGAUAUUAAUCGGGUUAUGUAAAUGUAUCGAACGAUAUUGACUGAUGUUAUUAUAAACAUUGUGUAGGAGCUUGUGAAGGUGAUACAAUGGAUGCGAGCAACCUCUUGAAACCAAUGCUUGGAAGAGGUGAACUGAGAUGCAUUGGCGCAACUACGCUAACCGAAUACCGCAAAUACAUGGAGAAAGAUCCUGCAUUGGUACGUAGGUUUCAGAAAGUGUUCUGUAAUCAGCCAUCUGUUGAAGAUACUAUAUCGAUUCUUCGUGGGUUAAGAAAGCGGUAUGAGUUACACCAUGGUGUUAGGAUAUCAGAUGGUUCUCUUGUUUCAGCAGCAACUUUGGCAGAUCGAUAUGUAACCGAACGGUUUCUACCAGACAAAGGUACAAAACUUGCACCUUAUUGUGAUUCUUGACAUGUUUUUCUUGUGUUUAAAGAUGAAAAUUUCUUCGUUUCUUUCAGCUAUUGAUCUUGUGGAUGAAGCUGCCUCAAAGUUGAGGGUUUCAACCAUUGCAAAACCGACUGAACUCGAUGAAAUAAACAAAGCUGUGAUCAAAUUGGAGAUUGAGAAGUAUUCUUUGAAAAAGGAUGCUUCUAAAGAACUUCUAGAGAAGAUGGAUAAUGAUUUGACCAAGCUCAAAGAUAAACAGAAAGAACUAAGUAAGCAAAGGGAAGAAGAAAAGUCUCUCAUUACUAAACUACGUUCACUCAAAGAAGAGGUAAAAAUUUCCACACUACUAAUUUUCAUUCUUUAAAAUAUAAGAACAUAUGUUAUGGCUACAACACUUCAUCAACCUUAAUGUCUCAUAUUCUAUGUUUUACAGAUUGAUAAAUCCGCAGAACGUGAAUGUGGUUUAAACCGUACUGCUGAGGUGAAGUAUGGAACACUUAAGUCCCUCCAACGCGAGUUAGAAGAAGCUGAGAAGAAUCUCACUAACCCCGGAGACUAUGAACAGGAAGAGGUAACUGAUCUUCACAUAGCAGAGACUAUAAGCGAGUGGACAGGUAUACCACUAUCAAACCUUCAGCAGUCAGAGAAAGAAAAGCUAGUCAUGUUGGAAGAUGUUCUUCACAAGAGAGUAGUUGGACAAGACAAAGCUGUAGAAUCAGUAGCAAAUGCUAUCCGUUGCUCAAAGGCUGGUCUAUCAGAUCCUAACCGUCCUAUAGCAAGUUUUAUGUUCAUGGGUCCAACAGGUGUUGGGAAAACAGAACUCGCCAACGCGCUUGCUGGAUACCUUUUCAACACAGAGAACGCGAUAGUGAGGAUAGAUAUGAGUGAGUACAUGGAGAAAAACUCGGUCUCACGGCUCAUUGGUGCACCUCCUGGUUGUGCUGGUUUUGAAGAAGGUGGACAGUUAACUGAAGCUAUUAGGAGGAGACCUUACUCGGUGGUUCUGUUUGAUGAGAUUGAGAAAGCUCACCCUGAUGUCUUCAAUAUCUUUCUACAGAUACUUGAUGAUGGAAGAGUAACUGAUUCUCAAGGAAGGACAGUAAAUUUCAGAAACUGUUUUGUAAUAAUGACAUCUAACAUCGGAUCACACUCCAUACUCGAGACUUUCCGCAACAAUAAAGAUAGCAAAGAAGCAGUGUAUGAGAUGAUGAAGCAACAAGCUGUGGAGUUAGCAAGACAAACUUUUAAGCCAGAGUUCAUCAACAGGAUUGACGAAUACAUUGUUUUCCAACCCUUGGAUUUAGACGAACUAUCCAAAAUCGUCGAGUUUCAGGUAAUGAUAUCCACCUCUCUUAUAAGUUUAUAAGCCUAGGUUAUUUGGUUAGUGUGUGGUAUAAAUGUAAUGUAUUGUUACUAUUUGGUGCAGAUGAGAAGAGUGAAGAAUCUGUUGGAGCAAAAGAAAAUAAAUCUUGAGUACACAAAAGAAGCGGUGGAUCUACUUGCUCAGCUUGGGUUUGAUCCAAACAAUGGGGCAAGGCCUGUGAAGAGAGUGAUUCAGGAGAUAGUGAAGAAAGAGAUCUCCUCAAAACUUUUGGCAGGAGAGUUUACAGAGGAUGACACUAUUCUUCUCGAUGUUGAUCAGCAACAAAACAAAUUGGUCAUCAAGAAGCUUGAGAUUAAUGACCAUAUUGAAGAACUGGCUGCAUGAUAUCAUACAAAGUUACAAACUUAACUAGACGAUUUGGUUAAGAUAAUUUGUGGAGCGUUUGAAAUAUAAUCAGAUGUUCUGUUAUAACACAAGAUGAAUAAGAAAACCUUUUUUUUUUUCCCAUAAGAAAUUUUAUUGAUAUGUCAUAAAAGACAAACAUUACAGAUCCACACAGGAUACGGCUAAAGACCUAAACAAAGGCACAGCGAUAAACUUAUACCAAGCCGGCAAAGAUCAUAAUCUUUCCGGGCACAAAGCCGACAAGGGUAAAAACCCCUCCGGACACAAAGCCGGCGAGUAUAAAGAAAACUCCCGGAAUCAAAACCUAAUUAUCGAAACGAUUUUCCGAAUAAUCAGGAUACACUAAGCUUAUAAACAUUAAAACUAUGAAUGUUAUCACUUUGCUUCUUUCUUCUUCAAUUUACUGGUUAUUUUCAAGAUCGGAAGUUGAUCUAGAGACUUCUGGAACACAGAUGUAUUGGCUUGAACUUCUGGUCUUGUAGUCCUCGCUUGAUAAUUUGUAGACUUCGAAAAUUAGAGGUCUUGAUCUANNNNNNNNNNNNNNNNNNNNNNNNNNNNNNNNNNNNNNNNNNNNNNNNNNNNNNNNNNNNNNNNNNNNNNNNNNNNNNNNNNNNNNNNNNNNNNNNNNNNCGGUAGAGGGAAUUUAAACCGCCAAAAGUUGCCUGCCGGUGAAGACGAUAUGUAAUCGACUAGAUCCGGUAUGAAGGAGUCAAGAAACAUCAAAUCUCACCCAGAUUUCGAUGUUGGUUCGAGUGGAGAAAGCUUGGAAGAAGCUGCCUUUACCAUAACACCAACCACAAAAGCGAUUAUGGAUGGCGGUGGGUUGAUUGGUUGGAAGGCUAAGAAAAUCACCAUUGAAUCUCUGAAGAAGAAACUUGCAACAACCCCAUAGACUAAAAACGAAACACAACAAAAGCAAAUAAAACUAAAGGGAGAAUCAACGUUGGUGCUAAAGGAGCCACCGAACGUUAAUCUCCGGCCAAAAAGCAACGAUGUCUUGAGCUACUUCUUGAGGAGAGAGAAGGGAGAAUACUUCGGAGGGAGGAAAGAGAAGUUUUUAAAUCGUUUCUGAUGAAUAAGAAAACCUAAAUAUAUCAUUAGAUGUAAAAUCAUAAAUGUUGAACACACACACACACACACACUCACUCAAUAUUUACACAUCUCUUUAUCCCUCCCCAAAUUUAUACACAAGAAGUUACAUGUCUGUUUCUGUAUUAAAACCAGGAAGGGACUCAAACUCCUGCAUAAGUUGUCAACCUAAUACUAUUUCCAUCAAAAUACAAACCUAAAUCUCCUUCACUACCUAAUUGCCUGAUUCCAGCUUUUUUCUUGUUACCUAGCAGAGGAACAAAGUUUCCUCUUCUCUCUUCUAAUCUAAAAGACUAAAUCCAAAGUUAGGGGUGAUUCUCUAAAGUUGGGUAAAAUCCCCGAACUAGGAGCCGCAACAUGUAGUUUCCGGUUCCCAGGACUGCGAAAUGCAACUCAAGGAGGUCGAACGAGAGUAGACAACAACAUCCUUUUGUGUUUCAGUUCUCAUUGUACACACAUUUCUUAAGUUUUUCGUUCUCUGCUUCCUUCUGUGCUCUCUUCUUCUCAAACUCGACUUGCUUGCAGUUUUCCUCGUGUGACCGCACAAAUAUUCUAACAAAGUUUUGUAGAGUGGAUACAACUGCAGAUUCAAAUCAAAUGCAAGGAUUUGGUUUAUCUUAGGUCAGGGACAAAAAGGACUAACUUCCAAAAACCAAAUGGAGAUGAUGUAUUAAAACUAAGAUGUAAGAAGAGAAAAAACCAUAUUAGUGAGUCUACAUCAAAUUGUUACCUUGCUCAAAUGGGACACGAGCUGGAUCUUCUCCAAAGUAUAAUGCCAAAGCAUCGGCGCUUCCACCCUAAUAAUACCAUGAGAAACAGUUCAACAGAGGUGGCACCAAAGAAUCCUUACCACAGUAACGUAAAGUGCUUCAGAAAAGUAAUAAAUACAGGGAGAAGGUAGGGAGCCAAAGAAUCCUUACAACAGUUGAAUAGAGGGAAGCCAAGGACUUUACUUCUCCUUCAGCAAAGCUAAGAAACUCUUUCAAGUUCUGCAUAAACAAUUAGAAGUGUAAGCAUACGAUAAACACAAGCAAUCAUAACUUAACAAGCUUUUGAAUAUCUGAUUUAGUUUACCAUACGAAAGUGUUUUGAUAUUUGACCAUCAGUUUCAGAUGUAGUAAACUCUUGUGCAACUUUCUCCAAGCCUUUGCUAAUUGCUUGCAUCUCCUCUGCCAGGUAUUUUAGUUGAAUCUAUCAUCAAGGAAUGUUGUCAGAGAGAUUAACACCCAGGGCUCAAAGUGAAUUUCUUAAACGACGAGGUAAAAAAAAAAUAGUACCUUUGUUGCAGCCUCCAAGCUGACCAGGUCUUUGGGAAAAUCAAGUAGCUCUGGAAGUUUCUCGGUUAGUACCUGAGAGUACAAGUAUGAACAUUUUGUGAGAAGAUAUUGUUAAGAAUAUAGUAUACUAGUUAAGAACAAAGAGAAUUUAACAUUAAACCAAAAACAAAAAGAGUUGUAAACAUUCGAAAAAAUCUCCUACCUUACAGAGAUAGUGCAUCAGAGUCAUCUUACUGUUGCGGGAUCUAGUGUCAGUGAGUUUUAGAAGACUAUCCAGGCGAAAUCCGAUAGCUGAGCCUGUCAAAAGAGAAGAAACACAUAAAUCUGACAUUGUGGAGGGUGAAUUUAACUCUAAUAUAGAACCAAUGCCUCUCUCUAAAAUAAACACUAUUUGGUAGUCUAACGGCAAGAUAUGCUCACCCCUUGCAGUCCCGUGGUUCAAUGCAUUGCCCAAGGAAAGUAUAGUUUGCAUAAUUCUUUUUAGUUUAGCCGACCCUCUAACCUGGAAAGUGUUUCAUCCAAUAGAGUCAGAGUGGAAAAUCACCAACAAGAAUAUAUGUGGUUCACAAACUAUUUGCAUAAAAUAUCGACUUGCCUCGUUGGCUGCACUAUGUAUGGUAUUCAAACCUCUUCUAAGAUCAGUAACCUGAAGGAUAACAACCAUUUAUUGAUCCAGGUUUUAGAAACUAAUAAGUAUUACAAAAAUACAAACUCCAAUCGAGUCUCCUACCUGGGAUUGGAACUGAAUCUUGAAUGAGAAAACCCUUAGCUUAGUCUCCACUCGAGGAACUUUCAGCAGUUCUAAAAAGAACUAUCACCAGAAAAGUCAGAAAAUAGCUAUCAGUACAAAAUGGAGAGAUGGAAGUGAAAUUUUUAUGAAGGUAUCACUACCAACUUAAAUAGGUAAUGCUAUUUGGUUCUUGACCCAAAACAAAUACCAGGAAAUCAGUAAGUUAAGAAGAGUUCUGACUAUUUAUGUGCACAACUCUAAGAUUGAUCAUUGUAUAUUGUUUUGGUGGGUUUGUUGAAUGUUGAUAAUUUAUUCGCUUAGAAGGAAUGGUGGUUGGUCAGCCAAGAAAUACGAGAAUGGUCCUAGAAACUCGAAAAGGUGCACUCUGAAGAUUGUUUAAAUAUGAAAGUGGAGCACACGACUAACCUGCUCACACCGUCCCAAAGUUUCCCUAUUUCCAGUGUAGCCCUACGGAAAGUAAGAAAACCAUGGCAAGAGAUGUAGUAUCAGUGUACUCACAAAAGAAGACUUCUAAAAUUUUCAGAAGCAGAACAUUAUUGGAUAAGAACCAGAAAUAAAAAUACCUUAAGCAAUUCUGCUUCUUCUUUUGAUGGGCAAAACUUAAUUAGAUUGUCAACUUGAUCAACAUCUAUCACUGACUCAUCCAAUGCAAGAACAGAACUCUGUAACCCAAGAUUUAUUCAGAUAAGAAAUUACGGUAUGAACAGCUCUAGCAUAACAAGAUGAGGCCAAAUUAUAUUUUGCAUUUCAUGAGCAGUGGAAUUUAAGAUAAAGACAAAAACUUGCCAAAAAAUAUCUUGCAAGAAAAAACAUUUGUGCUUACCAUCAAAUCAGGCAAAGGUAUUUUAACUUUGGAAAGCAUAAUCUCACAGUUGUAUGCUCGUCUGAGCUCAAUCUGCAAAACUAAUAGACAAAGUUAGAGGACGAAAAUAGAGAAACUGCCAAUGGAUCUUAAUUUCAUGUCAUUAAUCUUCGGAAAUUAAAAGAUUUACGAAGUUCGAGAACAGUAGAAUACUCAUUGCAAUCAAUUACCAGCUGCACUUUCUCAACUUUAGGUCGGGCACGUCGACCUGAUUUCCCACCUGUACCUUCAUUGUCAGAGCUAAGAUUCACUGCUGAGAAGAGUUUCUCAAGCUCAGAGAUAUCAAACUCUGGAGCACUGAAAAAUAAAAACAAAAUUCAAUUAGAAGAUGUCGGAGUUAGCAUAAUAAAGAAAAUCACAAACUUAUAUAGAAGAUGAAACGAAGAUAUAAUCAUACGUUGCAGCUUCAUCAGGUUUCUGCGCGUCAGCCCAUAAACUUCCCUGUACUGCUCUAGUAAGCUUUAACCAAUGAUAUGGUUUCAAGUUGGCCUUCCUCGUUUGACCCUGACCUCUAAGAUUCUGUAAAAUCCCACGCCCCUUUAAACCCAAUGGUGGUCCAGGGACAGGAGGAAUGUUUCCAUUACAACCCCCAUUAUGAGAACGAGACAAAGGUGCAGGGGCUGGUGGAGGAGGAACAGGAGGAGAUUUCACCACCAAAGAAUUUGUUGGGACUCCUGGUCGAGAAUUAGAAUGCAAAGGUGGCGGCGGUGGUGGUGGAGGAUUAGUUGUAGCUAACACUUUCUUUGGAGGUAAAGGUGGUGGUAAAGGAAAAGAUGAACGUGCAGAACGCUGAGCUUGUGGUUGAGGUGGAGGCGGAGGUGGAGGUGGAGGAGGCCCUUGAUUUGCUAUGGAACUGCUGAUGGAACUUGGUGAAGGAAUGGAGCUAGAGGAUAUGGGAGGUGGUGGUGGGGGUGGAGGCGGACGAGACAAAAUACCAAGUGGCUUCAGCAAUGGCAAUGAUGGUGACAUCACUGCUGCUUCUGCUGAAGGAGGGCCAUUUGAACGAACAGGUGUGGGCGACUCUGAAACUUUUGGAGAAGCUUCUUCUUUGGUUAGUGAUGGUGUCUGCUGAUGCAAUGAUGGUCGAAACGAAAUUGAAGGUGAGGCUGGUGAUGAUGAAGUAGUCUUUUCACCUUUACAAGUACCAUGAUCGUGUAGUAUUGAAGUGAUCCCAAGCGAAGAAGGGGAGCUGUGGAAUCUGGAUACUGAAGCGGGUGAUCCUUGUGUAGGACUAUGGUUUGGAAGUGGUGAUACUGGACUUUGGACCAGUCGAGGUGAAAUUAUCUUCGAGUGAACAUUUCUUUGGACUGAAACACGAAGUCCAUGCGAUUCAUCAACCUUCUUAAGGAUAGAAUUCGGAUCUGCAUAUGAUUUAUGACCGGACACUGUAUCUUUCUCUUUCCAUUCAGGAGAGAAUGCAUCAGGACUUACAGCAAUAUUUUCUGUAAUCAUCAACUUGGUUUUCUCCUUAACUUUCUCAAGUGCCGAUUCCAAUAGGCUACGUGAAUCAGGACUUCGAGGAGAACCUGAAUCCAAGCUUUCUUGAAGGAUAUUUGCUGCUGUUAUUUGGUUGAAAACUGUCACAGCAACAUCAGAAUUUGGAUCCAACCAUUCAGCUUCACUAAAAAUCUCUUGAACCUUAGCAAAUGCUUCCAUAGGUAGAACAUCUUUUUCAUCCAUAUGCGGCAUAUCAACAGAGACAAGAUUAUUACCAGCAUCCAUCUCUGAAAAUAUAACCUGCGCAAGCAUACAGAAUGUUACUCCUUUCUUGACUUGGAAAGAUAAGUAGCUAUGUAUAACAUAAAAAUGCUUCUAACAGAUAUGCCAGGCUCAAAACUGAACUAAAAAAACUGAACUAGUUAAAAUUGAUUUAACAGCUUUGAAAAUUGUUGAAACCUUUAAUGAAACAACAUGUUUAGCCUGAAUAAAUGAAUGAAAAUUAGAAAAUUGUUACCACCUUUAAUGAAACAACAUGUUUAGCCUGAAUAAAUGAAUGAAAAUUCUUGACUCAGAAAGAUGUAUUACACAAAGUACUUCUAUCAAAAGACUAGUCUCAUACUGAGCUCUCAACAACUUGCCAUUUCAAGGUUGAAGACUGUUUUAAUUCGGAAACCAAAAAAAUCAUAUAGUUAAUAAAGUAAGAUAAAUAGUCACCUCAGCUCUGAAAUCCUUGGGAAACCGAUCCGUUGUGUUCCACAGUACAUCAAUAUCAUCACGGUUAAGUAUAAGAAUGUUUGAUCUAAGAAAUGAUGUAUUGAACACAACGCGAAACAUCAUCUCUUCCCUCUCAUGAUCACUAUCUAGAGUAAUGCACUCAAGCACGACAUCACCAAGAAUAUGGCAAUGGAUGUCAAUCUUUACCAGCUCACAAUCUGCCUGAAACAGAAGACAGAAAGUUAGUACACAACAAAAUGAUACUAGGCAGAAACUGAAUGAAUGAACAAAUGGAUUAAAAAGCUCUCAGUAUCACCUGCUUAUAUUGCCGAACAGCUUUGCUUCUCUUGGGCAUUGAAAACAGAACUUUUGAACUCCGAUCAGAUGCCAAAAAAGGAUCUUGACCAUAUAUUCUGAAUAUGGGUCGGCAACCACCUUCACCAUCAAAAUCAGGAAUCAAUCUAAGAUUGACACAGUCUAAUGUAAGUGCCCGAUCUAGCGGUGGCCACUGUGACCCAACAUCCCUACUCGAAAUAUACUGAAGAAACCUCAAUUGUGAAGGCAGCGGAUUAAGUGGAGACAUUAGCUGUAAUAACUCACGAGGAGCGUGCUUAUAUAUCAUCUCUAGUGUUCUCUGUUCUCCACUAAACUGUUUGCGAUAUAACAAGAGUGAAGCUAGCAUAAAAGCUAAAGUCGGCCAGCCACCAAGCUCACAGUGCGACAAUAAGAUAUUCUGUUGACUUAACAACAACCAACUUUCAGCUGAUUUAAGAAAGUGAUGGACCGUUUCCAUUGUAAGCAAAGGGCAACCUUCAUAAUAGCGAGGAUAGUCCAUGAUGGUCAUGUCAUACUCAGUAAGUACACUCUCCAUCCGGCUUCUGCUAUCUCCAUCCCGGAAAUUAAACAUAAUGAAUGAUGCACCGGGAAACUGUUCUCGUAGCUGACUCAUUAUGCGGCCCACAUAGACUCUAUAAUCUUCAUUUUCCAACAUAUCCGUGUUUAAGCAGCAAUCAAAAACUGUAAAUUUAGACAUCAAAGAUCAGCGAACUUAUACAACAAUCUUUUUCUUCCCGUCACCAACUUAUAGAAAGCAGUCUUCUGAAUGUUUGUCACUUAACAAAGCAUUACAACCAUAAAUACUCAAUAUUUUCAGAGCUACUCAAUGUCAUGGUGAAGGCAAGCAAAAGAUUUGAGAAACCAUGCAACCCAGUGAACAUACAAAAGAAUCCUGGAAAUUCUUUGAGAAGGAGACAACAUAAGCUAUCAAAUGCUAUAUCAGUACAACCAAUUAGCUUGAGCCUGAGCUUAUGGAUAAUUAACUUAACAAUACUCAUGAGCUAGAGCUAAACCUAAACCAUCAAGAAUCAAAUGUCUCCAGCUAACAAAUGUUAGACUGAGUGGAUCAACAAGCCUGGCAAGAACUAGAAACGAAAACAGAACACUACACUACAAAAUUAUGCAGGCAUCAUAACUUGGAAAAAAUCUGAUCUUUUAAGACCUAAAAACUCAAACUUUCAAAAAAACUAAUUAGCCUAUGCCUGAGCUCAUGGAUAAUUAACUUAACAGUACUUAUGAGCUAAACCUAGACCAUCAAGAAUCAAACAUCUCAAGCCAUCCAAUGUUAGAUACAGUUCAAUCAAUAAGCCUGGCAAGAAUUAGAAACGAAAACAGGACACUAAACUAUCAACUUAGGCAGUUAUAACCGAAAAAAAUCUAAUCUUUAAAGACCUAAAGACUCAAACUUUCUAAACGCUUAGUACUCCAAAGGCCAAAGAAGAGCAAGAAGAAAGCAAACACAAAACCCUAUCAACUUAGGCAGUUAUAACCUAAAAAAAAUCUGAUCUUUAAAUACCUAAAGACUCAAACUUUCUAAAAACUUAAUACUCCAAAGGCCAAAGAAGAGCAAGAACAAGAAAGCACACACAAAACCCAACAGUUAAAAAGAACAUACCGUAAACCCUCUCAGAGAUCUCAACCAAACCUUCAGGAGGCUUUCUAUGAAAGAACUUUCUAAACAACGCCAUUGAGGUCUCUUUCUUUAAAUGCUUUCAGAGACCACAAAAAAUCCCUAGAAAUAAUUAAUCACCACACUACCAAACCAAAUGCGACCCACACAUUUGCAGGAUUAUGGAGAGAAAAGGUUGAAAAAACAAUAAACCCAAAUGACCAGAAAACAAAAAACGAGGAAAAUGUCAGGAAGAAAAGAAGGAAGCGUGAGAUAAUCUCAUUGCUGGGUCUUUAAGGAACAAUGCGGUGUGGGUUUUGUGUUGUGUUUUUUCUUUGUAGUUUGGUGGUUUGUCUUGACAUACACACUUUCAAUUUCUUCUGUUUUGGAAUUGGAAACUUAGCUUUCAAUCAAAACAGAGAUGCUUUUGAUAGCUCUGCACAUGCGAAAGAAAGAUGAUAUGAUGUAGAAAGAGAGAGAGAGUUAGGUUAUCAUGUCAAAAGAGAAACUAGGGUUUGUUUGACCAAAGAAGAAGAAGAAGAUGAAAGCUAUGGCGGAUUUGAGACAGAGAUUGAGGAUUUGUCGGAUUUCAGAUAGAAGGGAGAGAAAAAGAAAAAAAAAAGAGGAGGACCCAAAAGAUCUAUUACUUUGUUUAGGACGAUGACACUAAACUAUGAGAUACAUGUCUUCCAAUAUUUCAUGUCUUUUUUUAUGAGUUUGUAUAAGAUUUGCUUUUUUUUUUAAUUUGCUUUCCUACUAAACAUGGAGAUACAAUUAAUUAAUUCAGCUUUUUGCAAAUGAACUCAUUUAAAUAUCACGCAUAAAAAUCUUUGAAUAAAAAGAUACCAUAGUUUGUUUACUAGUGCCAAUUAAUAUUAUACAAAAAAAAAGUGCCAAUUUGUAUAUAAAUUUUUCUAUUAUGGUUUUGACCAAAUCUUUUGUAAAAUAAAUACGAGACUCAUAUGAAGUCCGACCCACAUAACAAGCUAUUGAAAAUUUGAAACCUCAACUCUUAAGCCUUAAGAUGAUCCUUCGUCGUGAUCGCAAAACUGUGAUUCUUGAGCACGCUAGAUUUAAUGUUUCCGUUAUCUUGCUUCCGGCGAUCAACAUGAUCCGAUUUUUCAAUAUUUCAGCAACAGUUUUCGUUUUCUUUUGCUUUAGAUCUCUUUUGUGUAAAGUUAGGCUCAACCCAUUUGGGUUGUUUCGAUACUUUAAUAAAUUUGUAGAGUAAAACAUCUUUAAGAUAAAAUUGAUAGGCUUUUAUAUAAAACUAGAGGUUGAUCCGCGCUGCGCGCGGUAGGUUUAUAAUUUUUUUGUUAAUUUUUUAUUUAUAUUGUGAUAUUUUUUUUUUUUUUUUUUCAAAACAUAUUAUAGUUCUUUUCUCUUGAAUUAUUAUCUUUCAAUAUUUAAAUUUGGAUUAAAAGCAUUUUCUUUUUGAUCAUGUUAUAAACUAAUAUUUCACUUUUAAUUUUAUUUUUCCCCUUUAAAAUUAUAUAUAUAUAAUUACAUAAAUGUUGUUUUUAUUCUAUCAUAAAUUUUAAAUUUAUUUACAUUCUUAAACUCAGUAACACAUUUAAAAUUUUAAACUAUGAUCAAUUUAAAAUGAAAGUUGAAUUAUAUUAUUACCACUAACUAAUAAAAAUGAAAGUAUUUCUUAUUUAACAUUUCAUUUAUUUACAUAAUUUAUUUUUAUUUAUAUAAAUUUUCUAUUAAUUAAAUAAGUAGCAUAAAUAUGCACUAAAUGAAUGUUUUAAAUUUAUUUUAAUGUAAAAAAAUGUGGUUUAGGUGGAUGCUUAGGUGGCAUCAUGAGAAGAGAGAAAAAGCUAACUUUAUAUAUAUAGAUUAGAAAACCUAAACAUAAGCGUAAAAUAAAUAAAUAAAUCGUCGUUUUAGUUUUCGAUAUAAGACCUCUUCUAUAUGUAUGUGAUUAUGUAAGUUAAUUUAAACUUUUUACAUAUAGAAAUCAUAAUUUUGGAGAUUAAUUGUUAGUUUUGCUUUUGAAUUUACCAUUUUUUUUUUUAAUCUUUGAUAAAUUAGUAAAACAGAGAGCUACGAUUCGAUGCUUUGUGUAGAGCACCCAAAAAAAGCCUACCUACAAAUUCAAUUAGCACUUCGUCCAUUUCCUUGUAAAAAAAGUCUGAAAAUUCAUAUUUCUUUGGGCCAAAACUCUAUUGGGCCGAGAGUGCCCCGAAAUUAUAGAAGUAUAAUGUGUUGUUGGAUACGUAUCCUCCAACAGAGCCCAAUACUCACCCAAUACAUCACCAAACAAUAAUCUCAAGUACCAAACUCUUUUAUAUACACACACACACUGAAUAUACUAGAUUUUAAUUUUUACUAUUGAAAAUUAAUUACUAACUACAUAUAUUUUUAUUUUAUUUUGUACAAAAAUUAACAACGAGAAACACUCAUAAAAACUUGACUGUGACUGACACAUACACACAACACAUGUCAGUAGUAUCCAUAAUUAUACAUGUUUCAAAAAACUUUCUUUAACGGUUACAUCACUUAACACCUCUUUUUUCCCCAACGGCUACAGUAACAACAUUUUAUUUUACCAUUUCAAAAAAAAAUCAUUCCUUUCACAAAAGUAAAUAACCUAACGGCUAGUUUUCCAACUUUCACCACUAUAAAAACCUCACAGGAACCUCCUCAAACCUCAACAAUCUCCAAAACCAAAACCAAAACACUAAAUCCAAAUCCAAAACAAGUCUCUCUGUUUCCAUCUUCAAUCUAUGGCUUCUUCUUCUUCGCUUCUUGUGGCUAUCUUCUCCUUCAUCUUCUUAUGUUCCCUCGUUGCUGCAAAUGAAGUCUCCGUCGGUGGGAAAUCCGGUGACUGGAAGAUCCCUCCUUCAUCUUCUUACUCAUUCAUCGAAUGGGCUCAAAAAGCUCGUUUCAAAGUCGGAGACUUUAUUGGUAUAAUUACUUAAAUGCUCUGUUUUUAUACUAGAUGCUCUGUUUUUAACCAAGAUGCUCUGUUUUUUAACGUAACCACUUGUUUUUUUUCUUCAGUUUUCCGGUACGAAUCUGGUAAAGACUCUGUUUUGGAAGUAACUAAAGAAGCGUAUGACAGCUGCAACACCACGAACCCUUUGGCUAAUUACACUGACGGAGAAACCAAGGUGAAAUUGGACAGAUCUGGUCCUUUCUACUUCAUUAGUGGAGCUAAUGGUCACUGUGAGAAAGGUCAAAAGCUGAGCCUUGUUGUGAUCAGUCCUCGUCACAGUGUUGUCUCUCCUGCUCCUUCUCCUGUUGAGUUUGAAGAUGGUCCAACUUUGGCUCCAGCUCCUACCAGUAGCUCAGCUAGACUUGGUGGUGGUUAUGUUGUGUUGGGUCUUGUUCUUGGUCUUUGGGCUUGGUUCUAAUUUGGAACCAUGUGGUUUGGGGUUUGCUUUUUAUAAGAUGAGCUUUUGGUUUCAAAAAGCUUUUUCUUUUCUUUUAGUUUCUUUGUUAUCAUUACAUGUUGUGUUAGCUUUAGCUAAGUGAUCUUUGUCAUUGGCUCAUCGUUACUAUUUUAUUUAUAAAUUCAAUUCAUUAUUAUUCGUCAAGAUUGUCAGAACAUUAUAUUAUAAAAAAAAAAAAAGAUUACCAGAAAAUUAUCUUUAUAAAAAUCUAUUAAAUAUAUUUGAUAAAUGAAACUAUAUAAAUUCCAUAAGAGAUUAAAAAUUUAUUAAUCAAUAUUAAAAUCAAUAUUCAAAAGUGUGUAAAAUUUUGUAUAGCAUUUUCUAAUUUUUUGUGAAUUGACAAAUCAUGUUUGUGAAGAAAACACUACAUUGUAAAUCUCAAUUUGUUUUUGUCUGUGGUACAUCAGAAGAAGUAAGUUCAUGUGAAUUGAAACUACGACUGCACCAAUCACAAGAAAGCUAUACAAAGUCGUUUUUUGAUUACAUGAACCGAUGAACCAAAGGUCUGUGUGACAUACCAGAAGCUGGAAAAUGUGAGUUAAGAACUGAAAUCCCAAGAAACGCCCAGCUUCUUGAAUCUAAGCCAACUCAAAAAGAUUUACAAAUCUUGAACCCAAAGUCAGUGAUAAAAGAGGCUUUUCACAAAUAUUCCUCUUGGCUCUUUAAAAACAUCUAGCUUGACGAGCUCGGCUCAUCCUGGCUUAGUUCUGGUUUGGGUUCUUCUGGUUCAGUCUCGGAUGGGUUUGGCUUCUUGAACUGAAUCAAGGUGAUGGUCAUAUUAUCACAACCUUCACCACUCGCAGUGUCUGGUGCCAAACAUCUAUCCACGACUUUUUCGCAUACCGUGGAAAGUUUCGUUUCCUGAAAGGUUUAACCAAUGUCACAGACCAAGACAGUAAUAGAGAGAGUAGGAGAAGGAAAGGGCAUAACUUACAGUUUUCAACUGUUCAUGAAUAAAGUCCACUAGGUCCUGGCUUGACAUACAAUCCCUGAGGAAGAUGAGAUGAAUUUAUAUUAUCAUCAAGCAACUAACUUACAUAUGUAGAAAAUGAAACAAUUAGUGACAUUUUUUUUUACCAUAUUCCAUCGCAUGCAACAACAAGAAAAUCAUCAUCAUCACAUAGGUCAAUCUGAUGAGAGAAUACUUAUGUCAGCUUAAAACAACAAAAUCGAGCGGAAAGUAUCAAAAUGUUAGAUACUUACAGUUUUGACAUCUGGAUCAGCAGUCACCAUUUGCUUAUCAGAUGAAAGAUACUUAUUCUGCUUGAAUUCCAUGUCACCUGUAAAGAAGAAGAAACGAUUCUUCGAUUAAGAUUACAUGUUAAAGCAGAAAUCUCUAGGUCAUGAAAAUGGUAGAGGAAGAAAAAGGCUUACCAAUGGCUCUUGUCAGAUUCAAGCUUCCAUUGAUUCGACCAGCGUGAAUGAAGCCACCAGCUUUUAAUAUCCUUUCUUUUUCAAUUUCAAGAUCAGGCUUGUGAUCUUUAGAAAGAUUGUAAGCCUGAGCCUUCCUUGAUAUCACACAACGUGAGUCACCAGCAUUUGCAACAAACAGCUUCUUAUCUUUAAUAAGAGCUACACAUGCUGUGCACCCGGAAUUUGGUCCGGUGAAAUCAGAAUGAGGACCCUGGAUAAGAACAAAGGCAUGGGUGCUCAGAGGUCCCAACUCAAAUCAUGUACAGAAUAUGGGAGAAGCCAAGUAAAGCAGGUUUAUAAAAAUAUUUACAUCCUCAAGAGGCCAACUAUCGGGUUGGUUAUUGGUGUCACCGCUUCUUGGUGACCAAAUAAAUCCUUCUAUCAUACCGCUAAAUUUAUUCAUCUUGUCACCGAGUACAGCUAACUCUCGCCAACCUCUUUGUCCUUGCAUCAUGUCAUCCAUUCUACAAUAUUCACAUUCACAAUGAACAAAUUUUAGUUGAACCCUCUUUUGCUGUCAAAGUAAAUUAAUAUAUAAAGACUGUCAAAGAGAAAAUAAAACCUAAAGAAUGCUCUUCGAAGAGAUGUCUCUACGUCUCCAGAUUUAUAUGCUUCAUUACUGAUAACCUGCUGGUGUAGAUACUUGGCACAGAACUUUGCAACGACUUUACCUACAACAUUUCAUAGAUAUUACUUUGAAUAUGAAACAUCGAAAAAUGUACCAGAAGUCUAUAUUAUACAGAUAUAAGCAGCAGUUCUAACUCUUGUCCUUAGUCAAAAAUCACAAGAAUCCUUUGCCUAAGUACUUUGAAAACCUUAUGUACUUCUCUUAUCUUUAAGAUCACCAGCUUCCAAGUUCUAGCUGAUUUGUAACACCAAUUUAAAAAGAAAACUUAAAUUAAAUUCACCUAAACUAGAUUAUGAUUUAGAAGUAUAGACAGUAUUUUCUUACCUCCAUGCCCAUCAUACACACCGAAGAACGAUGUCUUAUCAUCCAGAUCAAGAAUAGCAGCAUGCUAAUCAAAUGAAACCAGUUACAAUCAAGAGAGUCAGGUACACAAAUUCCAAGAUUUCAACUUUAUGAUGUUUCACAAGAUCAACAAGGAGAAAGCACUUAUGUUUUGACUCACCGCAUCUUCCAUGGUGGCACGCCAACCUUGCAUAGACGUUAAACCAUAUCUGAGCUUAUCAUUCUCACCAUCUUCUGAUAACUUAUCAGUCUUCGGAGAACUUAAGUAUGUACCCAUCUCUCUCUGCCAAAACAACAACAUCACUCUCGUCUCUACAACCCGAAACUCAGAAAAGAAAAGAAAAAAAGCUAACUUGAACAAUUAAGAAUCUUUACACAAUCUUCUAACUCAUUGACUUGUACAUGAUUCAGAGUUGACCUAAUCAACUCAGAGACCUACUCAGCAAUCAUAAUUCAAGAAAGAACCUAGCUUUAACCAAUAAGAAUCUUACACAAUCCAAUCUCUUCCUCAAUCAACUCAAAAACACACUACUCAGCAAUCAAAAUCAAGAAAAGGAGCUAUCUUUGAACCAAUCAGAAUCUUACACAACCCAUUACCUAAAACCACAAAAGAACUAAUCAACUCAGAACUACUCAACACAUCAAUACACAAAAAGGGUUUGAGAAUCCUUAGACCCAGAUGCGAAUAUUUGACUAUUUGGAUCCAACCCAAGAAGCUAAAGCAACUUACAUCUCCGAGUAGAAACGAACAAUAAAGGAAGAGCCUUUUGAGAUCUUCAAAACCAAGUUCUUGAGUUUAGGAGAAGAAAACUCGAUCGGGGACGAGAACCAAUUACUUGAGAUCAGAUGUACAAUUCAAUCCAUAAGGACAAAACAAAAAAAAGAUAAGCGAAAUAGGAAAAAAAAUUAAAGUUUGUUCUUUUUUUUUUCUUGAGUCCGAGAAAACAAUUAAAAAGGUCUCAACUUUUUCACACCUUUAACUAACUUAAAACUAAAAAAAAAACAUGAGAGAUGUGUUAUAAAAUCUUUACAGCUGUUUAAAGCUUUCUUUGCUUCAUCAUCACAGCUUCAAGAAUGUGAGUAUUAUCAUCUUAUUAAACAGCAAAAUUACAGAAUAUUUUUUUAACUAAUUAAGGAUUUGCUCCAUGUAAAUAUUAGUUUUUUCAUCUUAAUAACUUUUCAUAUGAACCUGUUUUGUCGUUGGCAAUGAAAGCUAUUUAAAUCCAACGUAUUUUUAUAAUGGAAUAUUUGUAAUAUUUUAUGUGAAUGAAAUUUUAUCUUAAGGAUAAAGAUUAUCGAAGAUGUAUUAUGCGUUUUCCGUAUAUUCUAAUGAUUAGGUUAAUUUCUACCCAAACAUAUAUAAUUUGGCAAAAUAAUAGAAUUCCAUUGAAAUUUAUUUCAAAAUAUUUAUUUAAUUAUACCUAUUUAUAUUUAUAUUUAUAUUUAUUUAUUACUUACAAGGAAUAGAAAUUUAGAUAUUAUAAAAUAAGGAAUUAUUCAAAAUAUUUAGUAAAUGGAAAAAAUCGUAUAUUAAGUUAGGAAAUUUUCAAAAGCACAACUUUUAUGAUACUACUUUCAAAAAUAUACUACUAUUUUUUCCCAUGUUCAAAAUCGUCACAAAUAAGGAUUAUAUAUAUAUAUAUAUAAUAUGCCAUAAAAAUAAUUAUUAGGUUUUGCAACGCAUAUAUUACUAUUAUGGAAAUAGUUUUGAGAUUUAAAAAAAAAACUUAAAAUAUAUAGCGUUAAUUACAUUUUACAAAUGAUAUAACAUAUAUAGUCUUAGGUUAACCAUAGCAUAUCAAUAUUAAUCGUUAUCUUUAGUGUUAUUAAUUCUUCAUAUUCUUAUAUUACAAUAGAAAUAUGACAAGAGAAAAAGCAGUCCAAACUUGUUCUCUUCUUAAUCCACAUCAAUCAUUUGUUAAUAUAAAAUUAUUUCUGUUCUUAAUAAUUUAAAAUUUUAAACCCUUUCAAUUUUUUUUCCUUUUACAGUGCAACCAAAAUCCAUAUCUAUCAAAUACGCCUUAAACACCUAACAUAGAAUCAUCUACUUGUCUUUUUGGUAUCACUUUUCAUUUUCACUUUUUGCAUUUUGUUGUAUAAUCUCAAUUCUAAUCAAUUCCAAAUAAAAUUCAAUUUCUUGCAUCUUUUCCUAAACCUGAUCGCGGGUAUAAUAAUGUAUAUCGAUAAUAUAAAUAUAGAACACUUCAAAUUUAGUAUUGAUAUAUCAAUUAAAAAAAAAGUUCUCAAAGAUGCUACCGAUGAUUAAGUUUAGUGUUAUGUCAUUUGGUUUGAUUAAAGUAUUCAACAAUAUUUUAUGAAUGUAAUCAACCGAAUAUGUUUGCAACAUAUCAACAAAAUUUUGUCAUUUUUCUUUAUAAAUGACAUCUUAAUUACUCGAACAGUAUCUUUAUCCAAAAAUGUGUUACUCGAACAGUAACAAACAUAAAAAUAAAAUAAAAAAUAACAUUCGAGAUUGAUAUUGUUUAAUUAGUCACUACUUAAACUAAAAACCAAAUUUGGCUGUCACAUCUCAUCUAAUUGUUUUCGUGGUCCAACAUUUCUAAUAUGAACAUAAUGGAUAGGCAUUGCCACGAGUUAGAUUAGAACUAUUCAUUUGAUUACGACGUAGUAGAAACCAUUGUCAGAUACUUAGGAUAAGGGUUAGGGAAAGGAACAAAAAUAAUAACUGAGGAUAAAAAUUAAAACAUAGUCCAAAAUAAAUUCAAUUUAUAUUUUGGGAUAUGAACAAAAAUAUCUUUAGAACACCAAAUAUGUGCCUCAAAUCGAGCCAAAGUGUUCGGGAAUGAUCGAGGACAUAUUUAUGGAUUUUGUACCACUCGAAUUAAGAUUCAUUCUUUUGUUUUGGCUUAACAAUUUCUUUUCUUUUUUGUGAAUUCAAAUUUUUGGUUCUAAUUUUAAAUAAAAAUUAGUAGUUCACAUUUCACAACAUCCAAAUAACAAAUUUCAUUGGUUUUUUUUCCAAAAUGUUUUAAGUGAGAUUGUUUAAACAAAUUAACUAUGAUUAUUUCAAUAAUUUUUAAACACAAAACAAAAUCUAAACAUUAAAUUAAAAAAUGUAUAAAAAAUUUCUUUCAAAAUUUAUAGGCAAAAUUGAGACAAUUUAACCAUUCAAAAUUUUGCAAAAUCCAAAAACCACACCAAAAAACUCAAAAACCAGUAACUAAAAAUCACUUAAAACUGCAAAACAUUCAUGACCUCUCUCCUUCUUUUUUUUUCAAUUGAAUUUUAAUUAAUAAAUUUUGUUUCGCAUCAAGUUUAUAAUACAAAAUCCCAAAAAAGAAACAUAAGCCGACGGACGACAUAAAUGCUCACAGAGUCACGGCUGGAGAAAAACAAGAUUUCUCCGAAAAACUAAACUCUAUAUAAAGGAAACUAAAAACACCGAAAAUACAAAGCAAAAUCUUUCAAACCAAAAACAGAAUAUCUCUCCUAAUUUACAUUUUUUAGACAAAUCAAUUUAAUUUUUUUUAUAAAUUAUAUUUUAAAACCUUGUUCCACGUUAGAAUACAUUAUAAAUCUUUCUUUAAAAGUUUACAGAAAAGCUUCACCCAUAAACAAAACUUUCAAAAAAAAAAAUUGUAGAAUCUCAUUGGAAACAAAAUUUAUGGUUUAAAACACAAGUAUCAAGAAAUUUAUAUUACUUUUCAUUUUUUUUGGCACAAAAUUAUUAUUUUAAUUUAUUUUAUUAUUAUUUUAAUAUUUUUGAUAAUGAUAUAAAAUGCUCUCGAGUCUCUGAGCAUAUCUCUAGAGGAGUAUAACAACAAUAACACUCGUCGGAAGCAAAACCUCAUCUGCGGUAACCAAAAUGGUUUCCAUGGCCACUUCUUCGUCUUCGUACACACCAUUCUCUACAGUCUUCAACAGUUCCAGACCCAAUUCAUCUUCAACCUUUCUCAUCCCUUCCAUGAAAUUCUCCACCGGAGUAUCCAAUUUCGCGAAUCUGAGUAAUGGGUUUUCUCUAAAAUCCCCAAUUAAUCCUGGGUUUGUCUUCAAGUCUCGUCCUUUCACUGUUCAAUCUAGAGCCGCUGCUGAGAAGACCGUUCAUGACUUCACCGUUAAGGUUUUGGCUCCUUCUUACUCAAUUAAGGGUUCUCUAAACUUUGUCUGCUCUUUAUUAAAUUGAGAAUCUUUAAAUUGUAAUGAAGCUGAAGUAUUGAAUUUUGAAGUGUGUGGUAAAAAUCUGAAAUUUGUGACAUAAUUGGCUUUUUUUUGGGUGAGCAGGACAUUGAUGGGAAAGAUGUUGCUUUGAACAAAUUUAAAGGAAAAGUUAUGUUAAUAGUCAAUGUUGCUUCAAGAUGGUAAGCUUCUUCUUUUAUCCCUUUGAAUUCAGCUUUUUCGAUGAUUGUUCAUGUAGAGGGUUUUGUUAUCUUAAAGGUUGUGUUUUUAUGAACACACAGUGGUCUGACAUCAUCAAAUUACUCAGAGCUUUCACAUCUCUACGAGAAGUACAAGAGUCAAGGUGAUUACUAAUAAGCUAUCUCUCACAUUGAUCUGUUUUGUUUGUUAUUGAUUUGUGCGACUCGAUGGUCUCUUUUUUUUAAUGGGAAAUGUUGUUCUUGGAGUUGAUUUUGAUGUUUGCAUCAACCCUUUCUGAUGAUUCUUACAUGUUCAUUAUCAUUUUGAAUCAUUGAUGGUUACCUUGUUUAUAUAAAUCUCGUUUUAUUGUGUCGAUUUUCAUAUUGUAUCAUCCCGUUUUGAUGAUUCUCUACAUGUCCAGUGCAUUCUUGACCAUGUUGGUGGUUAGUUGCUUACUGAAAAUUCCUCGCUUUUUUUAUUCAGUGGAUCGUUCAUAGAUGUUUAUAUCAUUCUUGGUGUCAAUAUGGUUCAGCCUUACUGUUGCUAUUUCGAGGGAUGUGUUACUAGUUAUACGCAUUUUAUGGAGAUGAAUUGUUCUGGAAUUUUUUUGAAGUGCAAGCAAAUUCAAUCUGUGUUGAAUUGAUGAUUAUCUUAACUCAUCGGUUCUUAGUAGUUAACUCGAACUUUUACAGAUUGCAGAUCUUUUCUUUAAUAAAUUAGGCGGAAAUAGCCAAUUUUACGUCUUAUUUUCUCAAUCAAUUUGUGGUAGUUAACACAUAGCAAACGUUUUCUGUUCUUCUUCUUACAGGAUUUGAGAUUCUAGCUUUUCCCUGCAAUCAGUUUGGAGGCCAAGAGCCUGGGUCAAACCCCGAGAUCAAACAAUUUGCUUGCACUCGGUUUAAAGCAGAGUUCCCUAUAUUUGAUAAGGUACAAGUAAUCUAAAGCAUACACUCUUCUUUUCUUGUUGCAGAUUACACUAACAUUUGAACUCGACAGGUUGACGUGAAUGGUCCAAGCACAGCGCCGAUUUACGACUUCUUGAAAUCAAACGCAGGAGGAUUCUUAGGUGGUCUCAUUAAAUGGAACUUUGAGAAGUUCUUGAUUGAUAAAAAGGGAAAGGUCGUUGAGAGGUAUCCUCCCACCACAUCCCCUUUCCAAAUCGAGGUACGGUUAAGGGACAUAUUACUUCCUAUUCGGUAUUCAUAGCGGUGGUUUGUAAGUAACCAAACAAUUUUGUUUCGGCUGUUUUGCAGAAGGACAUCCAGAAGUUGCUUGCCGCUUAAGCACUUUUGCAAGUGAGAUUAUGAACAAAAGUGAGAUUAUGAGAGAGCAUAUAGAGGAGUAAUAUGCUAUGUAAUAUUAUAAUCGAAAAUAAACUCAAGCCUACAUAUAUAACUCUGUUUAAUUGUAAAAUCUAAACCUAGACUAAUAUUUAAUCAUGUUUAGAUUAUAUACUUUGCCAUGAACGGUGACAAAAUUUCUUUAGACUGCAAUGUUCUUAAUGGGCUUCUUCCGCCUGCCACAACCCUUUGUGAGAAAGACUGGUUUGGCUCUCUCUUUACAAUAUUGGAAAUCUAAAUAUUCUCUUUCUUUUUUUUCUCACGUUUAUGUCUCUCCUCUUUCUUUCAUUCUCUCUUCUUUUUCUUCUCAAAAAAAAAAAAAAAGAAGCUCUCCAAACUUUUCAGAUUUGAAAUACAGUAAAAUCUCUAUAAAUUAAUAAUGUUGGGACCAUGAAAAUCUAUUAAUUUAUAGAGGUAUUAAUUUAUCGAUAAAUUAAUAAUUAUUAAUUUAUAAAGAGAUAUUCCUAAUUUGGAAAAUAUUUAAGACAAUAUUUAAAAAUAAGAUUUAAUCAUGAUAAUUAGUAUUUUAUAUAAUCAAUUAAAAAUAAAAUAAUAAUUAUUAUGUAUUAAAAGAUAAUGCUAACUAUUUUUCAUAUAGUAAAAUAUUAUAAAUAAAAUAUAACAAAAACUAAUGUGUCUAUAUAUACAUAUAUUUUGAAAAUUUUACCUAAUUAUUAAUUUAUAAUAUUGAUGGGACCAUAUAUCUACAAAGGAUUUUCAAAAAAAUUAUUAUCUUAUUAUUUUAUCGAAAUAUGUCUAAAAUUACACUGGUCCCAAGUUGGGACCUGGGAAAUUUAUUAAUUUAUAGAGAUUAUUAAUUUAUCGAGUAUUAAUUUAUAGAGGUUUUACUGUACAUUAUAAAUAAUUUUGAAACUUCGAGAUUCUUUGUCCAUUUUUUAUGCAUCUCUUAUACACCACCAGAACUGCUUCUCUAAAAGUUGUGUGCUGCAUUUUCGAUAGACCAUAUCUAGUGGACAGAUCUGGCUUUUGUUUUGUCAACUUUUAGUUAAAGAUUCUUUGAAGUAUCUUUGGAUUUUGAAUGAAAAUUCUUAAUGUGAAUCUAUAAACGCAUGAAUCACACUGAAAGUGAAUUCGUCAAAGAAUACAAACACAAGUACACACAGUCACACACUUCUGAUGAACCAUAUCUGGUGAAUUAGAUCCGGUAGACCAGUUCUAGUGGACCAGUUCUAAAGGACUAAACUUGUCCAUUUUUACUAAAUAAUAAUGUCCAUCAUGCAGAUUUACUGAAGCCAUAAGUGAUCAACUAGAUGUGAAACAAGUGAUGCGUCUAUGGAAGAUGUCAUCCAUGAUCUAGCCAAGUUUCCACUAUGGAGCACAUAUGUUUCAAUAUAUGGACUAGAUUCGGUGAACAAUUUUGAUGGACCAUAUCUGGUGGACCAAAUCUCUCAUUUUUACUAUGGUUUCGUCCAUCGUUUUUCUUGAACCCAGCGCCAGCACUAAAACCUCUCCAUCUGACAGUGGAUAAUUGCAUCAUUUCACCCAUGUCUUUUUACUGUAUAUGGUACUGCAUAAAAUACCUAAGUGAAAACGACACUUCCAGUUUUUUUAGUUAAAAUAGUGUCAUAACAUAUAAUAAUUCAUUUAGUUAAUACUUAAUAGUAUACAAUUUUUUUUUCAUAAUCUAUUUUGUUUUGAAUUAUUUUUAAAACAGUAUGACGUGACAUAUUAUCCUAGUGAUGAACCUAAAUAUUUUUCUAUAUAUAUUAUUCAAUAAAGAACCAAAAAGUGAAAAAAAUAUUUAUUGUUAACUAUAAAAGUUUAUAUAUAUGAAAUUUCACAAUAAGACAGACUCGAUCUCACACAUCCAAAGCCAAAAAAAUCAAAAUAUUACAGUUUUACUGUCGACCUCAAAACAUACUGGUUCAUUAUGCGAUAUCAAAAAUCAUUCGCAAUGUAACUCUCAAUUUAACAAUAGAGCUUUUCAUUAUUUGUAAAAAAUCUUUAGUAUUUCAUUUGAUCCACCAUGAGUAGUAAAAUUCUUUAGUAUUUCAUUAUUUGUAAAAAUGAGAAUCUCUAACAAAAGGUUGAGUUAAUUGCUUUAGUAUUUCAUUUGAUCAUAAGUGUGAUUUGAACAUAAUUAUGAGAUGCAUUGUAAGGACCAGAAAAAAGUAAAAAAUAAUUAUCCACCGUGAGUAGUAAAAGAUUUUCAAAACGAAUUUUGCAUUUUUAGUAUAACAGUACUGUAAUAUGAAAAAUUAACUAAAAGUAAAGUUUUUAGUUAAACCAUGAUAGGAAACAACGAGGAAAACUUAUGUGGUCUAGUAAAAUUUUAUAUUUGAUUUAUUUCUAACUCUUUUAUAGGAAUACUUGUGGACAACAUAUUUUUCUAUUUAUAGAGAUAUAUAAUCUUUAAAUACAACAAGUAGAUGACUAUUCAUAAGCAUUCCAUCCAAAAAAAAAAAAAAAAUCAGAAACUAAAAGCAAAAAUGGGUAAAAGGGUAAACAUUGCUGGUUUCAUCACUUGCAUGAUGAUUUUCUUAUUAUUAACAGGUUAUAUACAUUAUGAAACAUGAAUCUCUUUGAAAUCUUUUUUUUUCUUAAUUGUGUUUGAAUUACAAGCAUAUAUUUAUUUAAUUAUUUUUAUUUGAAUCAUAUCUUUAAGCAUAGUUAAAAAAAAAAGUCAUUAGCUUAUGUAAAAACUAAAAGAAAAAUAAAAAAUUUCUUUUAGUUCGGGUUUUUUGUUACGCAUUGUCUCUUCAAAAAUUAUAUUAUAUAUUUUUUUUCAAAUGGUUUAAUUUUGUUGAAGAAAUUGAAAACGCAAUAAUGUGAUGGGAUUUCAAGGGCUGAUGAGAAAAUUUUCCACUAAAACUAUCACAUCAAGCCAAAAAGAAAAAAAACCGGAUCAUAGUUUUCUUAUGAAAAUAGCUCAUAACCCCGAUGACCACCGUAUAAUCGUUUAUAAAAGAUUGAAGGGUGAGAGUGUGUACUAAAUAAAUGGUAAAUAUAUUAAUGUUGAUCUUGAGUGAAUAAUCUUUAUAUUUACCAUGUUGUGUUGGAAAAAAUUAUAUGAUUUGGUUAGUAAUCUAGAAAGUAUUUUACAUUAGUCCUCAUUAUCACAAAAAGUAAGAAAAAACCAAAUUUAUGAGGUAUGAAAAUUCUCACAUGUUUGUUUGUUUUAGAAAUAAUAUUUAUAUACGGGUUGUAUGACGGAAUGUGUGAGGAGUUGUAUGACUGACGAAUUUGAAUCUUAUACUUCAAAACAGAUUAAAACUUCGUGAUUAUUAUUUUUUAACAAUAACAAUAUAAAACAUGUAAGAAUUUUCUUUUGUCCUUAAUAAUAUCUAUAGUUGAAACAAAAUAUCAUUUUUUUUAAGUAAAGAAAUUUUCAAGUCUUCUUAACUCUCACAUAUUCAUUAUUAUUUUAGCAGAAAUAUCACAAGGAAAUAUCUCGGCUAAUUCGAAGCCUGAACCAAAAAAAUGUACGAAGCAUCAAGCUUAUUUCGCACGUGAUACUUGUAAAAAAGGUAAAGGUGCCGCCGGUCCUGCAGCAUGCAAAGAAUCUUGCACAGCUCGACCAGCUUUUAAAGACGGUAUAUGUGAAUUAUAUAAUGGCGCUAAUGGCAAAGUAUAUAUUGGUUGCUUUUGUGUAUAUUGUCCAUGAGCAAUUACAGCAAUUUGUCGUCUACGUAUUAAAGAUGUUAACUAUAAACAUGGACAAUAAGGGGAUUUUUGAAGUCGUCAAUUUAUAAGCAUGAAAAAUGAAGUUUUGUCAUUCGUAAAUUUAAUAUAGUUGAAAGGAAUUAUCGAUAAAAUCGUCUAUAAAUAUAAGCUUACACGUAUUUUUUUUGAUAAAUUUCAAAUUUAAUAGUGACUUUUUAAUAAAAUUAGAAAGAGUAUAUUUUUAAAAAAUGGUAUUAGAAAAAGGGUAUUUUUGAAAUUCCCCCAUAAUUAAUAUAGUAGAUGAUUAAAAAAAGAUAAAGAUAAAUUUUCUAAACUAUAAUGUUUAAAAUAACUAAAGUUUUAAAUCGAAAUAAAAUACACCUUAGAUCGGAUACUUACAUUUUCAGAUAAGUACACUUUGCUGACAAAGGUGACCAAAUAAAUUUAUUUAAACCUAUCUGCAAACCAGAGUCUCACAAACAUUUACAUCACCUAUGUUGCAUGGAAAUGGAAACAGAUACACGGGAGCAAAACGUUUUGGAAACGGGAAAAACUUUCUUUACGAAAAACGGAUAUGAACACGUUUUUUUGAAACACGUUUUGAAACAUAUAUAUAUAUAUAUCACAUUUUUAAUAUAAAAUUAUAUACAAAAAUCAAAAUUGUACUACAGAAGAAUGUUUGAAACAUCAUGUAAAUCUAAAAGAUAAAUAUUAAAUAUUUUACCCAAAAGAUUAAGACUAAAAUACUCAAACUCAUAAAUUUAGAUUUGUAUAAUAUGUAUAUUUUAAAUGAAGUUAAUUAGGUUCUUAAGGUACAAAAGGAAGCACUAUAUAUCAAAAUAAAAUUAUUUAAUAUUCAUUUGUUAAGUUUUAAAAUUUGAAAUUUGAAAUUUUAUCGCGUUUCUUAAACUAAAGUGUGAGGUUUUAUAGUGUUUCGAAAAUAAAAGUAUUUAAGAAUCACGUUUUCUUAAUAUUUUUCAUGUUUUCUAUAAUUUCUAUAUUGAAGAUGUUAUAAAAACGAGAAACGAAUAUCAAAAAGAGUUUCCAUACAACCUAAAACUAAGAGAAAUUUGAAGAACAAUUAACUAAAGUUAACAUGUAGGAAACAGCGGACAGAAAUUUACGUGGUCUAGUAAUACUUUUAAAUUUAUUUCUAACUAUUUUAAAGGAAUAGUUAUGGACUACUUCUUUUCCUAUUUAUAGAAAAAUUAAUAUUUAAAUACAACAAGUAGAGAUGAUUGAAUCAUAAGCAUUCCAUUAAAAAAAAAAACAAAUCUUAAAAUUAAAAAUGAGAAAAAGUGUAGAUAUCUUUUGUUUCAUCACAUGUAUCAUGAUUUUCUUGUUGUUAACAGGUUAUAAACAUUAUGAUACAUUUCAAGUUUUUUUUUUUUUUUUUUUUGUGUUUCAGUUACCGGCUAUUGUUUAUUAUUCUUUCUUUUCUAAAUCACAUAGGAAAAAAACCUUUCUAGUUUUGGAACUUAUAUUUGCAAGUGUUUAUCACAAAAAUUAUUAGUAAAAUUAUCAUGAUCCCAUUACAUUUAAUUAAAUACCAUUAUUCUCAUUAGAUUCAGGAUGAACCACAAUUAUGAGGCAAGAAAAUUAUGACAUGUUAGAUCUAAUUGACCUUUCAUAUAAUAUACAGUAGUGUACUUUAUUUUUUACCUUAGUAAAAACAAAUAUAUCAUUUACUAAUUAUUAUGGGAUUUUGAAUGUUUCUUACAUAUUGACAUGUUUAUAAAUUUUAUUAGGAGUAUCAAAAGGACAGGCUCCGGUGAAGCCGAAGCCUGUACCUGCACCGAGCCAAUGUCGCAGUUCUACUAAGCAACGAGCAUCUUUCGCAUCUGGACUUUGUAAUAAACCUAAAAAUGGUUUAAGAGAAUGCAAGAAAUCUUGCAAGGCUCAUCAUUAUACUGAUGGCGUCUGUGAAUUGUAUAAUGACAUCUAUGGGGUUUAUAUUGGUUGUUCUUGUAUACAAUGCGGAUGAGGGGAUCAUACCAUGAAACACAUUACGGUUAACUCAUCGCCUCCAAUUAAUGUUUAAAAUAUAUGUAUGUUUCAAAAGAUCAAAUUAGUGUAUUUGUAAUUUUAAAAUUUUGAUAUAAUAUUUUUAGAAAUUAUUUAUACAUGUUCCAAAUUAAAAUAUGGGGGAAUUUCAAAUAUACCAUUUUUCAUAUACCUCUUUUUAAAAAUACCCCAUUUUCAAACUUUAUCAAAAAACCCACUAAAAAUGUUGAAAUUUAUCCAAAUAUGUGUAUAAGCUUAUAAAUAUAUACACAAAUUACCUUUAUAUGAGUAUAAAACUUUAUAUACCUUUCAUAAAUAGUGUAAAAAUAAAUUAUAAAAACCUUAUAAAAACCGUAUAAAUCCUUUUAAAAACCUUUUAAAAACCUUAUAAAACUUAUAAAACGAUUUAAAACUAUUUAAAACAUUUUAAAAUAUUUGUAUCGAAUCUCCCAGUAGUAGUUAUUAUAUAGAAGUACCUUAUAAACUAUAUAAAACUUUAUAAUAUUUUAUAUUUAAAAAGGGGUAUUUUUGAAAAUUGAUAGAUAAAGGGGGUAUUUUUAAAAAGGGUACACCAAAAGGGGUAUUUCUCAAAAAUUCUCUUAAAAUAUUUUAAAAGUUUAUUGCAGCAUAUAAAACUAUACAAUUUAUUUAAAUUCUGACCGUUACUUUUUCAAAACUUUUGUUGGAUAUAUUUUUGUAUAAAAUAAUAUAUUACUCAAGUUUGAAUUUUUGACCCGUUAUAUUUUAUUUAUAAGUUGAAUAUUUUAUAUUCGUUCUUAAAAAUUCAAAUCAUGGCAUAUGCGGGGAAACAUUUAAAUUUUUAUUAUUAUAUGAAUGAUAUAAUGAGUUAUUUGAUAUAAUGAUAUAAGAAUAUAUUUUUUUUUGCUUAGUAAGAUUGUAACUGAAACAAAAAUACCAUUUUUCUAAUUAAAGUGAUUCUGAAGGCUUCUUAAUUCUCACAUAUUUUAUUACUGUUUUAGCAGGAAUAUAACAAGGACAAAUUUUGAAGCGUGGACCAAAAAAAUGUAUGAAGGAUCGAGCAUGCAAAGAAUUUUGCGCAGCUGAACGGAAUGCGAAAGAUGGCGUUAAUGGCAAAGUAUAUAUUGAGUCAUUAGUCGAGAUUAAAGAUGUUAACUAUGAAGAUGGAAAAUGAGUGAAUUAUCGAAGGUGUCAAUCAUCAGCAUAGAAAAUGAAUUGUUGUCACUUGUGAAUUUAAUAUGGUUGAAAGGAAUUGUUUAUGAUAAAAUCGUCUAUGUAACUUUUAAUAUAUUGAUAUAUUAUAAAAAAAAAAAUUCCUAAACUAUAACUUUUAAAUUGCUCUCGAUUUUUAUGAUUUUCAUAAUCUUAAUCAAUUAUCUCGAUCCUUUAUGUUAUGGGUGAUUUAUGGUUCUCCAUAUGCUACUAAAUAAUAUAUUAUUGAAUAAACUAUAUAUAAAAUAAAGAACCAAAAAUAUAAAAAUUAUUAUAUAUAUAUAUUAGAAAAUUAUUAUAUUGUUAAUUGGGAAAAAUGUCAUUUAAUUCUUAAACUUUCAAAUUUAGGCUAUUUAAAUUAUCAACUUUCAAUGUGGCCAUUCAAAACAUGACAUUUUUGUUGACAUACUUUUUAAAACUUCAUUUUUUGUUGACUAAGCCAAAAUGAACAUCAUAUUCUCAACUCCGUUAAUAGAGCACUAGCCAUCGUUAAUCCAUUUUUUUAAGUUUAUGUUUUAAAUGGCCACAAAAAGUUCAUGAUUUAAAUGGUAUAAAUUUGAAAGUUCGAUAAUUAAAUGACAUUUUUGUUAAUUAUAAAAGUUCUUAUGUAUAUACGCAAUUUCACAAUAAGACUAUCUCGAUCACGCACAUCAAAAGCCAAAAAAAAAAUCAAAAUAUUACGACAGCUCAUGUAGAAGAAUUAAUAAUUCAGUUAACAUUAUCAUUAGUGGUAGCAUUAGCAUCGUCUUCUUCUUCUUCAUCAUCACCUUGCCAAGACCAUACAAUAUCUUUAAGAGCUGGCCUGACAUCAUCCUCACAGAAGAGGUAAUACUCCAAAGUGUCCCCUGAGGAUUUGCAAAAUUCGACAACAGAGACUUCAGGAGCAACUUCGAAAACUUCAGCCGUCACGGAGAGCCUCCCUUUGCGUCCUUCAGUUCUCCUUUGUAACUUCAUCUUACAGUCUUUAACAUGUUUCACUCUCAUGUUCAUCUCACGAGCCGCCUUCUCCAGCCUCUCCUUCACAGAUAUCGCGGGGAACUUCGAUGUGAACAUCCGCUUUGGCUUUCGUUUUAUCUCGAAUAAGUUGGAGAGGUCGAACCCUGAAGACAUUGAUGUAAUGAAUUGGAAAGCGUUGAAAGAUCUUGGAGAGACUAUGUAGUCGUCUUCUUUAUUAUCUUUGUACUUGUCUUUCUUGUUUUUCUUUGAUGGUGGCUCUGGUGGAGAUGGGAUUGUUUCGUCGAUUGAAAAGGCUACUGGUGGUGUAAAGUUCUUGCGGAACCAUGGAAUCAUUUUGAUCUCUGACAUUGUAAUGCGUUGUUCGGGAUCAGGAACAAGCAAUCUUGAGAUUAGUUCUUUUGAUUGUGACGAGAACCAAGGUGGGAACUCGCAUUCGGCUUUGAAGAUCUUCCUGUUUAUUAUAGAUUGUGCAAAAACGUUAAAAAAUUAGCAUAUCAUAUUUUAUUUAAUUAAUCUAUAUAAUUAUUUUUGACAUAUAUUUUAAAGAGUAGCUUUUGUUUUGUAAAUAGUUACAGUACUUGAAAUAUUACUUAUUUAGUAAAAAAAAACUCAUCAUACCGGUUUUCAGAGUAUGUGUAAUCGGUUUUCAUCCAUCAAGCGUUUAGGUGAUAGGCGCUAUGAUACCGGUUUACAGAGUUGGUUUGCUUCAAGAAACUAGAUAUUUAAAUCUUUAGUUUUUCUUUUUAGUUUCAAUGUUUUAAAUCGAUAGUGGCACUUGUUGUAAAAAUGUUUCUCUUUUUUGAAUAUAAUGUAACAUUAUUUCACCAAAAAAAACUUAUCAUACAUAAGGAUAAAUAUAUAAUAGGAAAAUAUUUGUAUAUCUAUAUACAAUAUUGUGUAUAAAAACAUUUUCCGCGAUCUUAUAUAUAAACCAUGGUUAAUAUAUGUAAAUUAUUUUCCCUAAUUGAAAUCAUUUUUCAAAUACUAUCUCCUUUUUUUUUUGUAAACUUUUAAAUAGUAUAUUUCUCAGACCAAAUUGUUACUAAUUGUGAUAAUUUAAAGAACUUCGAAAAAGUUUCGAUUACUCAACCAAGUGAUUCGAAUACUGUAUUUGUGUGCAAACUUGUAAAUAGUAUAUCUCAUACCAAAUCUCUUUGUAUCUAUUGAAAUUAAGUUAACUUGUCGCAUUCAAAUAAUUUUAUCUAACCAAAAUAAUAACUAUUAUUUUAUAUUGAGAAGAAUCGAGAAAUCCAACUCACAAUGGACAGCUUUGGUUUUUAGUUAUAAUUUUCCCUUUUUAAAUGAAUAAAAAUUUUAAAACCAAAAAGAAAAUGAAUAAAAAAAAAUAGACGGUUUGAAUUGGUUAAACCAAAACCCGGUCAAGACAAAUACUUACGUGUACAAUGUCAUGACGUUUUCGUCAAUAAACGGCAAGAAGCCAGCAAGGAGUGCAUACAAAACAAUCCCGCACGACCAAAUAUCCGCCGUAGCUCCGUCGUAUCCUUUAUUCCGUAAAACCUCCGGCGCCACGUAAGCCGGCGUCCCGCACCGCGUAUGCAAAAGAUCGUCGCUGCUGCCACGCCGUCCACCUAGCCCUUCGGGCAUCAUCAAAGCCGAAAGUCCGAAAUCCGAAACCUUGAGAUCACCUUCUCCGUCAAGCAAGAGGUUCUCGGGUUUGAUAUCGCGGUGGAAAACACCGCGGCUGUGGCAAAAAUCCACCGCGGAUAUAAGUUGUUGGAAAUAUUUUCUUGCUAGAUCCUCCGGGAGCUUCCCGUCUCUAUCGAUCAUCUCGAAAAGCUCACCUCCGUUGACGUACUCCAUGACGAAGAAGAUCUUUUUCUUUGUAGCCAUCACUUCGCGGAGCUCGACGACGUUUGGAUGACGGAGGAGACGCAUGACGGAGAUCUCACGUUCGAUUUGCUCCAUCAUGCCACGACGUUUGAAUGCAUGAUCUUUUUUGAUGAUUUUGAUUGCCACGUCAUCGCCGGUGGAGGUCUCGGUUCCGUGAUAGACUUUGGCGAAGUUACCGGUGCCGAGAAGUCUUCCGAUCACGUAUUUGUCGAACAAGACAGUACGGUUUGAUUCUUCCAUUGUCUUUUUGAACUUUUUGUCUUUACUAGUUUACAAGUAUAUGUGAGGAGAAUAAGUAUGUGAAAGAAUUGUGAUUGGUUAUAUUUAUAAUGUUAUCUACUUUGUUUGAUAUGCGAUGACUAAGUGAACUGUGAAGAAAUGUUUUGUCCUUAUCUAAACGAAGUGACAAUGUGCAUAAGAUCUGGCAACACAAAUAAAAUAUGACCAAAUCAAAAAGAGUUGAGAUGAAAUUAAAUUCGACACUUGAGUUUAACUGGCUAGUGCUUAUAAUAUAUGAAAAAGGUUCAAGAAUAUGAUAAAAAUAUAUAUUAACAUAUGCUUUGAAAAGAAAUACAAGAGAGUGAACGAAACAUGCAAAGAUAAGUAAGAGAAAGAAAUCAACAAAAGAAGAGUUUAGUAAAUGAUAUACCAAAAUUUUAAAUUAAAUGCCUCUUUUCAUACUAAAUGAAAAUUCAAGCUCGUAAAAUCUGUUUAUAACACUCUAAAAAAGGUUAAUAUGACAACUCUAUUUUCUAAAAAUGUUUAAAAAGUCCUUUUUAUUUAGUUAAAAUUACUGUUGUAAAAUAUGUUGUACAGUAGACGUACAGUAAAGCACUUAUAGAAUAUAUACAUGAUCGUUUAUGUGGAGACUAUACGGAGGAUAUUGUUUUAUAAAAUUAUUUGAAGAUUAUAAUAAAAAUAAAACAUGAUGAAUACUACAUGAAUAUCAAAAUAUUUUAAGAAAUUCACUUACAUAAAUAUUUUAAAAUUUUAAAUAAUUAUCAAGCAUAAAAAUUAUUAGAAAAGAAUAUAAAAUUGUUGUAAGUCAAUAUUUUAACAAAACUAAGAUUUUGUUAAAAAAAUUGAGGCUAUGCGAUGGAAAAAGCAAAGAGCGUUAUGACAUAGUUUUCGUCGGCUUACACAUCUUGUAAACAUUUUUGAGAGAUCUGAGUAAAAACUAAUAGAAUAACUAUUGUCUAAGCGACCGGAGAAGAAUUGAUUUUGUGAGAUCUAAACUAUUUGUAGCCACGAAAGAGUUCGGAUUAAUUAUGUUUUUUUUGGAAAUUGUAAGGUUUAAUAUUUGGCUAUCUUAUUCUUCAAUAUAAUUGGAGAUGUGCAUAUCAUAUCAUCUCCUAUUUCAAAAAAUGCAGAUUAAUUUUUUGAAAAAAAAAAUAAUACCCAAUAUAAUUUUUAUAUAUAUCUUCUAAACAUUUUUACGGUCACAUAUAUUAUGUUUUUAAAAUUUUAAUUGUGGAUUUAGACUCCUUUGGAGUUUUGAUUUGAUAUCAUAUUUAUCAACAUUUUACAAAUUUGACAGUAAUAGCAUCAUAUUAUAUUACAUAUAGUUUUUUAUUUCGUAUGAUUGACCUGCUUUUUUUAGAGUUGGAAGACAAAGUUACAAAAAAAUGACGAUUUAAAAAGAUUUGUCUGCGCAAAACUCUAUUAUAAAAUAAAAAUUAGUAAGAUUUUAGCAUUAUGAAUUAUGAUAGUAACAAAAAAUAUUAAAAAAAAAACUAGAAUAAAUAAACAGAGUUAGAUCCCAUUAUUAUUUUGUGGACAACGUUGAAUCGACGUGGAAUGACACCGUUAAUGGUACGCAUGUUUUGAAGUGGAUACGCAUUAAUUCUAAAAUAGUAACUUGUCCCUAUAAAAUUUCAAUGAACUGUCUUUUUUUGGUAAGGCAAAUAUGUGACCUUUUCUACUUGACCCUUUUUUUCUUAAUAAUGUUUUUGACUUUUCUUAGAAGAUAUAUAAAUUUUUCUUCAUUUCUUGAUAUUUCGAAAUGCUUUCGACUAUUUUCCUACUUUGGACUAGUUCUGUCUUCGGCCACUAUCAAUAUAAUGUUUUUAUAUCGGAUCGGAGCAGAUUCUUGAUCCCGGAUAAUAUGUUCUAUACCUACUUUGGACGAAUGUAUUAUAUCAAAAUGCAAUAAUCUCUAAUAGUAAUAGUGUGAUGAAUGAUACAUCAUGAAUCAAGCUCAUCAAGCUACCAAAUCUUCCUUUUUGCAUCUUGAGUCGAUGGAUUCUUUUGUCUCGAAUGGUUGGUUGGUACGUUCUGGACUAAAGUCAAAUCAGCCCGCUAUUUUUUCACCAUUUACUCAAAUUGAGGGAAAAUUUCAAAUUAGGUCUCAGAAACCGAGGAACUAAUUUGAGAUUUUCCCCCCAAUUUGAAACGACGUCGUGUUGAGCCUUCGAAACCGAAUGAAAUACCACAUCGGAUCUUAUGUGGAAAGUGAUUAGGCUUUACUUAACGGUUGACUAACACUGUUUGAGUCAAUGUAGAAUAAUGCUAACGAUUCAAAGAAUAAGUAGUUAAUUUAAAUUAUUUGAGGGUUUAUGUUGAAAAACACACGAUUCGUUUGUUUGGAUAGGAUUUUACACUUUUGAAAUAGUACGGGUCGAAAUAUACCCUUUUCCCAUCGUCUGAUACCGUCCGAACCAACUUCAAACCGAUCAAAUACAUGUUAGUACGCAUUACGCAGUGAACAAUACUUACAUACCAAAGUAUCGCUAUCUAUCCGCAUUUUUUCAGUCUGCGUAAAAAAGGAAGCAUACUCCAGCGUUUAGCAUACCAAAAUAUUAGUAUGCAUUGUCUUACACCAAUUUGUCUAGUAUACAAAUGUAUAUUAACCAACCAUUCAAAGCCUUUGUAAUUUCAUUGCCAAAUACUAGGUAACUUGUGGUAACAAGAUUAUACCCAAAAAAAAAAAAAAGAAGAAGAAAAAAUAUGUUCUUACUCCACCGGUCACACAUGAGGUUAUGUUAAUGUUAACAAGAACCUAUCAUUCGUUUCCAAUGAUGUAACUAAUUACAUAUACGCAUGGAGUUUAUAUACGGCUAAGAUAUAUACAUAUAUAUACAAGUAAUCAUUUAAACGAACAUAUGUAACAAGGCCAUGAAAACACUGUAAUGUGUGUAAUGAUUUGGACCUACGUAUCAUGUCAACAUUUUUCUUCACGCAAGUUAGUAAGAUCACAAACAUAUUGAAACGUUUUGUUGCUGAGAUACAUAUCGAACAAAAGCUUUGUUCAGAAAUAUUAAUAUUGACUUCAGUUAAUUAAAGCUAUAGAGAUAUUGUAGUAGAGAACUAAAAAUGCAAUCAUCAUCACAACUGCAAACAGAUAUAUACACAAAAUCUUUAUUCCUGUAACAUAUUACAAACACAUUUUUGACCACAUAAUCAUCGUGAUUUUGGUCCAACGACUCAUUUAACACAAGCAAAAAAAAUUGAAAGGUGUAACAGUAGGAAAACAAAAUUAAUUGUAGUGUUGAUAUUUUCUCGACAAACACCAUAAAAAUUCAACACCAUUAACAGUAGAAAAAAGCGGAAAGACAUGACACAUCAACAUGUGGCACCAACACAACACAACAUAACUCAACUCAUACAUUAUAGGUUUGUAUUAGUUUCAUACCAAAUGUGUGCUAGCUUUGACAAGCAGUUGCAAAGUAACAUGUCCUCAAAAUUACUCUAACAAAACAAAUCAAACCCUUUAAAAAUAAUAUUCAUGUACAACAAAUGUAACAAAAAUAUAAAAACUUUCUCAAAUUAAUCUAACAAAACAAAACAAAACAAACCCUUUAAAAGAAUAAUCAUUUACAACAAAUGUAACUAAUUGUAUGCUAUAAAUUGCUAACUAAUUUUUGGGAUUAUAUAAUAAGCUAAUUAUGUACUUAGCUCAUGGAAUAAAAAUGUACGAGCUUAAACCAUUUAAAUAAUUAACAAGAAAAGCAACGAAGACUCAUUCUUUAUAAUGCAAAUAUCAUGACCAAGUACUCUUGCAACACGCAAAAUUAGAUGAUAUGAUGAUCACAUGAAUCAAAUGACAUAUAAUAUAUAGAUUUUAUCUGACUAUGUACACAUAUGUAUAUUAUACAAUAAGGAACUAGGGAUUAAAACGCCUCGAGAGAGACAGAGAGAUGAAAAAAAAGAAACGAUAUAAUUAUAUAUAAACAUGAAUCGAGAAAAAUUUAAGGACCAGUCUAUUAAAGAAAACUAGGUUAACCAUGCUAAUCUAAACUUAACCACGCGUUAACUCAUAGAUCAAGCUUUUUCGAUACUUACCCAUUUCUUAAAAUAUAAUGAAAUGAUUAAAAAGACUAAAGGUCCAGUACCUCUCCCGCAUGCAAGCAGAUCGAACUAAAAUCAAUACACAAGAACAAGACAUUGUUUUAGAUCGUGUCUUUCUUACCUUAGUUUGGAGAUGAACAAGAGGGAGAAAGAGAGAUAGAGAGAGAUUGAGACAAAGAGAACAAGGACAGGGCUAAAAGAGAUCAGCACUAGAAUCUGACAGAUAGAGCAGUGAGCACGCAAGAGAAGCAAAUGCAAAUGAUAUUGCAAAUUGCCUUUGUGUGCUCACUCUCUUCUGUCAGUUUCUUUUGUGUUCCUCUCUCUCUUGUCACAAAACUCAAUCAUCUCACACAACUUCAGAGAUCUACAAGAAGAAACAAAGAACACUUUUGGUAUUAGAUCUGAGUUUCAAUCACCAAGACAAGCCAAAGACCCAAGAGAUAUAGUCAUAUAGAGUAAAAAGAUUCUAGUUAAGACAACACUUUGGAUCGGAAGAUCAAAUCUAGGGUUUUGUUUUUGUCUAAAUCAAGAAAAGAAAACAUAACCAAAAAAAAAAAGCAAAAGAGAAGAGAGUAAAGAAGAUCUGAUGAGAAGAAGAUAAGAGAAAACCUUAUCUCUCAAAGAGAGAGUCUCUUCUCUUCUUACCCUUUCUUUAUGGCUUUUUGUCGCUUUCUUUAUCUCUCUUACAUGCAAAGGGAACAGAUGUCUGGCGAGGCAUUGAAUUGAACAGAGAAACAUUUGAAAAAUUUAUAGAGAAGACCUAAAAAUGGCAACUCACUAGACUCCAAUGAGUACUUGAGAUUUUGAGAAGUGAAUAAUGUAUGGAUGGGUUGUUUUGGUGAUCAUGGAGGUGUGUAUAUAUAAAGAUUAGGAAUAAUGAGUUUGCCUUUUUUCUUUCUUUUUUUGGCCAACAAUAUUGCUAUUUAAUAUUUUAUUAAUUGGAAUUUAAUUUACCAAUUUUUUAAUUUGAUUAAUAUUUGUUUGUUUAAUGUCUACUCUUUCCUUUGUUGGCGGAAGACCAACACCAAACAAGCCCUAAAAAAUUUUGCAAAUUAAACAAAUAGUAUUUGUUGAUUAAAAAAAAGAAAACACCGAAACACUUAGCUUUUAAAGACGAAAAAAAUUCUACUUACUGAAAAAUUUGUUCAAUAAUUUUUUUAUUCACUAUUUACUAAUUUAAUCAAUAAAAAAAUAUAACACGUUAUACUAUAUUUUUGGUUUUUCAAAGCUUUCUUCAAUCUUCACUAGAGUUAAGACUCUCUAAAUGAAAAAGAAGUCUCUAAGCCAACAUAUUGAGAAAUCGAAUAUAAUUUUUAAUUUCGGCCAAAAAAGAGUGUUUAUAUGUAUAUAAACUAUUUUCAGUUUUUUUAAAUUUAAAUUUUAUUUUAUUUUUAAAUAUAAUAUGGUGUAGCAUAUUACUCUACUUGUAUUGGUUAAGCUAAUGUGAGUGAAUAAGGAAGCUCGUUCCUAAGAAUAAAUCCAAAUAUUAUCCAAAAAUACUUAUAUUCAGCCAUAUAUAUACUACAACUUUCAGAAAAUCCAAUAUUGAUUUAAAUCUAAUUAUCUAUACAAACUUUAAAACUUAACAUUAAUUAAUAUCUCCCGGCCGAAGUAUAUUGUCAAAGGGGGAUAGUGUGAUAGUGUUUGAAGAAAAAAAGAAAAAAAAAUCUAAGAAUUAUAGAAAGUUUUCGAUGUUUUCAUAAAUCACUUCUGAACAAUUUUAUAAGUUCAUAACAAUUGUGAAUAAAUAGUCUAAGCCGAGUUAUUAUGCCUAGUGGGAGAAUGAGAGUGGCGCAUUUUCAAAUUGUUGGUAACAUCGUGUCUCUAUAAUUGUGGUUAUAUAUGGUGUGAAUGGGUACUGCGGUUCAAGCGGAUUAAACCAUUUAUAUACCGAACCACUUUUUUUACCAUUCAUUAAUUGUGUUUGUAGUAGUGCGGUAUAAAAAAACAAAAGAAAACCACAACGUCCUAAGUACACAUCGUUUUAAUGUACAAAUAGAGUCAAAACGCCGCAAUUUGUUAUCCACUUUAAAAAUAGAAUGUACUAAACCGCUGACAGAUUUCUCCAUCCCGACCGCUAUAACAAUUUACACCAGCCAAGUUGUAAUGCCUACGAGGACAAUGAGUGCGGUAACCGCAUCUUCAAAACGUUUCUAUCAUUGCAUCAUGCAAGCAUUUGCUUCUCAACUUAUUCUUUUGAAUCUUCGCAAAAUAAUAUACAAGAUUUAUAUUCACAAUCUAGAACAUCGAAUAUUGUCUAUAUUGACAUUGGUACAUACAUCGAAUAGUAUUUUACAGAAUUUUGGUAUCUUAUAGUCGCAUAAACUUCUAUCGACUCACAAUCUAAAUCAAAGAGUAUAUAUAUAAAUUUAAGUUAUCUAUAAGAUAAAGUGAAUAGGUAACGAAUAGAUUCAGUGGAAUAUGUCUCGAAUACACCAAUAAAACAAAGAUAAAGUAGUAAAGCUUUAUCGAAAAAAAGAAUUAAGAAAUUUUUAUUUGGCAUGCAUUGGCCGAAGCAUUUAUAAAGUGACGUGGUUUCACAAUAAACCAGAGAGUCGCAUGAAAGCUGUCUGACCGUUUGAUUUGAGACAUUCAUUCCCUGCCGUUGGAUUUGUCACUUUUACAAGACACCUUUCCUUCUUUUCUUAGACAUUUUUUUAGUGGCCAUGACUAAAUUAGUAAGACUCUGAAUACAAACGACUUAGAAUACCAAAGUCGAGUGGGAUCAAAGAAAACUAGUACCGAUUUUUGUUUUCUUCGGUAACUAUAAUUGAUCGAUUCAAACGAGUCAAUGUCGUAGAACAUCGUUUCCAUAUAGAUUUAAAAACAACUUCGUACAUAUUUUACGUGCCAAACAAUUCGCUUUAACAUUAGUUUGAUUUGAGCCGAUUAUGGAUACAAACAAUUUGAUUUGAGCCGGUCAUGGGUACAAGCAAGUCAAGCUGGUUUGCGGCUGUCUAUGUAUAUAAAAGAAUUUUAACCUUCUAUUUUUGUAAUUGUUCUGUAGUCAUGUGGUAUUGUUUGGGUAUGAGUUUUACCAUUAUUAUUUGUCGGCUAUUUGAUGAAAUAUAUAAAUUAUAAAAAAGUGACUCUUUAUCAUAUUGUAUCUAUUUUGUAUAGGUUGAAAUUAGUAUCGAUUAAUUAGAUUUACUCAAUGCAGAUACAAUGAUUUUAAAAUAUAUGUUAAAAUGAUACAAAUAGACUAAAUAAUAUAAACUAAUAUAUCUAUAGCAAAAAACUAAAAUAUGUCAAAAUAUCAAUCUAGAUAAUUAUUUUAAAAAAAUAUCAAAUCUAAAUAUAUUACUAUAUAAUUACUGUAUUAUUUUUACAUUUUAUAAAAUCUUUAUUAACCACAUUUUGAAUAUCAUAUAUCAUAUUACAGUAUAUACAAUUAAUAAUUGAGUCAAAGUUCUGUCUCCCACUAGACUUCUAUGUCUUUAUUUUUUGGUGGUUAGUUUUUUAACUUAUAAAUUCCUAACAUGUGCAACUCUCUUGGCAUUUGACAUUUGUUUGUAUGUUAGAACACCUUAUAUUGAGUAUAAGUAUCAUAUGAUCCAAAAUAAUAUGGAAUCAAUCCACAAGGGUUAAUGGAUGAUUUUCGAAUAUUGUAAUUGUCUAAAACGAAAAAUGAUUUUUGUUUCAGACUUGUAAAUAAAGAAACAAAGAAAUAUACGAUUUAACUUUUGAAAUUAAAGGAAUUAGGUCAUAUAAUAAUUCAGGGAUCAAUGGUUAGUAAAAUAACAAAUAAGACCCCUAACAAUUAAGUACUGUUAUCAAACAUGAACGCUAUAUUAUAUUAAUCAUCUCUUAAGGUAUCAAUUACUAAUUUUACUAUCCCAUUAAUUAAUUAAUAUUUGUAAUUUUCUAGUCAAAUUCGCAUUAUCAAACAAAAGCUCAUUAAGUUCACAAUAAUUCUUAACAUCAACUCUCAUUGGUUUAACUCGUAUUGCACACUUCACAUUCUUUGAUGCUAUCUAUUAUAAAGUUUUGAUGCAUAGAAUAACCUAUAAUCUAAAACAGGGUGAUCAAUCCAAUCUUAGCAUUAAACAUGUGAAUAACUUUUGUUUUUAGGACAAAUGUGAAUAAAAAAACCUAAGGAUAAAGAGCUUCUAAUACAGUCAAUUCAUCAAACUACUAAAUCUCCUAAAACUCUAAAAUCCAAUUAAAGAUUAGAGAAUUUCUAAUAAAAAUUAAGUCAUCAAGGUCAGCCCAUAGUUUAGAGGCAAGCCAUUAGUCUUCUUUUUCCUUAUGCAUUUGUCCCCAAGUUAAAUGGAAGGCUGAAAUCUCCCAACUCCAGCAUAUAAGGCACAAAUAGCAAAGACGCAACAAAGGAAUUACUAGACAUUGUUGCAAUCAAAUCAACUACUCAAAAUCAAAAUCAAAAUAUUAAAUACUGAUUAUAGACACUAAAAACAUCAUAUAUCAAAAAUAUAUUAAUUGUAUAACCUUUUAAAAGCUUCAGCUCAGUUUAUAACCAACAUAGCCAUGUAACAAUGAGUAAUGAAAAAAAUAAUUUUGAUAUGUUUUUUCAGAAAGUAUUUCCGAAGCUUCCAUUCAAAUGUGCAACACAAGUUCAAGUUAAUGUUGGCUUUUUUUUAUUUAAGCACUAGGUAUCUACCCACGACUAACUGUGGGCUGAACUCUUUAUUUGAUAUAAAUUUAUAAUAAUUUAUUUUCUUAUUCUUUGAUUGAAUAUUUAUAUAGCAUGUAUUUGUGUUUGUAUAUUCAAACAAACAAUAUAUUUGUUUGAUUAUUUUUCGAUUUUAUUUAUAGUUAAUAGACUAUCUUGCGAUUUUAUAUAUUUAAUUUGUUUGAUUAUUUGUCUAUAACUAUCUUUAUUAUCCUCAAUGUUAUUUCAUUUUUAAACUUUUUCAAAUAACAUUUCAAUGUAAAUUCUUACAAUUUACAAGGUUAUUUUAAUUCAUUUACUUAUCAAUUAAUAUAGUAGGAUUAAAGUUGUAUAUAAAAUAUAUGUUAAUUUUGGCUAAUUAACUAGUUUUAAGCUUGCCAUGGAGUUUCUACAAGACAAAGGUAACACCGUGUUCUUGGUCACGCUCAACAAUUCAUAUGAAGAAUUUAAACACAGGAAGCUACGUGAGGUCUUGGGACAUGAUGCUAGACAGGAAAACAUCUCCAAUAUGACAACUGACAAGAGAAGAAGAAGAAGAGUUUGAAUGGUUUUAGACAGCAAUCUAUCUAGGUUUGAAAAAACCUUUUUAGUGUCUUCUUCGUUUUACAACCAACUCUGUUUUGAGUUCUUGCAAAGAGCUGUUUCAUUUGAUAUAGUUAUAUGGUUGAAAAAAGGCUAGUCCAUGUGCUAAUAUGGAUUAUACAAAUAGGCCAGACUUGAAAGUAGCUAAAAAAAUUGGCAUUGACAACACCCCUACACACAAGUACAUAGGUUCACAAAAUAGACAGAGAAGUAACGAGACAACAAUCACAAAGUGUAUGAAACUAAGACGCACUAGAGAUGAACAAUAAGCUAAGACAUCACCUAAAAGCUGGAUUCAGUCUUGUACUGAGACUAAAACUGAGUGAGUUGUUGAAGUUUGCGAGCUUGGAAAAAUUUGCAGCGCCCUUUUCCACUCGAUUCGAUUUCUUCGCUCCUACUCUCGCAUGUUUUAAACCCAAAACUGCUUAGUUUAGCUUGUCGUUUGCUGCUACUUCCAUUACCACUCUCUUCAUUUUCAUCCGCUUCCCUGCCCAAGAGUACAACACAAUACAUUCAGAUUCUUACAAGAUUGAGAUAUCUGAAAUUUUUAAACACAUCUCUAAAUGCUUGAUCAUAGCUAAUAGAACAUAGAAGCAAACAGAAAAAGAAAACUAACCAUGCAACUUCAACCUCGCCCUUUAAAUGUGCAGUGCAAGUUCCCCAACUGAAGCGGACCAGCGAUGGGAAGCCAAACAGAGAAUGUUUAUGUUGCACUAACCAUGCCUUUGUCUCAGGAUCUGAAUUGCAUUACAACAUAUCAGACUGUAAUUAUUGCCUAAUACAUAAACAAUGUGAGGAAAAAUUAGUACCUCCAGGAUAUCCAGAACCAAACUUUCUGUUUAUAUUUUCUCCAGUUUCCUCUACCAACCAUUCUCUUAAUGCUCUGUCUCUAGUAACCUGAGCAAGUAAUAUACACCUAGUGAUAUUUAGCUAGUGAAAAGCUUCGAGAUAGAUAGUGAGAAUUCAUAACAGGUUACCUUAGCCACAAUACUUGCCCCACUAACAACAGGAAAUAGACUGUCAGCUUUCUUUGAAACGACAAACUUGAUUGAAGGAAACCUCUCCGACAGUUUUAUUCUGUACUUCUCGGGAUCUCCCACAGUAUCAAGAUAAGCCUGCAAAUGAAAUUAAGAGCUCUAAAGCUUGAGAAUAUGCUAUAUAUGUGGCAAAUAACUUUAUCACUCAAAUGAUGAUGUAUCUGUUUUCCAAUAAAAGCUAAUCAUCACCUCUGUUAGAAAAACUCCCAUGUCCAGUACCCUUUUGAUAAGCCCCAUUGCAGAGUUAUGUGAAAUCUCAUUUAAAUUAGUCUUAUUUCUGUAGAAAACAAACAAAAGCUAUAUGACAUAAGAACCAAUUGAGCCUUUCACUAUUUCAGCUUCAAAAACAAUUUACUACGACUAACUUUGCGAGCAUCUUGGCUGAGAGUUCCCUGGGAUCAAUGACAUCAACAGCCCAUCCAAGAGACUUGUCAAGCUUUAAGUUUUCAUAUAAUUCUUCUCUUUUCUCCUCUUUUAGAGUCUUUGAAUCUGCAAGCAUAUAGGUAAAAAGCUUUGAGGGUAACCAAAAGAGGCAAGAGACUGAAUAUGAUGAAAAGUUUUAUGCUUUACUCAUACCCCCCAAAUUGAAACGUCAUAGUACAUGCUAACACUUGCAAUAUAACGGCGAAAGUCUUAAGGGGAACAAAAAAUGUCAAAAGAUUAUAAAUAUGAUCAGAAGUGUCAUGCUUUUUACUUAUACCCUCUCAAAUCAUCUUGUCACUGCACCAUAUGAUUAGAAUUGGAAGGGUUAAACAAUAUACAAACACAAAUGUGUUCCACUAGCAGAAGAAUAAUCUAUUCAAUGCACCUCAAACCUCAAAACCAUACAUCCCAAUUCUUCAACAUAAAGAAAGCAUAGCAGCAAAAAGCUUCAGAGGAACACAAAAAAAAGAGCAAGGAUCUUCUAAAUGUGAUCAAAAGUCUCAUGCUUUACAUAUACCCCUCCCGAAUUAUAUACCCCUCCAGAAUUGGAACGUCACAGUAACAUAUGCUAACACUAACACAACUGGUUGCUUCUAAAGAACACUAAAAAACAUAUCAAAUUCUUCAACAUAAAGGCCAUAGCAGCAAAAAGCUUCAUACUUUACUUAUACCCACCUAAAUUGGAACGUCACAGUAACAUAUACAAACACUAACACAACUCCUUGCUUCUAAAGAAGACUAAAACACAUAUCAAAUUCUUCAACAUAAAGGCCAUAGCAGCAAAAAGCUUCAUACUUUACUUAUACCCUCCCAAAUUGGAACGUCACAGUAACAUAUACAAACACUAACACAACUCCUUGCUUCUAAAGAACACUAAAACACAUAUCAAAUUCUUCAACAUAAAGGCCAUAGCAGCAAAAAGCUUCAUGCUUUACUUAUACCCUCCUAAAUCGGAACGUCACAGUAACAUAUGCUAACACUAACACAACAAGUUGCUUCUAAAGAAUACUAAAACACAUAUCACAUUCUUCAAAACAAAGGAAUUACAAUGUAAGUGGUUUGAUUUUACCUGCAAAAUGGAGAGAAGCGAGAGAAGACUGAUAUGAAAUGGGGCAAUACAUACAUCCAUAAACCAUUGGUCCUGUUUUUGAACAAAAUUGAUUAGAUUCAUCUUCUUCUUCAGAUUCACCAAGAAGAAGAAACAUAAGGAGAAGAAGAGGAACCUAGAACAGGACCCCUUCCGGCUUCGUCAAUGCCCAUGAGACAUGGCUGCGAAGCCCAUUCUGGUGUUAAACAAUCCGAUCCCAUGCCUUUUGAAUUCCUUCCAAGAAAUUGGGGUUUUAGGGUGAGUCUUACUCGUGCCUCUCUCUCUCUCUCCCAAAUUGUUUGCUCAUAUGCCUCUGUUAUAAUUUUAUUUAUUCUUUUAGUUACUAGGUUUAUUAUUCAUUUAACAUCAAUUUAUCCCUACUACAGAAAAAAUAAAAGUACAGUAAAAAAUAAAUACGGAUGGGAUAAAAAUUAAAAAAUUAAUCCAAAUUUAAUAAUUGGAUAUUUCAAAAUCAAAUAUUUACUUAGAUUUAGGUACGUAUAUCGGAUACUUUCCCAACGGAUCAUAUUAAGAUACUUAGAAUUAUAUUAUCAACGAAAUUUAGAAUACAUAAGCUCUUUAGAAAGAUACCACAAGGCUCUUCAAGAAACUUUACACUUUAUUCUUUGUUCUACGAAAAAUUAGAACGUUUGCUAAAAAAUUUACACUUUCUUCUUAGGGUUUUUAUUUUAUAUUCUACAAAAAUUAUAAAGUACGUUAUAUGUAAUAUAGAGCACCUAAAAAGAGGAGACAUAAUCAAAAGAUAUGAAACUGAAUAUUUCGAGUUUAUUUAAUUUCGUCCUAUUGUCAAAAAAAAAAUUCAUGUUUGGAAACAUAUGAUUAGACUUUAUCAAGUGCUAAUAGCUCAAUUGGUAAAGAUAUCUGGCAAAAGUUUAGAGGUCGCCGGUUCGAGUAGCGCUUGGGACGAGACCAUAUAACAUGCUUUGGUCUCGAGUCUGAGGGGAUGUAAGGACUUCUGUCCAGAACCUCUUUGAUUAUUCAAAAAAAAAAUAUGAUAGACCAAUCAAAGUUUUGUGAGAAACAAAUUUCAAGCAUGACAAAAAUAAUUAAAAGAGGAAAAUAUUUAAUUCCCAAACUCGAACUAUCCCGAAUUCAAAAGAAUCAACUCCGGCUAGAUGAGAGGAAGAGAGAAAAACAUUGGCGCUAGAAUCAGAAUUAAAAAAUGAGAUGUCGAUACUUUUCUAUUUUUAUGUGGAGCAUUGGAGAUUAUUUUUCUGUAAAUUAAUAGAAAUUUUUUAUGAAAAGGGAAAAAGAAUAAAAAAACCCAUAAUUUAUUCAACUUUGGAAAAUAAUAAAUUUUAAAGUUUUCUUUCUCUAAAUUGUGGGUAUCAUGGGGUUUCUAAAAUGUGAAAUAAUAUGUCACCAAUUUUAGUCAUAGAAUCCAUAGAUAGAUGGACAAAUGUUUAAAUAUUUUUCUUUUAUUCUAAUUUCCCAAAACUAAAAUUUUUUUAAAAAUAAAUUAUCAACAUUUAGUAAAAAAACAAAUAAAAUAAAAUCCAAGAUUCCUCAUCAUAAUCAUGCAUGCUCUAAGACUUCAAGUUUUUUUUGUAAGCACAUCAUAUUAUGUUAAAAUUACAACAAUGUUCUGAUGAGAUAUUGACAAGGCAAGGACCAUAACGAGCUCUACAAUCUUCAUCAUCUCCAACUCCUUUAAGUUGAACCUUUCUAAAUUUUUCUUUUACUACAUCGUAAUAGAUAAUGGGAAAAUGUCCAAGGUUAUGUAGUAAAUACUUUGGAGAAAUAAUGAUUUCACCAACGUUGUUAGUGCCAUGGAUAGAUAUUGGAACGUCUACUGUUAUAGAAUCCCACCAAACUCUAUGAAGUUCACAAAAUUUAUUUGACCAUUUAUGUUCUUUGGCAUCUAUUAAUACCCAAAAAUGAAGGAAGCAUCCAACAAUAAUAGCGCAAGCUAACUCUCCUUUGUAGUUGAUCAAAGCUGAAGUAGAGUCGGCCCAACAUGCAGAUGCAGAUAGUUCUAGUUUAAUAAUACUUAGCUUCUCUGAUCUAACAUCAAAACACACUACCACUCUAGAUAUAUCGGGAGUCCAAGCGAGAUAAUACACAAAUCCAUUCAUGCAUAUUCCUCUUGUUACAGGAGAAUAAUGAUGGUUAGGGCCUUUGAUUUGUCUCCAUGUAUGUGUUUUACCACCUCCAAGUGUUAAGACUAUGUGAUCUUUAUCUUCAUCAGGUUUUGUAAAUAUCUUCUUACACAUUGCUUUGUAUUGAUCAUUAACCGGAUCGUACCCCAAGACCUUAAAAGCAAAUUCCCAUUUAGUACCCGCAAUUUCGAUUUCCGGUAAUAAUACCACUUGUCUUGUGCUCGGGUUACAUACCACGAACCGACCUUUAUGGAAAAUGGAAAUAAAGCCAUUGACCGAAGGACAUGGUGUAGAGAACUUAGCAUCCGAAGUUAGUGUCAUAUCUAGAUUUGCUACCAAAGAAGAAGAUUCGUCUUUCUCUUGUAAAGACGUAUAUAAGAACAAACUUUUUUUAGCAUUCUCAUUGGUCAUUUGAUAAUUCCUUAGAGAUAUAAGAAAUAGAGGUGAUGGUGUCGAGACUAAAGAGUUGAUGAAAUAUUUGCUUCGGAUGAUGGAACACCAUGUCUUCGAAACAUAUUGGAACUUCAUAAGAGAUUUUACUGGCAAUCUAGUUAGAAUCUCCACGGUAAUAUCAAGAGAGAUCAAUUCUAGGUGACUUGGACCUUUGUUGGAACCAUCUUUGUUGUAUUCUUGAUCCUUGUCUUUCAUGGCGUAUUAGGAGUUUGAGUAUAAAUAAAUUUGAAACUAAGGUAUCUACCUUAUUAUAUAAUGCAUAUGGUGGUUUUUAACUUAGAAACACAUAUGAUGGUGAUACGGGGCAUGUUUAUCGAUCAUAUUUUAACAAAUGUAAAAAGAAAAUCAUUAUUUAGUAAAUUAAAGAUUUUAAAAGUAAAUAGAUGAAAAUUUUAUUUUUUCAAGAUAUAUAUAAAAAUAUAAUAAUAAAGAAUAAAGGAUUCUAAUUACUUAUUUUGAAAAAGGAGAUUAUGUAAUAAAUUAGAAAUCCUAAAAAUGAAUGUAUUAUUUAUCAGUCAGAUUUUGGAUAUUUUAUACAAAGAAGAUUAUUUAUUAAAUUAAAAAAACCUUAAAAGUAAAUGAAUUAUCAACCAAAUUUUGAAAAAUGUGAAAAGAAGAGUUUUAGUAAAUUAAAAAUAUUAAAAGAAGAGUUUUAGUAAAUUAAAAAUAUUAAAGUAAACGAAUUUCAAAAAUACCCCUUUUCAUAUACCUCUUUUUAAAAAUACCCCCUUUUCAAACUUUAUCAAAAACCCCAAUAAAAAUGUUGAAAUUUAUCGAAAUAUGUGUGUAAGCUUAUAAAUAUAUACACAAAUUACCUUUAUAUGUGUAUAAAACUUUAUAUACCUUUCAUAAAUAGCGUAAAAAUAAAUUAUAAGAACCUUAUAAAAACCUUAUAAAAACCGUAUAAAUCCUUUUAAAAACCUUAUAAAACUUAUAAAAACGAUUUAAAACUAUUUAAAACAUUUUAAAAUAUUUGUAUCGAAUCUCCCAGUAGUAGUUAUUAUAUAGAAGUACCUUAUAAACUAUAUAGAACUUUAUAAUUUUUUAUAUUUAAAAAGGGGUAUUUUUGAAAAUAGAUAGAUAAAGGGGGUAUUUUUAAAAAGGGGUACACCAAAAGGGGUAUUUCUCAAAAAUUCUCUUAAAUAUACUAGUAAAGAGAAAAUUAGAUAUACAAUAAAUUAUAGAUUCCAAAGAAAAAGAUGGAUUAAAUUAUAGAUCUUAUCUUAUUAUAUAAAGUUUGGUUUUCAAAGUUAUCUAUUAACAAGAUCGUGACACAUGUCAAUUACAUUAAUUGGAUGAUGCAUGUGUAAUUUCUCUUUCUAAAUCGAAAAGGAAAAAUGACAAUAUGUAAUAUAAUAAGAUAUUGUUAAUUUUCCAUUGUACCUGUGUUCUCAAUUAGAUUUUGAUAUAAACAAAAAAAUAUAACAAUUUUUAAAAUUAAAAAUAACAAAUUUUGUUAUUUAACAUAAUUUAAUUUUAAUUGAAUACAAACCAUAUUUUUGAUAUAUAUAUAUAUAUAUUAAUUAGUAAGUAAAAACCAAAAAAAAGUUAAAAAAUAAUGAAAUUAGAAAAAUAAAUUUUUUAAUCAGCGAUGAGAAUAUGUAUUAGUAUAGUUUUACAUGUGUUCAUUUUAAGAUUUUAAUGCAUGUAGCUUAUGUAAAAAUAUAAAAAUAUUGGAAAACAUUGAGCACAAAUAAAUGAAUAUUGAUUAAUUGAUUGUUGGCAAAAAUAAUAAAAUGAGAUGUCGAUCUUCCUAAAAGUUUAAGUGGAGCAAUAGAGAUUUUAAUAAAAACAAUUACGAAAAGAGAAUAAAAAAAAUUAACACCAUGACUGCCAUCUCUCUAGUGGGCUCAUGUUCACCAUCAGCGCAUGUACCUACUCUUCUUAAUGGGUCUCACGUCCUCUCACUAGGCCUAUGAGCCCACAAAUAUCAGACAACCAGUUUGCUACGUCUGAGAGGCUUAACUACUUGUUUAAUUACCGAUCAUACAAAUUACCACAUGAUAUUUCCUUGUGUUUUGGCCUCAUUUACGCAGUUCCGACAAUCACUUCCCGGAAGGUCACCCAUUCUUUAACUACUCUAGCUGAAGCACACGUAAUUCUGGAGUUCUUUCAGGACCUAUGACCGAAAAGAUAAGUGCACUUGACAUAGGUGAUCAAAUUAAUUCAUUUAAACCUCUCCGCAAACUGGGGUCUCAAAAAAAGAAUUUUAACUGUGGGUAUAAUGGAGUUUCUAAAAUGUUAAAUCAUAUGUCACCAAUUUUAGUUAUGCGGAUGCAUAGAUAGAUGGACAAAUGUUUUAAAUAUUUAUCUUCUAUUCUAAUUUUCCCAAACUUAAAAUUUAAAAUAAAUAGAUAUUCAACAUUUAGUAAAAAAACAAAGAAACUAAAAAUCAAGUCAUCAUGCAUGCUUUAAGACUACAAGUUUUUAUUUUCAGUACAUCAUAUUAAGUUAAAAUUACAACAAUGUUCCGAUGAGAUAUUGACAAGGCAAGGACCAUAACGACUUCUAAAAUCUUCAUCACCUGCAACUCCUUUAAGUUGAACCUUUGUAACUUUUUCGUUUUCUACAUUGUAGUAGAUAAUGGGAAAAUGUCCAAGGUUACAUAGUAAAUACUUUGGGGAAAUAAUGAUUUCACCAACGUUGUUAGUGCCAUGGAUAGAUAUUGGAACGUCUACUGGUAUAGAAUCCCACCAAUGUCUAUAGAGUUGAUGAAAUUUAUUCGACCAUUUAUGUUCUUUUGCAUCUAUUAAUACCCAAAAAUCGAGGAAGCAUCCAUCAAUAAUAAUGUAAGCUAACUCUCCUUUGUAGUUGAUCAAAGCUGAAGUAGAGUCGUCCCAACAUGCAGAUAGUGUUAGUUUAAUAAUACUUAGCUUCUCUGAUCUAACAUCAAAACACACUACUACUCUAGGUAAAUCGGGAGUCCAAGCGAGAUAAUACACAAAUCCAUUUAUGCAUAUUCCUCUUGUUAAAGGGGCAUAAUGAUGGGGAGGGCCUUUGAUUUGUCUCCAUGUAUGUGUUUUACCAGCUCCAAGUGUUAAAACUAUGUGAUCUUCAUCUUCAUCAGGUUUUGUAAACAUCUUCUUACACAAUGCUUUGUAUUGAUCAUUAACAGGAUCAUACCCCAAGUACUUAUAAACGGAUCCCCAUUUAGUACCUGCGGUUUCGCAUUUCGGUAAUAAUAUCACUUGUUUUGUGCUAGAGUUACAUACCGCGAACCGACCAUUAUGGGAAAGGGAAAUAAAGCCAUUGACCGAAGCACACUUUAUAGAAAAAUUAUCAGCAUCUGAAGUUAGUGUCAUGUCUAGAUUUGCUACCAAAGAAGAUUCAUCUUUCUCUUGUAAAGACGUAUAUAAGAACAAACUUUUUUUAGCAUUCUCCUUGGUCGUUUGAUUGGUCAUUAAAGAUAUUAGAAAUAGUGGUGAUGGUGUUGAGACCAAAGAACUGAUGAAAUUUUUGCUUCGGAUGAUGGAACACCAUGUCUUCGAAACAUGUUGGAACUUCAUAAGAGAUUUUACUGGCAAUCUAGUUAGAAUCUCCACGGUAAUAUCAAGAGAGGUCAAUUCUAGGUGACUUGGGCCUUUGUUGGAACCAUCCUUGUCAAGUUCUUGGUCCUUCUCUUUCAUGGAGAAUUAGGAGUUUGAGUAUAAAUGAAGUUGAAACUAAGGUAUCUAUCUUAUUAUAUAAUGCUUUGGUUUUAACUUAGAAACACAUAUGAUGGUGAUACCGGGCAUGUUUAUCGAUCAGAUUUUGACAAAUGUAAAAAGAAAGAUCAAUAUCUAGUAAAUUACAGAUUUUAAAAGUAAAUGGAUUAGAAUUUUAUUUUUUCAAGAUAAAUAUAAAAUAUGAUAAUAAAGGGAUUUAUGAUAAAUUUACAAAUCCUAUGUUAUUCAAUCAAUGAUUUUAAACAGAACUCUAAUCACUUAAAGUUAUAGAUUGAAUACACCCCUAAAAUUAUACAGUAAAUUACAUAUCCUAUAAUAAAGGAUUAUAAUUACUUGAAAAAGAAAAUUAUGUAAUAAAUUAGAAAUCCUAAAAAAUGAAUGUAUUAUUAAUCGGUCAGAUUUUGGAUAUUGUAAAAAGAAUUUUAUUUAGUAAAUUAAAAACCCUAAAAGUAAAUGAAUUGUUUAUCAAUCAGUAUUAGAUACUUGGAUGGUUAUUAGAACCGGUUAUUUCUGGUUAAGAUCUUGGUUUAGCUUAGUAUUAGAAAGAGUAUAAAUACUCUGUGUAUACUCUAAUUUCAGAUCAAGCUUUGUAAUAUUCUUUUACAUCAAUAAUAAAGUUUGUUACGAGCUUCACUCUCCUUCUUCACUCCUCUCUUCAAUGUCAAGUUCCGGUGUAUCAGAAAACUUCAAUAUGGUAUCAGAGCUGUGCAAUUAAUCUUCCGCUUUCACUGAUAUCAUCGGAAUCUUGGUUUAGAGGUUGAAUCUAUGAAGAUGAGUUGUUCGAUUUCUUUUUCAUCUUUGAUUGUCCAGAUUCUUGUUCUUCUUUGUGAAUUGUUCUUCGGGAUUCUCCGUUGUUUCUUCAUUCUCUUUCUCUUUGUUUCUCUUUGAUUGACCUUUUGUGUGAUCGAAUCUUUGAUUUCUCGACAUACAUUUUCUUCAUUUCUUACUUUCUUGAAAGAAUGGGAUCGCAAUUGCCACCGGUGAAUCUGCCAAUUCCACCAAAUCCACCUGCUCCGGUGAAUCGUAAUCCAGAUCCGCCGAGGUUUCAAACUGAUCAAUACGAGAAUCCGUUUUACUUAAACAGCAAUGAUCAUGCGGGAUUGCUUCUGGUUUCGGAUCGUCUUACUACAGCUUCUGAUUUUCAUUCUUGGAAGCGAUCGAUUUGGAUGGCGUUGAAUGUGCGAAAUAAACUUGGUUUUGUCAAUGGUGAGAUACCAAAACCACCGGAUAAUCAUCCUGAUUCAGGUACUUGGUCACGAUGCAAUGAUAUUGUGAGUACUUGGUUAUUAAACUCUGUUGAUAAGUCUAUCGGAAAGAGUUUACUGUAUAUCUCUACUGCUGAGGGAAUGUGGAAGAGUUUAAUGACUCGAUUCAAGCAAGAUGAUGCUCCUAGGAUCUUUGAUAUAGAACAACGUUUGAAUAAGAUUGAACAGGGAUCUCUAGAUGUAUCUGCUUAUUAUACUGCGUUGAUUUCACUAUGGGAAGAAUACAAGAAUUAUGUGGAACUUCCUGUUUGUACUUGUGGUCAUUGUGAGUGUGAUGCAGCUGUAAAAUGGGAGAAGUUACAGCAACGAAGUCGUGUAACCAAGUUCUUGAUGGGCUUAAAUGAAGGUUAUGAUCAGAUAAGGCGACACAUUUUGAUGUUAAAGCCAAUUCCAUCGAUAGAGGAGGCAUUUCAUAUGGUUACUCAGGAUGAAAGACAGAGAACUAUCAAGCCUACCUCUCGGAUUGAUAAUGUUGCUUUUCAGACAAAUCAAACGCCUAUGGUUUAUGAAGAUGAGAAUGCUUAUAUUGCAGCAUAUAACACUGUUAGACCAGCUCAAAAGCCAGUCUGCACUCACUGUGGUAAAUUGGGGCAUACAGUUCACAAGUGUUUUAAGUUGCAUGGGUAUCCUCCUGGUUAUAAGACUGGUGGAUACAAUCCUAGGGGAGCUACGUCUCAACCACCUGUUCAGCCAAGGAUGCCAGCACCACAACUGCAACCUCGGAUUCCUCAGAUGCAGCCACGAAUGCAGAUGCAAAUGGUUCCUUAUGAUGCUGUCCAGAGAGCUAAUGCGGUUGCAAAUGUAUAUGCAGAACAGUCUUCUUAUGCUCCUAUUGGUUAUAACCAAUAUGCUGCUCCACUAUAUCCAUCUCCACAAUAUAUACCUGCUGCUGCUUCUAGUUCUGGUUUACAUGAUGGCACUACACAGCAACAGGAGUAUCAACCACAACAGAUACAACAACUCAUCUCUCAAUUUAAUACUCAAGUUCAAGUUCCAGAGCCUGUGGCUACUUCUAAGACUGCUACUGUUACUGAGCAAGGUUUCAUGGCUAAUAACUCUACUUCGGGUAUCAUUUCUUUUCCUACUUCCAGCCUUACUUUUCAAAAUGACAAAUUCUACUUCAAAGAUCAUGCACUUUCUGCCUUAGAACAAUUCCUACCUAGUGAUGCUUGGAUUAUAGAUAGUGGUGCUUCUAGCCAUGUAUGCUCAGAUCUAGCAAUGUUUAGGGAAUUAGUACCUGUUUCUAGUAUCACAGUUACUUUACCAAAUGGUGCUAGGGUCCCUAUUACACACACAGGCACUAUAUGCAUUUCACAUUCAUUGAUAUUGCAUAAUGUUUUACAUGUUCCGGAUUUUAAGUUUAAUUUGAUUAGUGUUAGUUGUUUAGCAAAAACAUUGUUCUGUUCAACUCAUUUCUUUCCAAAUUGUUGUUUAAUUCAGGAACUUUCUCAGGGCUUGAUGAUUGGGAGGGGUAGCUUAUACAACAAUUUAUACAUUCUUGCACAAGAACAAAACACCCUCUCUCCAUCACUUCCUGCAGUAUGUUCUGUUUCUGAAUCUUUGAUGACUGAUGGUGUUCUGUGGCAUCAAAGACUAGGGCAUCCAUCAGCUCAAGUAAUGCAAAAGUUAGUUAGUAUUUUACCUAUUCAUAAGUCUUCUGUUUCUGAUGUUUCUCAGUGUCAAAUCUGUCCAUUAGCUAAGCAAAAACGAUUAGCGUAUAUUUCUCAUAAUAAUCUAGCUUCUGUCCCUUUUGAACUUGUUCAUUUAGAUAUAUGGGGUCCUUUUAGUGUAGAGUCUAUUGAAGGUUUUAGAUAUUUUCUUACCAUAGUCGAUGAUUGUACUCGGGUUACUUGGGUUUACAUGUUAAGAAAUAAAAGUGAUGUUUCAUUGGUAUUUCCUGUUUUCAUUAAACUAGUUUCAACACAGUAUAAUGCAAAGAUUAAAGCUAUUAGAUCAGAUAAUGCACCUGAGUUAGCAUUUACAGAACUUGUUAAAGAACAUGGCAUGGUGCAUCAUUUUUCAUGUCCUUACACUCCUCAACAGAAUUCUGUGGUAGAAAGGAAGCAUCAGCAUUUGUUAAAUGUUGCUAGGUCACUUUUGUUUCAAUCAAAUAUACCCUUGCCUUAUUGGAGUGAUUGCAUUAUGACUGCUGUUUUCCUUAUCAAUAGGUUACCUUCACCAUUGUUAAACCAUAAAUCUCCUUUUGAAUUACUAUGUCAUAAAGAACCGGAUUACAGUCUUUUAAAGAACUUUGGUUGUCUCUGUUUUGUUUCUACACCUGUUCAUACUCGAAAUAAAUUCACACCUAGAAGUAAACCUUGUGUUUUCUUAGGUUAUCCAUCCGGUUAUCAUUCAGUUUCUAUCUCUCGCAAUAUUGUCUUUCAUGAAAUUGUUUUUCCUUUUAAAACAUCUGAAUACUUACACAAGUCUGUUGAUAUGUUUCCUAAUACAAUUUUACCAAUGCCUGCACCUUUACAUUUUGUUGAUUCUUUGUCCAUGUUUGAUGAUAAUGAUGAUGAAACUGCAUCUGAAUUGCAUAUGCAUACUGAUAUAUCAUCUUCUGCACCUAUAGUCCCUAGUACCAUUCAAAAUAAUAAUACUGUAGAUACUCAUGGGAUAGAUAGUGAUUCUGUACUUAUUGCUAGGCCUAAGCGUAAUGUUAAAGCACCUAGUUAUCUGUCUCAGUAUCACUGUUCUCUAGCCAUAUCUCAUCAGUUACCUAUCCUAGCCGUUUCUACACCUUCUCCUACUUAUCCUUCCCCUAAACAGAAACCCACAAAACCCCAUACUACUCCAUAUCCAAUACAAUCUGUCCUUUCCCUUGAUAAAUUCAGUCCCCAAUACCAAUCUUAUAUUUUCUCUUAUAGUCUAGAAACUGAACCUAAAACCUUUGCCCAAGCCAUGAAAUCAGAAAAAUGGAUUAAAGCAGCUGGUGAAGAGCUUCAGGCUCUUGAGCUUAAUCACACUUGGGAUAUUGAAACUUUACCAUCUGGAAAGAAUGUGGUUGGAUGUAAAUGGGUGUUUACUAUUAAGUAUAACCCUGAUGGAACAGUUGAGCGAUACAAGGCCAGAUUAGUGGCACAAGGUUUUACACAACAAGAGGGUAUUGAUUAUAUUGAUACUUUCUCACCUGUUGCAAAACUAACAAGUGUCAAGUUUAUACUUGGUUUGGCAGCUAUACAAGGAUGGAGCUUGACACAGAUGGAUGUGUCUAAUGCUUUCCUUCAUGGUGAGUUGGAUGAAGAGAUCUUCAUGAGCCUUCCACAAGGUUAUACACCACCACCAGAUACAAAUUUGCCCCCUAAUCCGGUUUGUCGACUUCGCAAGUCUCUUUAUGGUUGCUUCACGGCAAUGGUACAAGAGACUUUCAUCUGUGUUUUUGGGAGCAAACUUUGUUCAAUCGCCAGCAGAUAACACUCUGUUUGUGAAAGUGAAGAAUGGAUCAUUCAUUGCAGCUUUGGUCUAUGUUGAUGAUAUCAUGAUAGCUAGCAAUGAUGAUAGAGCAGUUGAAGGUCUAAAAGAGCUUUUAAGGACAGAAUUCAAGAUAAAAGACUUAGGACCAGCAAGGUUUUUUCUGGGAUUAGAGAUAUCAAGAUCUGCUAAAGGAAUCUCUGUUUGCCAAAGGAAGUAUGCUCAGAAUCUCCUUGAAGAUGCAGGUUUACUAGGUUGUAAACCAAGUCCGAUACCUAUGGAUCCAAAUCUACAUCUUAGGAAAGAUAUGGGAGAUGCUUUGCCAAAUCCAACAACUUACAGAGAAUUGAUUGGACGCCUACUCUAUCUUACCAUCACAAGGCCAGACAUCACCUUUGCGGUUCAUCAACUCAGUCAAUUCAUCUCAGCUCCUACAGACAUUCACUUACAAGCUGCGAAUAAGGUACUCAGAUAUAUCAAAGGCAAUCCAGGGCAAGGUCUGUUUUACUCAGCUGAAUCAGAACUUUGUUUGAAUGCUUUUUCUGAUGCGGAUUGGGGAACAUGCAAAGACACAAGACGAUCUAUUACAGGAAUUUGCAUUUACUUAGGCUCUUCUUUAAUCUCCUGGAAAUCAAAGAAGCAAGGAGUUGCAAGUCGAAGCAGUACAGAAUCAGAGUAUCGCAGCAUGGCACAAGCUACAUGUGAGAUCAUAUGGUUGCAGCAACUACUCAGAGAUCUUCAUGUCAAAGUCACGUGUACAGCCAAACUCUUUUGUGACAACAAGUCUGCAUUACAUAUCGCCAAUAAUCCUGUGUUUCACGAGAGAACGAAGCACAUCGAGAUGGAUUGUCAUACAGUGCGGAAUCAACUCAAAGCUGGAAACUUGAAGACUCUCCAUGUUUCCACUGAUAAUCAGCAUGCUGAUAUUCUCACUAAACCACUACAUCCAGGACCUUUCUACCAUUUGCUCUCAAAAAUGUCACUUUCAAGUCUUUAUCUUCCCAAACCAGACAGUUUGAAGAUAAAGACUUGAGGGGGGUAGAUUAGAUACUUGGAUGGUUAUUAGAACCGGUUAUUUCUGGUUAAGAUCUUGGUUUAGCUUAGUAUUAGAAAGAGUAUAAAUACUCUGUGUAUACUCUAAUUUCAGAUCAAGCUUUGUAAUAUUCUUUUACAUCAAUAAUAAAGUUUGUUACGAGCUUCACUCUCCUUCUUCACUCCUCUCUUCAAUGUCAAGUUCCGGUGUAUCAGAAAACUUCAAUAAUCAGAUUUUGAAAAAUGAAAAGAAGAGCUUUAGUAAAUUAAAAAUCUUAAAAGUAAAUGGAUUACAAAUUUUUAAAAAUAUACUAAUAAAGAGAAAUUAUAUACAAUAAAUUAUAGAUCCCAAAGAAAAAGAUGGAUUAAAAUUAUAUAUCUUAUUAUUAUAUAAAAUAUUGUUUUCAAAGCUAGUUCAUUAACAUUAUCAUUACACAUGUCAAUUGGCUCCAUAAGAUGUUCAUGUGUCAAUUCUAAAUUUAUUAAAAUAUUAAAAAAUAAAAUUAUAAAGAUGAAGACCAUUGAUUCGGAAAGAUGAAGGGCUCCAAAGUAGAAAUAUAGUUUAAUGUUUUUCAAUAUAGGAAUAGAUAUAUUUUAUAUUUUUCCAUAUAGAUUUUUUUUUUUUGCAAUACGAUUUAGAACUUUUACAUUUUUUAUUUAAAUAAAUUUACAGUUAACACAUGUUAACAUCUUAUCGAUCUAAUUGACACGCGUCAUAGAUCACGUUAAUGACUAACUUUAAAAACCAUAUUUUAUAUAUUAAGAUUACAUUGUAAAUUAUUUUUUAUUUUUGAAAAUUAUAUAAAAACAAUCAUUUAUUUAAGUUUUGAAUUUUUUUAACAACUAUCAUCUAUUUAAGUUUAUGUCCUGAAAUAAAUAAUUUAGACUCCAUUAGACCAUAACUAUUUUAUUGAAUACACACAUAAAAUUCAUGGAAUUAGCAUAGAUUUUGCCUCUUUUGCAACCACUCAUAACACGCCAUCUCAGCAAAGCAACACGUGUUUAAUUAUCAUUCGCUAUCUAAACGUACACCUCCGUGUCAACAAAAACUAGACUAUUAGACGAAGACGAAGCCUCUCUCAUAAGCCACGACGACGACGAACGACGAUACAAUACAAUCGGAAACUUAACAGAUUUUGUCUCCGGCGAGAUCUCAAUCUGAUCCUUCACGGUGGCGUCGACGUCCGGGCAACAACAAGCUCUCUCGAGAAGAAAGCCAUUAUCAUCAUCAUCUCCUCCUUCGCCAUUAGCAGCUUCGGCUGUUCGGGCUCCCGCGGCGAGGAAACCGAGUCUUGAGUAUCCGUUUUGGCAGCAGAACUGGUUUAUUGGUUUGCUAUUCUUCAUGGCUUUAGGAUUCUUCUGUCUCGCUAUCUUCCUUUACCUUAGUCUCGAUCCGGAUUCUGGUUACACGUCUGCUUCUGCCGCCGCUUCUGGUAAAGAAGGUGUCGAGGUGUGUUUUUAGAUCCCUAAUCUGUUUUUGAGUGUGGUGAAUUUGAAAUUGGAAUUGUUGAUUUGUUGCUUUAGAUUCGAAUUGGGUUUUGAUCGUUCUGAUACAGAAUCUUAUGAAUCAAUGUUGUUGUUGUGGAUAUUGGCAGAUUACUUAUGGAAGUGCGAUCAAACUGAUGCAUGAGAAAACUAAGUUUAGACUGCAUUCUCACGAUGUGCCGUAUGGAUCCGGAAGUGGUCAGCAAUCAGUUACUGGGUUUCCUGGUGUUGUUGAUUCCAACAGCUAUUGGGUAAUUGCUUCUUCUUUGCGUUCUCCUCUUGGUGUAAUUUUGCAAUGCUCAUUUGCAGAUGACCCUAUUCGUAUAGUAUCAUGUGUAAUUAGAUUGAAGCAGCUAAAAGUAAAAGUCUUUAUAUGUUAGAACAGAACAUUGACUAGCAAUUGUUAGCGGAUAAGCCAAAAAUGUUGAAGUCACUUCCUCUUCUAGAAAGAUUAGAAAAUGGAUUGGAUGGUUUGUUUCCUGAGCGUUAGAAACUGUUGCUCAUUAUGUUCAUCUCACACUUUAAAUCCCAUCUGUGGAAGCUAUGGUGGGGAUAAGGUUGAGUAAUUGAGCUGAUGAAUCAUCUUGGUAUGGAUUAUUCAUUUUACAGAUUGUCAAACCAGUUCCUGGGACUACAGAUAAGCAAGGUGAUGCUGUCAAGACUGGGGCAACCAUUAGAUUGCAGCACAUGAAGACCAGGAAAUGGCUCCACAGUCACCUGCAUGCAUCCCCAAUAUCAGGGAACUUAGAGGUUAGUAUUGUCUUCCGUUUAUAGUUUUUGUAUUCCCUGAUCUGCUAAGCUUAGAUGUAAAAGAACUAUCUGGAGAUUUUAAAGCAUAAAGACUCGAGAGAUGAUGGCUAAUCUAGGAAAUCUAGCUACUAGUAUGAGGAUUUUACUUGCGUGUCUCUGUCUAUUGUGAAGUACUUUACUGAUUAUAAUUGGUAGUUGCCAUUUCCUUCUUGCUAACCCAUUUUCUUGGUGCAGGUUAGCUGCUUCGGAGAUGAUUCAAAUUCUGACACAGGGGAUCACUGGAAGUAAUAAUCCUUAAAGCAACUUAAUAUUCUCAUCUAAUGCUUUGUUUAUCUACAUCCAUUCCAAAAACUCACGCACCUUACCAUCUGCUUGUAGGCUUACAAUCGAAGGAAGUGGGAAGAUAUGGAAACAGGACCAGAGAGUCCGUCUUCAACACAUAGACACUAGUGGCUACCUCCAUAGCCAUGACAAGAAGUACCAACGUAUAGCCGGUGGUCAACAAGAGGUAACUAAAUAUCAUAUCUAACCCCGUGAUCUCUUCUGGUUAAGUCUUUAAAAAUAUCACAGUGUCUUCAAAUGCAUGCUUAAUUAGAUUUUCUACAAGGUUUAACAUAUCAGAUUCUGUUUUUUGGGGUACACAGGUCUGUGGAAUUCGGGAGAAGCGGGCGGAUAACAUUUGGUUGGCAGCAGAAGGAGUCUACCUUCCUCUUAACGAGAGCAGCAAGUAAGGUGAAGAGAGCAAUAACUUCUCUGGAGGACUUUGAAUCUCAUCUUUACUAUCUAAAACUCAGAAACAAGGAAAUAGAGAUAUAUAUUUGCUAAUUUUCGAUUGAGAAUACUUUUAGUCGCACGAAUAUAUAUUGUUUUGGUAGAUAUCUUGCGGUUAUCUCUUUUGUGUUCUGUCACCCAGUGACACUAUCUCACCAUCCAGAAAGUGAAUCCAACAUAAUCUGUUAAACAUAUAGUAGUUGUCUUUCUAAGAGCCAUCAAAAUACGACAUUUAGUACACAAUUGCUAUGCAGCCGGUGAGAUUCAAUCCUCAACACUUUUCUCCAUGUUAAAAGACAUGUCCUUGAAGAUAUCCUGUGGUUCUUGACCUAAAUCUCAAACUCUAGUUAUGGAUUCAUCGUCUCGAGUUGCUUCUGGAUUAAAGUUUGAGAAUUUAAGGUCAUCCUUACUUAGAACAUCUGUUACCAUAAAGUGUUCACUACGACUUUCUUGAAUUUAUCGCUUAACCUUGUGGUAAAAAGCCAUGUAAAGUGUUCAGUUUUGAGGGAUAUUUUAGUAUUCAGGAGUGAGACUGUAUGUAAGUAAGAGUGAAAGACAAUCAUGGGAGUGAGAUGUCUCUCAAUAGGAUCUUGAAAGGAUUUGGUCUUUUUUACUAGGCUAGCUAGGUUUGAUUUGUAUAAGGAGGAUUGGGAUCAGAUCAUCAUGGGAACGAAGAGUCUACAAUGCAGCUAGUGUUGUAUUGGCUAGUGUUUUUUUUCCUUAGAAGUAUGUGUUGUAUAUGUUUGCUUCAUAUGGGCUUAUUUUGUCUGAAUCAGUGAAUUGGGCCUGUAGUAGUGUGUAGCCCAUACAGGAUCCGAGUUGUGUAUGCUGCAAGAGUAAACCGACAUAAGCACUAGGGUUUCAUUAUAUUAGAGAAACUAGGGCUGAAGAAACAUAUAUGCUAAAUGCUGUACGCAAAAGGUCACACGCUGAAGGCUAGUUGUAGCCGCAAGGCAUAACGCAGAGCGGUGCUGAGAGCAUGCGCAUGGCGUUGUGCAAAGAGCAUGCAGCAGUGCUCUGAACCCUGAGAAAACAGUAGCUAGGCUGGGGCCGAGGACUGAGAGCUGAACAUGACCUAGUCUAGACUUAAGGUGUCUUCAUGACACUUUGAUGAAAGACAAAGGGUGGAGCUGUUUCUUGGGGGUUCAGUGAGGUGUUUUUGUGGUGAUACAUGGAAGGGAAAGUUGAAUCAGAGACAAAGAGAGAGGAAGAAGAAAAACAUCUAAGACAGUGAACAUGUGUCUUUACCUAUAUUUUCUUCUUCAGGUUUCUUUGUUGUUGCUCUCUAAGCUUUGUAUAUGAAACAUAAUGUAAACGCUUGUUAGAGCGUUGUGUAAACCUAACUGACGGAUAGUGGAUGUUUGUGGGAGAAGGUUCCGACACAAGAUAUACCCUCACGCAGAGGGGAACUCGUUAAAUCUCUGUAUUAUGUUUAUGCCUUGUUAUUGAUCUGUGAUCCAAAGAGGAGUUGGGACAAAGUCGUGGUCAACGAUUCAUAUAGAGAUGAAUUGGGGUCUGCGAUUCCCAAUAGUAUGAUAUAUUUCCACUUUCAUGUAUCAUCUUGCUUAUUGAAUACGAAAUCCGAUUGUUUUAUAUUGGUAUGAUCCUUGCCUCCUUGGAAACAAGAGGACCAAACAUCUAGUGUUGCUUGGAUUCUUCAACUUUAGGAUGAAACAACCAUGUUUUUCAAAAGAGUCCUAGGGACGAUUCAUAUCCUAAUUUGGAUUAUGUCAUGCUGAAAAACAAAAAUCAAAAACCAAGUCGCCUUGGUCGAAUGGUUGUAAUUUUCCGUCACCAGGGUUCGAGUAACAUUAGUCACCAUAAUUUUAGAAAUUUAAACCGGUUUCAACGGGUGAAAGAAUUAAUUUUGGACCUAGAAAACCUUUGAACCACCCUGACUUAAUUUAAUAGUAAUAAAGGAAAAAAAAAACAAAAAUCAAAGGAGCAUCAUUACAAUUUCAAGAAAAUUUACUGCAAGAGUAAAACAAUCAUGUCUAUGUUCUUGGCAUAUUCAAGUCACUUAAAGAAGACUUCUAAAAGUUCACACUCAUUCACUAGUCCAGAGAAAAUAUAUUGUUUAUGUAAAUUUGUAAAUGUCUUCUCUUCCAAACUGUUACUUUUGUUGGACAAAUUUUAUAUAAGAUAACAAUAAUACAUGUGUGGCAUUGCUUUUUUAUUUCUUUUCUUGAAAACUAAAGCUACUUUUUUAUUUUUUGGGUGACAAUUAAUUCAUUAAAACUACUUUACAUUUGUACAAAUUCUACUGACAACUGUUUUAUUAAUAAAGAAAAAGAUUAUAUAUCAUGUCUACAUAAGUUGAAGAUAACAUAACUAGGAAUUAGUUCAUACAAAACCCAAAUUUUUACGUUACUUAGCUUUUGUUACAGCUCACCUCUCCAAAUACAUUGUAAUAAAAUUAAAUGUUUCCUAUUACUUACAUUUACUUUUAAUUGCUAUUAAAGGAAUUAAUAAAAUUUUCAUUUAAAUAUUAUAUAUUAAUUUUAAAUUUUUCCUUUUUUUCUUCUUUUCUUAAGUCUAGCUAAAAUGAAAUUACUAAACACAAGUUACUUUUUAAUAUAUAAUAUCUAGUAUAUAUAUAUAAUAAAGCACAUAGAUGAUUUAUAAAUCUAGUUUAAAAGAGAUAUGCUCACAAAAACAUUGUAAGAAGAAAAAAAACAUAUGUUGUAAUAUAUAUAUGAGUAGUUUGAUUUUUGUAAUACGAAGCUGAAACAUACUCAAGCAUUGGGUCUUGGUGGGAUAAGGAUCAGGAGAAUCAGGUACACGUUCUUGUAACACUAAUAUGAAUUGUGAAACUGUUCUUCUUUUUUUGUUUAUUUUUUACAAAGUUUUAAGUAUAAUUUUCUUGUUGGUAAAAUUUGUGUUUUUGUUAAAAAUUUGACGUUUGAGUGAUCUCCUAUUCUGAUUGUAUGAGCCAUUUAGUUUUAGGUUGCAUUUGUUACUAAGUGUUUAGAUAUACCUUCGAUAUUUUAGGGUAUUUAUAAAAACAAAUGUGAUAUGAAAGGUGUUUUUUAAUGUUUCCCAAUGAUGUAAAAGUAUUUACAUAUACAUUUUCUACUAUACAUGGCACGGUACGAAUAACUAAUUUUGUACACAUUAACACAUAGACCAAGUUCGUUUCAUAACUGUAAGCGGCUGCGAUUGCGAUUGCGAUUACGACUUUGAUUAUAAAUCGUAGAUGUUGUUCGUUUCAUAAUCGCGCGACUAGUCGCUAUAAUUAAUCGCAAUUAAAAUAAUUGUGUCGAUGUUUUCUUUUGCGAUCAAAAGUUUAAGUCGCAAUCGCAACAAUUGAUCGCAACGACCAGUCACAGGACCAUGCGAUUACAAAAUGAACAAUUUUCAGUCGCAGGACUCUGCGAUUACGAAACGAACAUAUUUCAGUCGCAAUCGCAAUUGCGAGCCUCUUGCGACUGCCAAACGAACAGCACCUAUAGUUGUUACAAUAUAAAAGUCAUUAUGAAAAUGUCAAAUAUCCGUUAAAAAGUUAUUUACAUGUGCUAAAGUGGGAAAAAUAACAAGGUAUGUAGGAGUUAUUUUUGAAUUAAUUGAUCUGCUUGUUAUAUGUUUGAAUUAUGUAUAAUUGCGCGGUCUUUUGAAAAUUUCUGGAGUUUUUAGGUUUUGUAUGCAUAUUUGAUUAACAUUUAGAAAUACCUUAGAUUAAUUUACGGGUGCUUUUUUUUAAUAACUAAAAGAUUUUGGGCCUAAGCCCGUACAAUCUCUCGGAUCAAAGAUCAGAACGUUGCAUAUGAUCUAAUCUCAAACGUCACUUCAAUCAGCCAUAUAAGGUUUUUAAAGAUUAUUAGAACUCUAUCUUCUCUAUUUAUUUACUUCCCAUUUAGUGUUACAUUGACUAGAAUUUUUUCUCAAGUUACCUUACUUCGCGCAUUAUCAUUCACAAAGUUGCCAACUCUUUUAUUUUGUUUUAAUCUUCAUUUGUAGGGUGAAAACAAAAACAGAUUUGUAGGAUAUACAUCAAAGAUUUUGCGAAAAGCUCAAAUUUCACUAUGACUCGCAUCAGGAAGUUUUUAACGAAAGAUAUGUUGACCGAAGAGUUGAAUCAAGUGUCGCCAAGAUCCAAUGGAUCGCUUUCAAACAUCGAAAAAACGGAGAAGAAGCAGGGGGAGGGCAAAAAGGAUUGCGAGGAAAUGGAUGAGAAAAAGGAAACGGAGUUAGAGUGGAAACCUGAGGAUUGCGCGCAGCCAUUCGGCGAUGUGAGUAAGAUUACAGGCAAGGGAGAAAAGGAAAAAAAUCAUUUCCAGGCAUUCAAGUUUCAGGGCAAACAAUAUGGGCUGGUGAGUUUGGUUUUGCCUUUUGAUUUAUUAAUUUAAAAGAUUUUAACGACUUAUUACAACAAAUUGGAAUAUUGGUGUGCUAAUGAAGAGUUAUAUGCUAAGAAAUAUAUAUAGAUUUUAACGACUUAUUACAACAAUUGGAAUAUAUAUUGGUGUACUAAUGAAGAGUUAUAUGCUAAGAAAUAUAGUGAAUUUUUUGUUAAUAUGUGUGAAACAUCUAUACAUAUAUAAACCAUUUAGACUAUUAUUUUUCCCCCCUAUAGGAGGAUUCAGUGCUCUUGUUUUCAGAGAACCCUAAGCGCAAGCCCUAUUGUGCCAUCAUUAAGGUUAGUAAAAACAAAAACACAAAAAAAUAAAAUGAUAUGAUCAUUUUUAGUUCUUAUACUCAUGUCAUCAUUUAAUUAAAUUGUGUGUUGGACAGGACAUUUACAUACCAAACAAAGAAAAGUAUGUGAAGCUUGAAGUGCAAUGGUUCUACCGCCCAGAGGACGUGGAUGCAAAAUCUAUUGCAAAAUGGAAAUCCAACGGUGCAAGAAGCCUCUUCUACAGCUUCCAUCGCGACGAGGUGCACGCGGAAUCUGUGCUUCAAAGCUGUGUUGUGCAUUUUGUGCCAGAGGAUAAACAAAUCCCAAGCCGUGCAGGGUAUCCUCAUGACUUCAUAGUGCAAAAUGUUUAUGAUUUUGCCAAGAAGAAGCUAAGAAAGCUUAGUGAUGAUGACUUUGACAUGCAUCAAAAGCAAGAGAUUGAUCAUCUUGUGACUGAGACGGCCUCAAGAUUUGGUGAUCUUCCUGCCAUUGAUCAGGAGGAAAACCAAACGACUAAGAUCACUCCAAAGUGCCUAGGACCUGUCCGGAAAAGGUAUGUCAGAAAAGCUAAGAGAACGAGUCCUCUGACUUAUGGUUUGAUCUUGGAGGGAUUUGGUUUGUUAACCGGUGAUUCGGUUCGCGACAAGACAUUGGAUGAGCUUCUAAAAGCAGUUAAGGGUAGGUGUCAUGCAAGAAAGAAGAAAGAAGUUGGUGAGUUUGAUUUUUUCUGGCCAGAUAAUGUUGUUCCUAUGGUGCGAGCUCUUGAGCAGAGUUUGUAUGAUUCUUUGGCACAAGAUAUGCCAAAGUACAAAGAAAAGUUGGAGAUUCUUGUCACUGAAUUCAUGGUUAGUUUUCAUCCUUUUUAUCCUCCAAUUCUUUUUUUACGUGUUCUUUCUUUCUUUUUGGUCAAUGCAUGUGUUCCCAAAACCCUAAACUUUGAAAAAUAUUUCAUCCUAAAAUAGUCCUUUGUUUUCAUAAACACACACAAAUUAAGAAAAGGGGAAAUUAUAUAUAUUUGGCUCUAUUUAAUUAGUGAUUACUGAUUUAAAUUCUAUGAAUGAGCUUUGGGUUAAGGGUAAACUAAGAAAUUUAGAGUAAAAGAAUAUAUUGGAAUUGUAGAGUGACAAUAUUUGUGAAGAAGGAAAAAUCUCUAGAUUGGCACUCUUUAUGAAACAGAGGGAGUAUCAUUUUUUUGUUCGUCUUGAUUCUGAUCUAACAUUCUAGAUAUAGACGCAGUAUAUAUAUAAUUUUCUUCGUUUAUUUCACUGAAUGAAACAGAGGGAGUAUUAAUUUUUUGUUUGUCUUGAUUCUGAUCUAACAUUCUAGAUAUAGACGCAGUAUAUAUAUAAUUUUCUUCGUUUAUUUCACUUUUUAUGUAAUUGAAUGUUUCAUUGUUUGACUCUUAAUGUUUGUUAAUUUGCAGUAUUCACGAUUGUUAGCUGGACGACUCAUGGAUGGUGAAUUGAAACUUGAACAAGUUAUGAAGAUGUCACAGUAUGAGCUAAGGGUAAUCUCCAUCAUUCAAAAACUCUCCUCACAUUUUAUUAUUUUGUGGUUGAUAAUAUCAUGUUUAUGUAAUUAUGUUGAACCAAUUACACUAAACAUGAAUAUGGUUACUAGCUUAUAUAAGAUAUUUCCUUUGCAAAAUUGAGAUAUCUUAGCCUUCUAAGAUACCCCCAAUAAUGAUGGUCAAUUAAUCACAUCUUAAAUGAUAUAUUUUGACAUGGUGAAGUGACUCUGAUUAGCUUUUUUCUUUUUUUCCGGGACUAGCGUGGUUUCACUUUUGAUGAGCUCAAGGCCAAUAUCGAGUAGCCAAGGGUGGAGAGAGAUGCUCCAUCCACCUUUAAAAGUGUUGGGAGCAAAGAUUAGAAGAGUAAAGAAGAUAUAUAUUGAACCUAUAAUGAUCAUAUCUUGCUCUUCUUGUUAUUUGUUUUUCUUAAUUGCUAGAGAGUUUCGUUUUUUAAAGAUUUUAAGACUUUUUUUUUUAAUCUAAAACUUCAGUUUUUAAAGACUAGUUUUGUUUCUAGAAUGUCACAUAUGUUUAACAUGUGUGGCAUGUAUACAUUUGAACUUGGAAUGGAUGGUCAUUGUUUUUAUUUCCGUAUCAUUAGUUUUUCAUAUCAUAGAGCAUAGAUGAGUUUUUGAACAAAAUUUUAAUCUCUUUUAUGAACAAUACGAGAGGAGGGAAGGGUAUGCAGUUUGGUUCCCUAUGGCAAUGACGAAACAUAGGCCAUGUUCGUUUCAUAACAGCAGGCGGCUGCGGCUUAUAAAUCGUGAGAUGUUGUUCGUUUCUUCAUCGCGCGACUAGUUCCUGCGACUAAUCGUAAUUAAAAUAGUCGUGUCACUGUUUUUUCCUGCGAUAAAAAAAUUUCAGUCGCAAUCGCAGCGACUAGUCGUAGGACUCUACGAUUAUGAAACGAACAACUUUUAGUUGUAAUCGCAAUCGCAAGUCUCCUGCGACUGCCGAACGAACAUCACCUACCACCUACCACUCCCAACAACGUACCGUAACUUAUUCAACAUUCUACGUGUACUAACCAGAUUGGUCAUCAAAAUUCAAUUACAUACUAGUGUACCAUUUUUAAAAAAUAUGUCAAAGUUACUUAGUCUUUUAUUUAGGGUUUCACAUGUUAUGUAUAAAUAUUCUCUCAUGAAUAUGAAUAACAAAAACAAUGAAUAAUAGAAAGAAGAGAUCAUGGUCGAGGAAGUCCAAUACGGCAAAUUUCUCACAACGACGAUGGUGGAAAAUUAGCGGAAGAUAUACUUCGCGGAAAUGAUGAGAACUAUGGAUUUGGGAAGUAAGCUAACGGUGGGAGACAAAGACAUGACUUCACCAUUUUAUCUCCAUCAUCCUUAACAUUAUUACUGUUCAAUUGAAGGGAGAAAACUAUGAAGAGUGGACAAAGCAUAUGCGGAAUGCCUUGCGAACCAACCUUAGAGAAACCUACCAAUGAGGAUGAAAUUGAACAGUAGGAAGUUGUGAAUUCCAUGCUAAUCACUUAGAUAAUGAACGAAAUUGAUUCCACACUAAAAACAUCCAUAUCAAUGGUGGAGGAAGCUCAAGUUUUAUGGGAUGAUUUUGUUGGAACUGAAAAUUUUCAGAAAUAAGUUUCUGAAAAAUUGCAGAUUUUUUACGAUGACUUUUCGGCAACUUUCCGGCCAAAUGGCUGAACGGAAUUGUGAGCUUGAUAGUGCAAUGGAAAUCUGGUAACGAUUACUACAAAAUGGUAUACUCAUAUGUCAAAAAAUGAGUUGAAUGGAAUGAGAAAUAAGGGUGUGAAGUGAGCCACUUGGUCUGAUUUUUUGCAAAAAAUCCCGAACCAAACCAAACCAAGCCGGGCGCGGGCUAAUGGGCUUGUGGGCUUGCAGGCUCAUGGCUUUAGACAUUUUGAGGGUUUUUGGGCUUUGUUUAGGCCCAAUUUAAUAUUAGGUUUGGUGUGCAUUUCAAAGAAUAUGCCGAAAAUAUUUUGCAUAAUAUGCCUAGAAUAUUCUACAGAAUAUGCCGAGGAUAUUCUUCUGGAGCCCUAUCUUCUUCUACUCCACUACUAUAUAAAGGGGAGGAGGCUCUCAUUAUUUUUCACACUCAAAAAACGGAAAAGCAUCUAAACCUCUUAGUUCUAAACCUCUCUUCUCUCUUGCUUUGUUCAAGUAAGUUCUUAGUUUUAUAGUUUCGAGAGUAUAUAGUAGAUUUAGUUCGUUUGAGUCUAUUACUCGUGUGCUCGAGUAAUAGUUCGUAAUCGGUUGUAUCUUGUGAUUCAUAAAUCGUGAUAGACCAAAGCACUUACGGCCGAUUUAUUGGAUUAAGGACAAAGAUAUCAUAUCUUGCCUCCGAGAUUUAAAUUUAUAUUUUUAAAUUAUGUUGUUGUAAUGUCUUUAUGAUAUCGUUCUCAUUAAUAAAAUUCGUAUUUUUUUAGAUUUGAUUUUUGCGCUCCUACAGAUUUAAAGCUACAAUUCUCGACUGAUAUCAGACCAAGAAUGAAGAGCGGAUAGUAUAAUACUCCCUUUGUUCCAAAUUAUAAGAGGUUUGAGCUAAAACCACAAAGAUUAAAAAAAAAAUUUCAAGUAAUUAAUAAAUUAAUAUCAUUUAAUAGUUAAGUAAAAAUAAAAAUUUAACCAAUCAUAAGAAAUACUACAGAAUUAAAAGAGUCAAAAAUAUUAAAACAACAUUAAAAUCUAUUUAGAAAUUUGUAAAACAUCUUAUAAAUUGAAACAAAACAAAAUUUCUUAAACAUCUUAUAUUAUAGAACAGAGGAAAUAUUUGUUUUAAUACUGAAAAAUUGGUUGUUGAGAAACUCUAAUCUCUUUACCAAAGUCACCAUUGGCAUUAACGAGAUUGUAGAAGUGACUUUGGUAAAGAGCUUAACUGUUUCUAAUAUCUCAACAACUAAUUUUUCUACUCCUAAUGUCUUUGCAACCCAAGUUUCUAUAUAAACCUCUUGCAAGAUCGAUCAAAACCGAGUUUGAAGAGUUUUGGAGCCGACACUUUAUUCCUUGUGCAAAGAAAGAUACAUGAUUUUGAAUAUUAAAGAACAAUUGAAAGCAAAUAAAGCCAUAAUAUUUCAAUCACACUGUCUAAAGUUUUUUCUAACCAAUCAAUCAAAUCCGCUAAAACACAUAAAUAGAAUGUUCAUAUCUUAACAUCUACCUAAGAACACUAGUGUCGAGUAAAUAUCUCAUUGUAUAUAUAUAUUUCUAUGCAUGUUGUCGUAUACACAAGUUGUGAUAUUAGUAAAUAUGCACGUCUCUUUCAAAUUACUACAUGUUCAUACAUACUAUAACACUGUCUCCAUCCCUUCUAAACACACAAAAAGAGCAAUGCAUGUGCUUUAAGAAGAUAUCAUAUUUAUUACAACAUGGACAACUUCAAACUAUACUCACGUAGUACCUACCCAUUAUUAGGGAUACAAUAUCCCACAUUGUAAGUUGAGUAGGAUCCUGACUAUUAUAUAAGAUAUAUGGGCCUCUACACUUAUUGCCAAUUGGUUUUAGGUUGGAAGCUCACAAUCUAAUACCCAUAUCGUUGACCAAAAUUGUUGUUCGAAUGAAAUAAAAGUAAGUAAUGUUGUUAGUGGCAUCCUUCUUACCACAAAAGAAAAUGUUGGAUUACUGAAAUUUCAAGCGCUACUAUAUAUGGGAGAUAUUCUGGAAAGAAAAAUGUGUAUUUUGUGGACCAAGUAUUAUCGACCAUCAAAAAUCCGUCGGAUCCCUGAGAUUUAAGUUGAAAUAAACUGUAGAAAUGAUAUUUAAGAGAUUUUUAGAAUAUUUAGUUAUUCAUGUUUAUAUAUUUUCUGUUCAAUAUAUAGAUUAAACAUAAGUUAGUUUAUAUAUAUUAUAUCAAUUAAUUUCUUUAGAUCGAUAACACACCAUAAUAACUAAUUUUCCCCCAAAUCUUUCUCUACUUUCUACAGAAAAAAAGUAAAACCUAGUUUAAAACAAAAAAAAAAGUUCUAAGAAAACUAUCAAUGAACUUUAAGAAGCUCCAUUAAUCGCUUAAUAACAAGAUCUAUAUAUAGUACUUGUAGAUGAGCUACAAAUUUUUUGGGUUUCCCAAGAUUCGUCUUUUACGUUAGCUCACAACUAAGUACAAUAUAUUUAUAUAAACAACGUACAAAAAUGGUUGUCGGUUCUUCCCAACUCCCACGAGUGUGCAACUAACAUUGGUAUACAAAAAAAGGAAAUGGAAUGGUAGUAAAUAUUUUAGCGGACACAUUAUUAUAUGCAUGAUUCACGAGUGGACCAAUGCAUGUUUCAUUAAUGUAGAAUGAAGUAUCUCUCUAGCUAUUUGCUUUUCUCUAAAAAAUGAAAUGUAUAUAUCUUAUGGGAAAUAUCGUAACUUAUGUCUGAAAAUGCAUGACCUCUUUGAAAGAAACAAAAAAAUAUUGAUAAGGAAGCUCUCCAAGUUCGAAUUCAUUUGGGAGAGAUCAGAGAUGGAGGGUAUUUUCAAAAAUAGUAGUAGUUUAAAACUUGACUUUGGAUCUGCUGGAGAGUAGAAUUUGUCAUUCAAAUCGAAAAAAUAUGCUUCACGCCAUAAUUUAAAACCAUGUUUUCCGCAAACUCCAAAAACUCACAUUUUCUCGUUAAAACUGCAAAAUCACGUUUUUCUCGGUUAAAACUGCAAAAACAUAUUGAAGCUAAAACUGCAAAAUUUAAAAUAGGUAUUUAUACUUUUCGUUUCUUCUAGUGCCAAUAUCAUAUAAUGUUAAUAUUCAAUAGAAUACAUGUUAGUUUUAAAUAUGUAUUUUCCUUUCAGUUUUAGUGAAAUUAUCCCUCUUUAUUCUGUUUGUACAAUCUAUUUCUCUAGUUUUUACAAAUGUUCAGUUUUCAAAAUAAAUACUAUAAAUCAUUUACUGCAGCCGGCCCUUGCAAUCACAAUUAUGUAGGUCGGUCCAUGACCAUAAUAUUGUUACGCAUAAGAGGAAUGAUUUAAAUGCAACAACCAGAUUGUUGGCUGAUCUGCACCGACCUGAUCAGAUGUAUCCUCUUCUCUAUUCUUUUCAUCAGUGGGAUUUCAUAUUUAACAAUAUAAUUAAAGAGAUAUGUUACAUACCUAAUAAAUGUAAUCGUGCAUACACUUGUUUCUAUUCAUCAUUGUCUCGUUUAUUUAUAUUGAUCAUCCAUCAAUAUAAUAUUAUCCUAUAAGAAAGAAAUAACUAACUUUUACCUGUAUCGAAGAGAUCUUAUUUCUUAGGUUCUCUAACUCUACGAGAGAUGCGUUUUUUUAUUACAAUUAUAUGUUAUGUCAAGAAAUAAAUUGAGAGGCCUUGCUCAUAAUUGUUUCUUUUUGCAAAACAUGUAAAAAGGUCCGGGAGGUGAUGGGCGAGUGGCAGGGCAGCUUGGCUGAAAGGGUCCAACUCCGACAUCCCAAGUUCGAUUCUCCAAGCUCUUAAUAUUAUUUUUGUGAAAAAUAUGUUAGUUGAACUUAGACCUAAUUGGUUUACCAGAUAAUAAGAAAUGCAGACAAUGAAUCUUUCUCGUAGUAUUUUGGUGUAUUUCUCCCAGACCUGACCGAAUCAGGCGAUCAGAUUUAUAUAUAAAAAAAAUCAUGUAAAAAAAAAAAUACAACCAUGAGAACUUUCCGGAAAGUUAGCCAUCUUAGUAAUAUUUUCGUCCAUAACACAUUUUACUACAAAUUUUUAUAGGAUCUAGUGCAUUAGUGCUACAUGAUUACAUCCUUUUUGCUCAUAAAUUGAGCCACCAUUUCAUAUAGUUGCCACUAGCCAAAGUUAUAUGGUCUCGGAAAAUAAGGUUGGGAGCCAAAAAUGAGAAUAGUGAACCAUCUUAUAUUUAAGUGCCAACACAUUUUGAAUCGCAAAGUCUAAAGCUUUUCGUCACCAGUCGAAUCCGUAGUAACAUAAACAUACAUAUAAUGUCCAUACACAUCUACUCAAGAACAGUCGUAUCCGUGGUAAAUGUCUCACCAUAUAUUUUUCUAGUCGUUGAUCCCUUUGUCGUAUACACUUAAAUUAUAAUGUUAAUAAAUAUGCACGUCUCCUUCAAUAUAUUCCAUAUUACUACACACUGUCUCCAUCCCUUACACACACAAAAUAGUUGUGCAUGUGAUCGUAGAAGAUACUAUUGACUUUUACACAAUAAGAAACACUUCAAACUAUACAUACGAAUUACAUAAUUGUAUAUAUAUCUCUGAAUCGCAAUAUUAUAUCAUUCCAAAUUCGGGAUAUACAGUGUGGUGGUCUUUCGGAGAAAUAUCCACUCUAAAAUAUUUUGGUGUGUUUCUACCAAGACUAAUUCGAUCAGUCGACAAGGUUUAUAUUAAAAAAAAUGGUCUAAUAACAAUACCCUUAAAUCAUUACCCAAAAGAAACAAAAAUACUACAUUUGAAUCAACAUUUUGGGGUUUUCCAAGAUUUGUCUUUUACGUUAAACAACGUACGAAAAUGGAGUUGUCGGUUCUUCUUCGCAAAUCCCACGAGUGUGCAACGAACAAUGGUAUCAGAAAGUCUUAUAAUAUAUAUUUUCAGCACGAUCCACGAGUGGACCAAUGCAUGCUUAAUGUACAUAGAAACUAUAUAAUAAUCUUUGAUGGACAAUAUUGUAACUUGCGUUAAGUUUGGGGUCUUAAAAUGAACAUUACGAAAAUAUUUUGAAAAAAAAAACUUACUUGGUCAAUGUGAAGAUCUCAAUCAGUAUAAUUUACUCCUCAUCUUCCUCACAAUUACACUCAAUGCCACUGUUUUGUCACUGACCUAACCUUGGUUAUAAAGUUAAAACUACCAUUUAUAUGACUCUUAUGUAGUUCAAGAAUGUUAAAAAUUUAGAAACAACACUAUAUAAAUUAUACAAAUAUAUGUGUUAGUAAUUUGAUUUUCCUAGUAACAACUUUUAUUGGAUAAUGAGUCAAUGAUAUAACGAUGAUUCAAUCAAAGAUUACACUCUUUGAAUUUAGAAAGUUAAACUCUUUGAGAAAUGUUGUGAAGUAACAAAGUCAUGUGGUAAAUGAGCUCUCUUCACAAUCCUCUUCAUGUUGCAUUGCAAACUCUGUUGCACUAACUGCUUCACUGCUUUUCUCUCGUCACUCAUCCUUAUCUCAUGACCUCUCUCUCGACUCAAUGAAGAAGAAGAAGAAGAUACUCCACAGAUUGGAGCUGAGACUUGCUUCCCUUUGUCCACAACUCUUAAACACUCUAGUACCCUCGAGGCUCGCUUUUGCGCCAAGGGGCUUCCUAUAAGUGUUAAUUCAAGCAAUGCAGAUUCGAUACCCGCUUCGAUCAUCGCUCUUCGGUCUCCAUACCCCUUGUGAGCCAUUAACAUGAGGAUGUAUAUCGCUUUCUCUUGACAUUUUACUGAAUCAUUCCAGUUCAAUACAUCAACCAAUAUGGAAAACGCUUCAGCUACAGCCGUGAUGGCUUUCCUUCCUUCGGGGACUGAUGCUACAUUGGUUAAAAUUGCGAGAAUCCUCUCGCUAACUUCCAUAUCUCCCAAUGUGUUCAAAAGAAAAGGAAUCAGAUCGGUUUCGAGGAUAAAUGGAACGUUUUGAUGAUGUAUUGAGAGGUUGUAAAGUGCUCGAAGAGCGUCUUCUCUAGCUUGUCUUGAACUACUAGUUUCCUCAAAGUUUUUCAACGUUUUCACUAGGAAAACAAUCGCACCCGAGGAACCGAUGAUCGGUUUAUUGGAAUCCAAAGCGCUUAAUCCUAGGAAAUUAGCCACAAUAGCCUCGGAAAUCGCUUGAUUCGGAGGCUUUGAUGACGACUCGAUUAGCUUCAACAUUUUGUGAACCGCACCCGCUUUAACAAUAGCUGCUUUGUUCCUGAAAAAACAGAGAAUGUAACACAUAUGUCAUUGAAACAAAUGAUCGAAUUUAAUGCUUCUAGUUUACUAGUGUCCUAGCUUCAGAAAAAAACAUAUAACAAAAACAGAUCAAACCCGAAAAAAAGUAUUGAGAGUGACAUCUCAAAACAAAACUAAUAAAUUUUCACCUAAAAGAAGCAAACCAAACAACAACAACAAGUCAACAACAACCAAAAUCAUACACAACCAGUAAACUAAAAAAACAUCAAAAAAUCGGAGAAAUGUUUCAAGAAUCAAACCUAAGAAUCACAAAAACUUAGUAAUGCAGAAGAAACAUGCAAUGCAAUGUAAUGUAAAUGAGAAAGACUCACGCAUCAUUGCCAAUUCCAAGAUUAAGAAGAGCGUAAAGUGAAGCGAUUUGCGCGUUUUCGAUAUGCUCAUCAUCAUCAAUCAUACUAACCAAAGGAGGAAUGGCACCAAGCAUUGCAAGUGUCACUCUCACUUCCUUAUCAUCUUUUGCUAACAACCUAACCUCACUCGCCGCAACAGCCAUCUUCUCCUUCUCCUUCUCCGCCUCAACCGCCUCAACCGCCUUAACCGCCUCAACCGUUUGUAAAUCUUUAACAACACGUUUCAGAACCUCCAACGUUUCUUCCUUUUUCUUAGUCUUAACACCACUCUCAAUCACAGCUAAGUUCAACAGAUCACAGAGCUUCUCUGACUUCUUUGUUAAAUCGUUUCCGACCUUUGUCGUCGAUUUUGAACUUUCUUGGUAAUCUUCUUCUUGGAGUUCACGUCGGUAACGAGAGCUACCUCCGCAGCUAAGAGCGUCGAAGAUGAUUCUACGGAAAGAUGAUCCGGUGGUGGAGGAAGAAGAAGAAGAAGAAGAAGCGGAGGGUAUGCGGUGGAGUAUGAGAGGAUUGAUAUUGUUACGGUGACACUUCGCCAUUAUCGCCGAUCAGAACUGUAAAGCUUGAGAGAAAGAGAGAGAGAGAGAGAGAGAGAGAGAGAGAGAGAGAGAGAGAGAGAGAGAGAGAGAGAGAGAGAGAGAGAGAGAGAGAGACUGUUCUGUUUUUUAAUUUGUUUGUUUUAGGCGAAAACAGAGGAAGUAGAGAUUUUAGAGAGAUUUUGUGAUUUUUUUUUUUUUUUAGUAUUUGAGAUCAGUUUUGUGUUAAGCAGUUGUACAAAUUAAUUUUGUGUACUAAUCUUUGUAUUUUGUAAUGUUAGAAAGAUAAAUGACAACGGCAUGAAUCAUAGUAUAUGUGAAAAAUAUUGGGAAAAUAUUUUAAUGAACUAAACUAAAUUCAAGAAAGUUGACUUAUAUGAUGUUUUCACCAUAAUACAAAUCUGAAAUAAUUUCGUUUGAUGAAAUUGAACCAAAAAAAAAAAAACGAAAACAAAGAUAGUGCUCUAUUUUUUUUUUUUUUUGACCUAUUUAAUGUUUAGUUUAUUGUUAACUUUUAGGGACAAUACUUUGGUUCAUAUGUAUUCACCUCUUUUUAACUAGUCAAUCAAAAUAUAAACAAUAUAUUAUAUCAUACUAUGUUUAAAAAAUUAAUCAAAAUUAAACUUGGAAGAGUAAAACAAAUUAAGGAAACAAAAUUGUAUAUUUUUAAUUAAGGAAUUAGUACGUCGGUUUUGAUUAUAAAAGGGGAUUGGGGUUUAUAUUUUACCCAACUCGACAUAUAAUUUUGCCUAAUUGUAAAAUCAAAACGCUAACCAUUUUUUUAUAAACCCAAACUAAAAUAUAUUUUUUCUUUUAUUAUAAAAUCUAUAUCCAAACCACUAUUUUAUAAACCCAAACCAAAAUAUAAUUUUGUUUAUUUGAAAAUUCUAAACCUUAACCACUCUUUUAUAGAUCCAAACCAAAAUAUAAUUUUGUUUCUUUUAAAAUUUAAACCCUAAUCCUCCUUUAUAAACCUAAACCGACUUAUAAUUUUGUUUAAUUGUAAAAUAUAAACCCUAGACCUUCUUUUAUAAAACCAAUUAAAGAGACAUGUAACUUCUAAUACAAAAUCUACACAUUUUGUUGCUUUAAUGUGUUUUAUUUUUGUUUUAGUUUUGAUUAAUUUUUUAUCUAAUAUUAUAUGACACAUUGUCAUUGUCGUAUGUUGACCGCUAAAUGAUUUAUAGUAUAAUGGGUUCGAGUGUUUGUAAACUUAUAAAAUACCUUAAAUUACCUUCUAAAUUUUUAUAAAAAUAUUAUAAAACCUUAUAAAACUUUACAAACACUUGAAUCUAGUUGUCAAGUAUUAUUUAUCAUUUAAAAUACAUUUUAAACCUUAUAAAUUUUUAUUAACUGUUCAUAUUUUAGUAAAGGGUAUUUAAUAGAGGACGUUGAGGAUUUUAUGUAACUUCUUGACUAUUUUUAAUAAAAUUAAAAGACAUUGUGGUGAACGUUCUCAAUCUCAAAAUAUAUAUUCUGAACAAUCUCGUGCAAACGUCUUCAGUUUAUUUCUCAAUUUUCAUAACUAACAUAGUCGAAAUGUGCAUAUAUCAAUUAUCUAUGAAAUGUGCAUAUAUCAUAGUCUUCAGAUAUAUGUUUUUUGGAAUCAUACUUCCAAACUUCCACGAUUUCUGUGCAAAAUAAGUCCACGAUUCUUAAGAAUAUUUGUAAAUAUUAAAGAUUGAGCAUUGAAUAAUCACAAGAUAAAUUUAAGAAAAAAUUUCACAUGACUAAAAAAGUCAAUAUAAAAUUUGAAAGAAAAAUGAGUUGGUAACUCCUAAAAUACAUAAUACUAGUGUAGAAUGCGGAAAUAUGAUUUUUGAAUUUUGAGUGUCAUGUACCAUGUUGUCAUAUGUUAACACUGAAAUCUUGUUGUUGUUGUUCAUGAGGUAUCUACAUGUAAUAGAAUUUUUGAUAGUAAGUGUUGAAAUCAACGCAUUAGGGUAUUUAACUGGAAUAAUAUUGAAAAAUUUUCUAUCUAAUUUCUUUCGAGAAGGAGAUAAUAAUGAUAUAUACUUUUUCUCUUUUCAUAUUAUAUAUUUAGUUUUGUUGACAAAUAUCGAAUAAACGAGGGUUUUAUUUGUGCACACUAAUACUCUCACAUCUUCUAAAUUGUUGUCUCAUUUCACAAUUUUAAGAGAAAUAAAAGAACCACUAAAAUUCUAUUUAUUUAAACUAGAUGAACCAGGUUGUUUUCCCUCAUUACAAGACAUGACUGACAUUUCAAAGUCACUAACUAUUACAUAUACUAAUGUGUCACUAAUGAGAAUAUUAACUCGACUAAGCAUUAGACAAAAGAAUUAAUAAGAAAAAACUAUAUAGUUAAACAAAUACUAGUAUGUCGGAAGCUAUUAAAGAAGAAGGAUCCAAUUCAAUUCUUGGUGACAAGAGAACGUGGUUAAACUUUUUUAUAUAUUCUAAAUUCUAAAUCACAACGUUUGUUCAAUUUGAUUUGGUAAAGAUUUGCAAAGCUUCAUCAUCUCCUUAUUUUGAAAAUCAGAUCGGGAACAAAACUCUGUAAUGGUACCACCACAUUGGUACGUACGUUCCUAUAUUAAACCCAUCCAUAAAUGAUCUUUAACACAUUCACCGUUCCAAGUUUUAAUACUUUCCAAAUGCUAAUGUCGGUGUCGUUCCCAUUUACUUUUGUCGGCAGAAGAUACUAAAAAGUAACAUAACAAUCCACACCUGUUAGAAGAUACUAAUGUACGAAUCUACCGAAAGACUAAUUUUGUUUUGUACAAAGCUAAGCAGCCAUUUCUUCAGUGGAAGAAGCAUUACUACUCUCGACCUUCUUGAUAACCAAUUUGUUGUCACUAGCCAUGAGGUGGUCAACGUCGACAAGAACUGUGUCUUCUUCCGCGAAAUCUCCUUUUAGAACUCCGACAGCGAUUUCGUUCUCUACCAUCUGUUGAAUCACUCUCUUCACAGGCCUCGCGCCAUAGUUGGGGUCGAAUCCAAGCUGAGCUAGGAGAUCCACGGCCUCUUGCGUAUACUGAAGAUUGAUUUUCUUCUGUUCCAACCUAUUCUUAACCCGUCUCAUCUGCACGUUACGCAAAUGUUGUAAAAUAUGUCACAUGUGUAUAGCUAAUGUCUAUAGAAAAAGAAAAAAAACAAAACAAAUUGGUUGGACUAGAGCACUUCAGCCUAACUAAAAUUUCUCAAACACAAGCAAACCUACCGAAACCAAAAUCAAACUUAGUACAACCGAAUCAAACCAAGUAAACUGAAAGUCAUUAAAAGCUAAUUGCUUUUUAUCAAAUACACUAGCAUACACUUACUAAUACCAAAGUAUAAAGUGAUUAUUUGUUUGUAUUUUUACUUCCAUUUUUUUACCCUUAUUCAACAGUCAAACUGAGAUUUUUCAACCAAUCAAGAAAAGUUGGUUUCAGUUCGGACAUAUUUUUCACAAAACAAAGACUCCUAAACACAAAACUGAACAAAUAGAGAAAGGGACUAUAAACUAAGUGGAUGCCUAUAAACUAGUAAGAGAAGUGGAUGUUGUUAAAUCAUGGUAAUUAAGAAUGUUGGCACACUCUAUGACACUCGUUAAUGGAUAGAAGAAUAUAGAUUCCGAAAACUAAAUAUGAAAAACAAAGUGGUGGUAAUAGGGAUUGUUACCUGCAACUCUACGAUUUUGGAGAUUUCUUUUGAAUCCAGUGGCUGGAAAACUAUAUAUUCGUCAAUCCUGUUCAUGAACUCGGGCCUAAAAUUUUGUCUUGCUAACUCCACAACUUGUCGCUUCAUUAUCUCAUAAACUGCUUCUUUGCUGUCUUCCUUGUUGCGGAGGGUCUCAAGUAUGUGGUGAGAUCCUAUAUUCGAUGUCAUAAUUAUGACACAAUUUGUGAAACUUACUCUCCUCCCUUGAGAAUCAGUUAUUCUUCCAUCGUCUAACAGCUGUAGCAAGAUAUUGAAGACAUCAUGGUGAGCUUUCUCAAUCUCAUCAAACAGAACAACUGAGUAAGGUCUCCUCCGAACAGCUUCAGUUAACUGCCCACCUUCUUCAUAACCAACAUAGCCAGGUGGUGCACCAAUGAGCCGUGAGACUGAGAAUUUUUCCAUAUACUCACUCAUAUCGAUCCUCACUAUUGCAUUCUCAGUAUUGAAAAGGUAUCCAGCUAGAGCUUUGGCAAGCUCAGUUUUACCAACACCUGUUGGACCCAUGAACAUGAAACUGGCUAUUGGGCGGUUAGGAUCAGAAAGACCAGCCCUUGAACGUCGUACAGCAUCGGCUACUGAUUUUACAGCAAUGUCUUGACCAAUAACUCUGUUGUGGAGCACUUGUUCCAACAUAACCAGCUUUUCUCUCUCUGAUUGUUGAAGAUUAGAUAACGGAAUACCGGUCCACUUGCUUACUAUCUCUGCUAUGUCAAAAUCAGUAACCUCUUCUCGGAGUAGAGACUGUCCAGACUGUCGGAAACUCGUUAGAUUCUUCUCAGCUUCUUCUAACUGGCGUUGGAGGGACAUAAGUGUUCCAUACUUAAGCUCAGCAGCUCGAUUUAGAUCAUAUUCACGUUCAGAAGAUUCAAUUUCCAGGUUAACUCUAUCAAUCUGAAAUACACAGAACACGUUACGGAGGACAUUAGGAUCCCUAUAUACCAACAGCAUAAACAACCACUAAACGUACUAUACAGAACAAGAAACUGUGAGUGUCCGGUAUGAUAUUUUUUUAUAAGACAUUAUAUUCCUAGGUUUUUAAGAUCAAACAAUACUUAAAAGACCACUGUAAGGAAUAAGUGUUUUACCUCUUCUUUAAAUGAACGUAUUUUAGUCAUGAGCGACUUCUCUUUCUCCCAUUGGUCACUGAGUUCUUUCUGUUUAUCUUUGAGUGUGGACAGAUCGCACUCAAUCUUCUGUAGCCGUUCUUUAGAAGCUUUAUCAGUAUCAUUUUUCAAAGACAGCUUCUGCAUCUCCAGUUUGAUCACAGCUCUGUCUAUUUCAUCAAGUUCAGUGGGUUUAGAAGUGAUCUCCAUCUUUAGCUUUGCAGCAGCUUCGUCAACAAGAUCAAUAGCUGAAAUAAAGAGCAUUCAUCUUAGAAAACACUGCUACGGUUUUCCCAAUAAAAACUGGUAAGGAAUCAAAGAAAGUGCAUGUCCAUACCUUUGUCUGGCAGAAAGCGUUCAGUGAUGUAGCGGUCUGCUAGAACUGCUGCUGAAACAAGGGAACCAUCUGAUAUAGUAACGCCAUGGUGUAAUUCAUAUCGCUCUCUUAACCCACGAAGAAUCGAGAUUGUAUCUUCAACAGAGGGCUGACCACAUAACACUUGUUGAAACCUACGCUCGAGAGCUGGAUCUUUCUCUAUGUAUUUGCGGUAUUCGGUCAAUGUAGUUGCACCGAUGCAUCUCAGUUCACCUCGUCCAAGCAUUGGUUUCAAGAGGUUGCUCGCAUCCAUUGCUCCUCCCAUAGCUCCUAAGCAAGAGCAGCAAUGAUAUUAGCCAGUUCGUUAUCUUCAUGUUACUAGUAACAAAGUACUAAAGUGAGUCAAACAAACAAGAGUAAAAAAUGUAAUAUUAGCAGAUCUUAACCACAAAUUUUCAUCUCCAUUUUAACCCUCAGUUGGCGAUGCCAUGUUCUUCUAACAGGAAAUAAAGACCUUAAAUAGAGAUCCACCCAACAAUUUACUUGGGCAACACAAAUAUUUAUGAACACAUGUAUGUGUAAUAAUAACAAAUCAUCAAUGUUUAUAAUAUGUGGAUAAAAUAAAAAAAUCACCUGUACCAACAACAGUGUGGAUCUCAUCAAUGAACAAGAUUAUCUGUCCAUUGGAAGCUGUUACUUCCUUUAAUAUUGCUUUCAACCUUUCCUCAAAAUCUCCUCGAUAUUUGGCACCAGCAAGGAGUGAACCCAUGUCGAGAGAUACCAACUACAUGAAAAAGAAACCAAGCCAAACAUGUUAAAAUCUCCCGCUAGCCUUUCUAGGAGAAUACAAUAUACCAUCAAACAGACUAAGGCCAAAAAAAACCAAAAAAAAAAAAGCUAAAAAGAAGAAAGCCGAAGCAAUUUCAAUUUACUGGAAUGAACCUUUCGAUUCAUGAGAGGUUCAGGGACAUCUCCUCGCACAAUCCGUUGGGCUAACCUGUGAAAGUUAAAAUUUCAGCAAAUUUGUCUAACGACAGCUACCGAGAAUGAAAUCACAAAAAUUUCAAGAGACUUUACAAAAGAAAAUGAAAACAAGGGAUAUAAUUGAAAGUCUUACCCUUCUGCAAUAGCAGUUUUCCCUACACCAGGUUCACCAAUAAUAACAGGAUUGUUUUUUGUUCUCCUACAUAAAAUCUGAAUGCAACGCCGAAUUUCAUCAUCCCGCCCAAUGACAGGAUCGAGUUUCCCUCGUCUAGCCAUCUCAGUUAAAUCAUUUCCAUACUUUUCAAGUGCUUCAUAUUUUCCUUCAGGAUCUGCAUGUGUAACAUCACGCAAUGAGAGUAGGUGGAAGUCAUUAAGACAAACAUAAGAGAAUGUAGGGUAACAGAAUAUGUAAUGAGAUAUCGAUGCUAUCAAUCCUCACAAUAUACAAAGCAGAACAGAAGAAAAAUAUCUAUCUGUUUCAGUCAAGUCUUUGAUAUCACAAGCAACGUUCCCACAAGUAGCAUAUGUUUAAAUUUCCCACAGGAUAUACAGCAUCCACAAUGUGUACUUACUACAUCUGAGGCGCAAAAAACAUAAAACUUACUUUGAUCAGUUACUCGUUGACUACCGCGGACAGCUUUAAUAGCAUCCUUUAGGGCUUCCUUAUCAAGUUUAACGUCCUUGAAAAGUUCUUGUCCAAACCUUACAUCUGAAUAAUAGGCCAACAGAAGGUGUUCGACCGAUACAUAACUAUCUAACAUCUCUUUCUUAUGCCUCUUUGCGCUAUCUAAUAUAGCACUAAUAGAUGAACCUAGCAUCUGACCACUCGUAUCACCUGUAACCUGCAAAAUCACAAGAAAGCUAAGUUAAUUCCUAAAGAAAAAUCAUUUUCAAAUGCACAUAGAAAGAAAAAGUAGCUGCAACAACGCAACACCUUUGGUUGUUUAGAUAUGAAGGAAUCUGUAGCCUGAAGAAGAGAGGAGUUGUCGAUUCCCGCUUUGGCAAAUACCCUCCUAGCCAUACCAUCUUUUUGCUCAAGAAGAGCUUUCAUCAAAUGCUCAGAUUCCACAAUCUGUUGACUCGAAACACGAGCUGCAUCAACUGCAUCGAGGAUCCCUUUCCAUGCCAUCUCCGUAAACUCAUUUUGAGUAGGCUACAGAUAAAGAACUAAAACACCAAAUCAACAAAAUUGAACACUUCUAAGAUCAAAACUGAUACAUCAGCGAGAAAGAAACGGAAGAAGUUAUCGACAUGAUGGUACUUAACCAGUUCUUGAUGCUAACAAACCAAUGUAAUGGUAGUUAGUUUCUAAGAUUCAUGAAAUUUAAGCUCCCAGUAAGUUCUCUGCUUUCGUUUUCAAUCUCAGAAUUUUUCGGUAUUUGCUUUUAAGCUUUUAAGAUUGUAAAACUAAAGAUGCAGUUAUUGUACAAAGAUCAAAAUUGAGCCAUGAACACUGAAAUAAACUGAAAUCGCCAUGUAAUCAAUCACGAACCUGAGCUGUACUGGUGGAGAAGCUACGCGGAGAAGGGAAUUGGAAAGAAAGAGGCAAGAAUUGGCCGUUCGCAGCGGCGGAAGUUACAGACGAGUUGUAUUUACCGGCGAGUCCGUCUCCGAUGAACGAAGUUGGCCGGAAAAUAGAGGAAUUAGGAGAGAUAUUGUGAGCAGAGGCAGAGAGGGAGCGAGAACGGAGGAGAAGAGAAGGUCUCGAGUAAGUGUAUUGAGCCUUGAUGGCUGACGUAAUAGAUUUGGACAGUCUUCUCGACGCCAUGAGAGGUCAAUCGGAGAAAUUGAUGAGUUUUUUUGGGUUUAGGGUUUUGGAAGUGGAGAUGAAGCAGCAACGGUGGUUUGUAUAUACAUGAGACUAUGAGAGAAGAAGCUUGGAGAAGAGGCAAAAGAAGUUUGUAGAAGAAAAUAGAAAUUUAUGUGUGUGUCAAAUUCUCAGAUGCUCUUCAUUGUGAAGGGAGUGAUCUCAAUUGCUUUUGCUUAAAUUAGUUUUUAAUAUCUUAUUAUAUAAACAUUGGUUUUCAAAGUUAGCCAUUAACAACAUCGUGACACGUGUCAAUGUUAACUCAAGUAGCAGAUGAAAAAAUGAGAACAAUGAAAAAACAUCAUUUUGGUAUGUCAAAGUAAAGAACUCUUGGUGUUAGGGUAUCAUAACCCUAAAUGGCAUAUAUUUGUUUGCUUAGAGUAUCGAGUAUAAUCAGUGGUCCAUAUUAACUUAAGGUAAAACCCGAACCGGACCGAAGUCCAUUUUACCUUGCCAUCAAAACCCAUUCGGUAAUUCCGUUGGAAUCGUACCCGAACCGAUACCGCCUUAACCGGGUGCCAACCGAUGCGGUUCUUCGGUACCGGGUUUUCUGCCCAGGGCUAUGUUUUACAAUACCAAAAUAGCUAGAAUUACCGCCGCUAAGAGAGCUAAAUGGAUAACAUACAAAACAUGAAUAGGAGCAAACACUAGAUUCCAUCCACUUAAGUGAGGGAUGUGGAUGAGACGAUGAGUCCUUGAAUCAGACACCAAAUGAGUACUUGGGAACUAUAGAACAUAAAUAGUGAUCCUAUAGAUGAGAUUGAAAUGGCAACUAAUGCCGAUUUAACAAUUAAAAGUUUGGUUGUAGACGCAAAAGGUGACAAUACACCGGAUAAUGAGCAUCAAAGUGUUUAAUGCAUCAAAAUUCGGCUGUAGUAUUUGUUUUUAGGGCGUCGUCUGUGAGACUGCAUUUUUCUAUUGUUUGUCUAGUUUGCAUUUAAAUACUUAGCAACUCAAAACAACUAAAUUACAAACACUCUUUGCAUUCUAUUGUUAGAAAAAAACACUCUUUCAUAUAAUCUUAUGUGUGUUGUAAUAUUCAUAAUAUUUAAAUCAUCUUUAGGAGUGAUUCAAAAGAAUUUCUAAAAUUUUCGGGAGCAUUGCAAAAUUGUUGGGCGACAAAGUUCGUAAACAUGUAUAACCACCAUUCCUAAAUUCCACGCAUCAAUCAAUCAUCCAACGAAGAUCUAAUUUAUUUAGUGUUGUUUGAUAUGUUUUAUCAAACAAUAUUAGUAACUGAUGAUCCCUCUAGGACUUUCAUUAAGAUUCAUUAGGCCUGAGUAUUUGGGUAUUCGGAUCGGUUUCAGGUCGGGUCUUUCGAUUUCGGGUAUUUCAGAGUUAGUCAUAUAAGAACCUAAUAAGUAUUUAUAACUUUUCGGGUCGGGUUCGGUUCAGUUCUUUUUCAGGUUCAUGUAUUUUGGGUAUUGAUUUAUGAAAUCCGAUAAAUACCCAAAAAAUAUUUGGGUAUGAGUAGUAGUAUCUACCUAAACCAACCCGGACCUACCUAAAGUACCCAUAAAAUCCGAAAAUAGUUGUCAAAAUUAAGAAGUUUUCUAAAGAAAAUAUUACCAAGAAACAUAAGUUUUGAACAUUCCAAGCAUUAAACAAGUCAUAACUUAAAAGUCUAAACCAACAAUAUCAUUCCAAGCAUUGUAAGCAAUAAAAUUCCAAACCAACAAAAGCAUAACUUAAAGCUUUAAACUAAUAAAACUGAUUGUGAUAAUGUUUGAGACAUGAAAGAAACUAAGAAAGAAGAAUUAUCCUAAGAUGGCAGCAUUUAACAGAGAUUAUUCAUGGAUCAUUAAGGAAACCUAACAUAUAUAUGUAAAUGUGCUCGGGUAUUUAAAAGUAUCCACAAGUAUGCGGGUUUGGUUUGGGUAAUACCCAAUACCUAUUGGGUAUUAAGAACAAAAACCGAUUGGGUAUUUCUUAAGAACCGAAGUAAAACGGAUUCGGUAUUUCAGGUCGGGUUUGGUUCGGGUAUUCGAGUUAUGGUAUUUUUUUUUUUUUUUUUUUUUAAUCAAACGGGCCUUCUUUUAUUAUUGGGCCCCUUAAUGGGCUGAUGCACGAUAAUACAAGGGGAACAGAGGCUUUAGGCCCACUGGAAUAGUAACCUUCACCGGAAAAAAGAAUCGUGUCCUAUUGACACCGAGUUGCAGAAGGUCCGAUCAUCAUUUCCGGCGGAUGCGAGAACCACAACUUUGCAGCAAAUUGAAGUAUCUAGUGAACGGGGAGGAAGCAUCCGACUCACGACCACCGUUCCUUUUCCCUCGACCAACCAGCCCGCCACAAGUCUCCCGGUAUGAACAACUUUCCGACGUCUCGGCACGUUGAUGGUAGCUCCCGUUCCUAGCAAGCUCCAGCUUCAGACAUAACCUCUUUUUCCCAGAUCUGGGUUUCUUCCAGUUUGCCGAAUCAGAUCUCUCCACUCCGGCCUGGCCGAAGCAAGUCACGGUGACGAGAAGGACCGAUGACUCAAUCGGAGACCCAAACGCCCGAAAUCCGUGACGGCCUUCAAGAUUCAGACGGAUCUACCGUUAACCGCCAAAGCGCUUCAACAACCCACCAUCUCCUCCGCCGACUUCCGCCGUGAGUGCUAAGCCGAUCUGACAUAUGAGCCACGAGAGCGACCACUGCUCCUAACCGGCGUCUUCAAACCGACCAGAUCUGCAGCAACGCUCUCCUUCUGUCAUCCUUGCUUCACAAUCACAUCAAAGGAGGAGGAACCACGCCCUUGUCGACAGAGGGAGGAACACUAAUUCACCUCUUCAUCCCCACAGCAAAUCGAGAGAAACUCAAAGGCGUUUUAGAAGAGAUCUGGAAAAAGAAGAAAACUUUUGAAGAGAGAGAAGAGAGAGUUUUUUGUGGAACGAUUGUCCUUUCGAUCCACCGAGUUAUGGUAUUUUGCCCAUGCCCAACUGAUUCAUAACUGAUUUGAUAAGGGAUAAGCAUAAUCAUGUAUGAUCGUAUUUCAUUCUUAAUUUCGAAUUUUCCUCAAUAAAAAA